UUUUUUUUUUAAACAAGAGUCCAAUAUUAAUAAUUUGAUGCUUGAUUCAAAAUAUUUUAGUCGGUGGUUAGUUUCUUGUAUUGAAAGUAAGAAGUCAAAAAAUUCAAAUUUAAGAAAAUACAUUUAGUUUAAUUUAAAUGAGGAGUGAUGAGAUACAGUAAAAAUUACUUCAAAAGAACUAUUUUAAGUAAAUUUACAUAAAAUGCUUGAAAUCAUAAAAAAUGAGAUAUGUUUUACUUACAACAAGACAAUGAUAUAAAACUCGUCAGCACUAUAUUUUUCUAAAGCAGCAAUAAGAACUUAAAAUGUUCACACAAUUAGAUAAAUAAAUUCUAACAAAAUAAAUGGCAUUUCAAAUCAUAGGAUGGGCAGCAGCUCAAUGAUGGGCUGGUUCUUUUAACAUUGUUCAAUUUAAUUUUUCAUGGGACUCUUUCUAAUUUCUUUAGAUAAAUAUUUAAUAGAUUGUUAAUAAAAGUGGAUUUCUAAUCUUGACCUCUAUAAAUUUCAAGACUGUACUAUAUCAUUCAACAUGAAAACGUAGGGUCGUUUCGUAAAAUACUUGGGUGGUUAUUUAACACAAAACCAAAUUCAGGUAGUUCACAAAUUAACAUCCCUUUGAAAUCCUUAUAACACUCCUUUUGCAUUUUAUUUUUAAAAUACGCUCAGUUUAAUUUAUGAAAAAAAACUCAUCUAUUAAAAUUCGCCUUCUUUCCAUAAAUUUUCACUCUAAGAAAAAAAAAAGUAGUUCUUUCAAAUUUUAUUUAUAAAAUAUGUACAAAUCUUAAAAUCAAAAAUUACUUUUUCUUAUUACAUAAUGUUUAUCUUCAUAACUCUAAACUCUUAUUUUUUAAAAAAAUUAGUUAACAUUCAAAAUAUAAAUAUAAAUUAUGAAAUGAAAUGAAAAUUUUUAUUAAAAGCAUAAUUUAUUUAAUUAUUGUACUCAUAAUAAGGAAUGAAUUAAUUUAUCUUUAGUUAUUUAAGUAAUUUUAAGUAUUUAAAAAAAAAAAGAGUUUUAAGAGAAUUUUUGAGGGGCGGCAAAAGGCUUCUCUUUUCAGAAAUCGGCAACCCGUCGGCCCAGCCCAACGAGCACAGCUUGCCAUUUAGCUAAGCUGUUUGUCUCCGCGUUAAUACCUAAAACGGAAAUUUCUUUCUUCCGCCGUCGGCCGUGCAGCGUCGCUGUUUUGAUCAGAAGAACAAGGGUACCAUCUCCAGUCUCUACUUCCUUAAUAAAAAAUGUGCUUUUGUAUUUUCAACUUUCACCAUCUGUCUCUCGUCAACACCGAAUGCACUUUCCAUUCUAGGGUUUCACCAAUUCUCCACAGAAAAGAACCCAACAGAAUAAUCAAACCUCAAUAUUAUUAUUAAGGGUUUUAUUUUAUUCUGUUUUAUUUUCACUUUCUUCUGUUAAAAAUCCCAUUUUUUCCCCUCUUUUUCUUUUCUCUUUGAAUUAAAUUGAUAAAAUGGGUGACUCUGAUACACGAAAAAACCGAAACAUAAGCAUACUGGCUCAUGUUGAUCACGGUAAGACAACACUUGCUGAUCAUCUGAUUGCCGCCACCGGCGGCGGUUUACUUCACCCUAAACUAGCUGGUAAACUUAGGUUUAUGGAUUAUCUUGAUGAGGAACAAAGGCGUGCUAUUACGAUGAAGAGCUCUUCGAUUGCUCUUCAUUAUAAAGAUUAUGCUAUUAACCUUAUAGACUCCCCUGGCCAUAUGGACUUUUGUAGUGAGGUUUCCACCGCUGCUCGUUUGAGUGAUGGUGCAUUGGUGUUGGUUGAUGCUGUUGAGGGUGUUCACAUUCAGACUCAUGCCGUUUUGCGGCAAUCUUGGAUUGAGAAGUUGACUCCGUGUUUGGUACUUAAUAAGAUUGAUAGGUUGAUUUCUGAGUUGAAGUUGACUCCGUUGGAAGCGUAUAACCGGUUGUUGAGGAUUGUUCAUGAAGUGAAUGGGAUUAUGAGUGCGUAUAAGUCGGAGAAGUAUUUGUCUGAUGUAGAUUCUUUACUUUCGGUGCCAUCAGAGAAGCUAGGCGAUGAGAAUCUUCAGUUUAUAGAGGAUGAUGAAGAAGAUACAUUUCAACCCCAGAAGGGUAAUGUAGCAUUUGUGUGCGGAUUGGAUGGAUGGGGUUUUAGCAUAAGUGAGUUUGCCGAAUUUUAUGCUACAAAACUUGGGGCAAGCACUGCUGCAUUGGAGAAGGCUUUGUGGGGUCCUCGGUAUUUCAAUCCGAAGACAAAGAUGAUUGUGGGGAAGAAGGGAAUAAGUACAGGGACUAAGGCUCGGCCCAUGUUUGUACAGUUUGUUCUAGAGCCAUUAUGGCAGGUUUACCAGGCUGCUUUAGAACCAGAUGGGGAUAAAGGGGUGCUUGAGAAAGUGAUUAAAUCAUUUAAUUUGUCUAUUCCGCGUCGUGAAUUGCAGAACAAGGAUCCAAAGGCUGUGCUUCAGGCUGUCCUGAGCCAUUGGCUCCCUCUAUCUGAUGCAAUCUUGUCGAUGGUAGUGAAAUGUAUACCUGACCCAAUUUCUGCUCAAUCCUAUCGGAUUUCCCGUUUGCUUCCUAAAAGAGAGAUUUUGGAUAAUGAUGUUGAUUGCAAUGUACUAACAGAGGCUGAUUUUGUGAGAAAGUCAGUUGAGGUUUGUAAUUCUAGCCCAGAAGCUCCAUGUGUUGCUUUCGUUUCGAAGAUGUUUGCUGUCCCUAUCAAAAUGCUGCCUCAAAGAGGUUCAAAUGGGGAGAUUUUGGACAAUUAUGCUGACAAAGGUGGAAAUGGUGAAUCAGAAGAGUGCUUCCUUGCAUUUGCAAGAAUCUUUAGUGGAGUUCUUUAUUCAGGACAAAGAGUUUUUGUGCUUUCAGCUUUGUAUGAUCCAUUAAAGGUGGAAUCAAUGCAGAAGCACAUACAAGAAGCAGAGUUGCAAUCCUUAUAUCUAAUGAUGGGUCAAGGCUUGAAACCAGUAGCAUCUGCCAAGGCAGGAAAUGUUGUGGCGAUCCGAGGUCUGGGUCAGCAAAUAUUGAAGAGUGCAACUCUUUCAUCUACAAGAAACUGUUGGCCUUUCUCGAGUAUGGUAUUCCAGGUUUCCCCCACUUUAAGAGUUGCAAUUGAACCAUCUGAUCCAGCAGAUAUGGGCGCUUUGAUGAAAGGUUUGAGGCUUCUGAAUCGAGCAGAUCCAUUUGUGGAGGUUUCUGUUUCAUCUCGUGGGGAAAAUGUACUUGCUGCUGCAGGAGAGGUUCAUCUGGAAAGAUGCAUAAAGGAUUUGAAGGAGAGGUUUGCUAAGGUAAGUUUGGAAGUCUCUCCGCCUCUUGUGUCCUAUAAAGAGACCAUUGAGGGCGAUACAUCUAAUCCAUUACAGAAUGUGAUAUUGUUGAGUGGGAGCUCAGAUUAUUUUGAGAAAACAACUCCAAAUGGGAGAUGUGUUGUUCGAGUGCAAGUCAUGAAACUUCCUUUUACGGUGACUAAGGUGCUUGAUGAGUGUGCUGAUUUGCUUGGAAUUAUUAUUGGAGGGCAAGCCAAUAAAAGUUUGGAAACCCAGAGAUCAAGCAGUGGUGAGGACGAUAACCCAAUUGAAGCUCUCAGAAAACGCAUAAUGGAUGCCGUGGAGGAUCAUAUUUCUGCUGGGAAUGAGAAUGACCAGUAUCGGAUGGAGAAAUGUAAAGUAAAGUGGCAGAAACUUCUUAGGAGGAUUUGGGCGCUUGGUCCAAGGCAGAUUGGUCCUAACAUCCUCUUCAAACCAGAUGAUAAACAAAUUGAUACUGAGUCCUCUGUUCUUGUAAGGGGUUCUGCUCAUGUAUCUGAGAGAUUAGGCUUUGUGGAUAACUCUGAUGAUGGUGAUGCAGCUGAGGAGAUACCUCCAGGAGUUAAUCGAGCUUCAUUUGUGGAAGCACAGUCUCUUGAGAGCAGCAUAGUGUCUGGAUUUCAGCUAGCUACAGCAUCUGGUCCUUUAUGUGAUGAACCAAUGUGGGGAUUGGCUUUUAUUGUUGAGGCUUACAUCUCUCCUGUGAUUGUUGAGGCUUACAUCUCUCCUGCUUCCCAACAAUCUGAGCAGCAUGGCAUCUUCUCUGGGCAAGUUAUGACAGCUGUUAAAGAUGCAUGUAGACAAGCUGUGCUCAAGAAGAAACCCCGACUUGUUGAAGCCAUGUAUUUUUGUGAGUUGAACACACCGGUUGAUUCUUUGAGUAAAAUGUAUGGAGUGGUUUCCCGAAGGCGGGCUCGGGUGCUGAAGGAGGAAAUGCUGGAAGGUUCUGCACUUUUCACGGUUCAUGCUUAUUUGCCUGUUUCUGAAAGUUUUGGUUUUGCUGAUGAGCUUAGGAAAGAAACUUCUGGUGCUGCAAGUGCUCUUCUUGCCCUUAGCCACUGGGAAGAACUUCCUGAGGAUCCUUUCUUUGUACCCGAAACAGCGGAGGAGAAGGAAGAGCAUGGAGAUGGUUCUAGUGUUCUUCACAAUACAGCAAGAAAACUCAUGGAUGCUGUGAGGGAACGGAAAGGCUUACCUGUCGAAAAAAAGGUAGUGGAGCAUGGAGCUAAACAGAGGACCUUAGCUCGCAAAGUUUGAAGGUGGUUAAACCUGGUUGUAUCUCUAGCUUUAAAAGAAAUUGUAAGACAAUACAUGUCAUCAGUUUUGAUGUGAAAAGUUAUAGGCCAUGCGAGCAAAUUUAUUUUUCAGCAUGAGUUAAUUUUCAGCCUUUUCUCAUUCUCAUUCCCGAAUUAAAUCCAAUGUGAUUCUUCUAUAUUACUUUGCUGGAUUUAAGCUCUAGGCACGAAAAACAAAUUUGUUUUCCCAUUAUUAAUUUUGACAUUCAUAUUUUCUUGGCAUUAUCUCAAACAUUUUUUAUCCCUUUGAACUUGAAGUCAUUUCUUUGGGGAUAGCUUUCGAUCAUUAUUAGGCCAGUUGCUUGAUAGUUGCGGCCAAGUGCAGUGACUAAUCUAAGCUUCUGACGUGGAAACUAUGUUGAUUUUGGUUGAUGCUGAUUUUGUUUCUUCUAUAUAAUAUCCCCUAGCCCCUAGGAAUUAGGUUCCGGAUAAACCAGCUGUUGCUGCUUUAUGGGUUAUGGGUUCUCAAAACUUCCAACAUAGAUGCCACAAAAGGACACCCCCCUCUUCAUAUGGGCGGCCUAAACUACUCAGUACUUGCUAAUAUAUAGGCUAUCUGGAACUCUUGUACUAGAAAGCACUGCCUUGUUCUGUUUUUGCCCCUCAACUUAGACUGUAGUUUCCAUGCUUGCUCUGGCUGAGGGUAUGGAUUUGGCUACGAUUUUAUUCAUAAUGAUUGCAAAUUAGAUUUGUAAUGUCCCAGGAAAUUCUUUUUUAAGUUGUCUGAGGUUCAAGUUUAUAGCCUAGCAAGCGGUUCCUGGAAAAGAAAAAAUAGAGAUAUGCCGCACCUUAAUUUCAAUAAAAGACAUGGGGUUUAUGCAAGUGGUGCUUUACAUUGGUUAGGGAGAUACAAUAAUGACUGCCGUAAUAAGGUUGUGGCAUUUGGUUUAGCCCUUGAGGACUACGAAGAGGUGCUUCUGCCACUGCCUCUGUUUCAUCAACUUGUGGGUACCAACGCAGCGGUAACCAUAAUUUUUAUAUGGAGUUGGAGUUGGGAGAAUUAGAAUGGUGUUUGUGCGUGGUUGCUAAUGAAGAAAAUGCCGUGAAGGAUUCUUAGACAAAAUUGUUUUCGUUUUCACCUGAAUCAAAUCAAAUUGAUUGUUCUCCACUACGAGCUGAUAAUCCGAUUCUCUAAGUCGUAGAAAUCCGGGACGCAUAAAGUCGGUAGGUUAUUUUAACGGGGGCAGCCAAGUUCUUUCUUGAACGAUUAUGUUGAUCUUCUAUUUUAUGAUCUGAAAAACAACAAAGUUAAUGAUGUUAUACCCCGGAAUAGCUUCCAGAAUCUUGAUAAUUUGAAUGUUUUGCAAACCCUUGUUUCCUGUGAUGAUUUGAACUAACAAACUGAUGGGGAGGUGCCAGAGGAAUCAAUCAACCGAAGACCUGAUCAAGAAGCCGUAUCAAGUCUCUAGCUCAUCCUUGCAAAGAUCACGAGUGUCGUGACGAGGAAGAUUCUGGUGCAAGAAAUAUUGAAACUCCUGUAUUUCAAAAUAAGUAGAAUAAAUAUCUAUGCAUUUAUUUUUUAAUAGAAUCAACCGUACAAACAAUAAAAAGUAUCACUCUUUACUUUGGAAAUCCAUAACAAGAAGACAAGCUUAUAUGGUGAACACAAUCAAAUACUCAGCAUUACUGCCUACAUUCCAAAUCAAAAUGACAAAUUGAGUAACACAGCAAUGGAAGUGCCUUUCUUGUCACAACAUGAAGCACGGCCCAUGCCUAAAUUAACAGCAACAGGCAAUAUAUAUUAUGAGAAAUAACUCGUGAACCUAAUGGACUAAAAUAACUCGGGAUGAUGGAUCUCUACGGCCAAUAACUAAAUUUCUGACAAACAUUUUCUUAAGCUUCAAAAAAUCUCUGAACUUUCUAUUAUAUUCUAUUCCCUACUAAAUGGAAAGGCUAAAAAAAAAAAAACAAACCUGCCCACCGAAUUCAUAUAUGAUCACUUCAGAAAUGGCAGAAGGAACUCGCCAGGCAUAUUCCUCAUAUCGUAAUCCAAAAAACUGUCUCAAGAAAUACUCUUCCAUGUGUUAUCAUAUCAGCAAAGGAGUGACAAACAACAAUUGCAGGUCCAAUUGUGGACAUGGGAUUACACAGCAUUGUCUGAGUACCAACUGACGGAAUGUGGAAGCCACAAUAGCUAGGAUGACUGGCGAAUCUAUGCACUCCAUGAGUAAUCAGUUCGUGAUGUUCCUCACGAGAGACCUUGAUGAGAUACGUGAAAGCCCAACCAGCUGUGAUAGAUCACCAUUUUGCGUAUGAUUUCCGCAACUAUAACCACACGGCAUCACCAGACCCGCAUUGUUUAUCCACCAGUAUUCCUUCUACACUGGAAAGAAAACAAAAUCGAUAACAUACUGCAUCAAGAAGAACGGCAUUUGUCAUAAUAAAACUUUUACUGAUAGUGAUCAGAAUUGACCUAAGAGUAAACUACUGACUCCCAUGAAAGGCAAUUGCUAAAAUGUAUUCGGGAACCUGAAAGAAGAAUGCUGUGAAGGACGUCUGAUAUAACUGUCUGCCAGCUGUGUGUAACCCAAUAUUUCUGUCAUUUCCAUCAAACGAACUCUCAGUUUUCUCUCGGUCGUCUAAAGAAGGGCAUCUCCUGCAUCUGAAAGAGAGCAUACGUUGCUUCCCCCUUUUUUUUUUUUUUUUGGCUUUUAAAAUUAGUAACAAAUACAUAUGACAAAUUGUACAUUUCUGUUUAAAUAACUAGAAAGUUUAUUUUUAUUUUGCAAUUGUAAAUUCAAAUUUGAUCAUGUAAAUAAAUAAAAUAAUAUAUGUUGUAUUUAAAUCAAAUUAAAUUGCACCACAUUUGUUACGGUUUGGAACUGUUACAUGCCUAAUACUAAUCUUUUAAAUUUCUAAUCUACUCAAUUGAACUGAACAACAAACAUAUUACAUAAUACAAAAUUUUUCGGCAUUACAACAUCUUCUCAGUCGUAGCCUAUGUGUUUCUACAUCCAGAGGGUUUCUUGAGACCUUAUGCAGUUGCUUUAGAGGCCUUGCAACAUCCUUUGCUUGCAGCUUCUCGACAUAGAAACAUUUCAAGCAAUCGGAAUUUUGGGUUCGCCUAAAUUCACGAAGGCCUCUGCACGAGCCAUUCGUGACAUUGCAGCAUUCCAAGACACAAGGUGGUUCAUAAACACGUUUGCAUAUGUCCCUUUGUCAUUCUGUUAGAACAAAUCACAGGAUUGUUAUGGAUGGCAUCUUAUGGAAGGUAAACAGAUGAGGUAAUGAAGGUUACAUACCUUGUAAUCCAGAUAAUAAGCAUGCUGCAAAAAGUAAAAGAGAAAUAAAUAACAUGUAGCAUAAAAGGGGGGGGGGGGGGGUGUGGAGCGCUUACCUCCCACAUAUCCAAACUGAUGAUGGGCUGCAUGAGGAAAGAUGUUUAAUGCAAUUGUUAAAAUGGAAACAGAGUAUUCACUCAAAGGGAUUAAGAUCGUACGAUGUCAUUCCACACAAGUGGAUUUAUGGCAUUUGAUGUUUUAACCACGGCGAGCCUUCUCUCUUCCCUCUUCACUGAAAAAUUUCAAAGUAGCACCAAGCAGGAAAAUGUUAUCAACAAAAUGAACUAAGAUUGACAAAUGAAUAUACUACUAGUAAGCUCAGCCAGCAGGCAAAACAGUAUUUCAUCUUCAAAUAUUUCUUUUACUAAAACAUAGAUCCAUAACUUUUCUGACAUCAAAUCCUCUGAUACAUCACAAUCAAAGAAGUGAACAAAAAUGCUUUGGGAGGGGAGGGAAAGCAGUGGUCAGAGAAGGGAAAUAUUCAUGACAGCCCUCAUGACCUAUCUAACUUAAAUGUAAAAACAGCGCAUGCUACACAGUAUGAUACUAAACAAAUUAUUAAGUAGUCAAGAAGGUAUAUUUCAGGUGUCAUUUAUUAUUCUUGUUUUGAUAAAAGUUACUUUACAUGACACUAAAGGUUGGUCUAAAAAUAGCCCAGAAAACAGUGUGUCCACAUACUAAAACAUAGAACUUUAAGUUGCACAUAAAAAAUUAAAAAACCAUACUAAAAAAAUUAAAAAACCAUACUAAAAAAUUAAAAAACCAUACUUGGUCACCUAGCCCUACCCAUUACAUUUGGAAACAAUAAGGAACUUUAAUGAAAGAGAUCUAAAAUCUGAAUCAAAAUGCAAUGCAAUGUAACACCAAUUAAAAGGAAAACCAACUUAACAAAGAGCUUACAAACAAGCCAAACAUAGCCAGAGCCAAACAAUGUGAGGGCAGCUCCUAUAAACUUCUCUUUGAAAUUUGUAAAGGAACCAAAGUCCUUUUCAAUCUGCUCAAGUACUCCAUAUUUGGGUAUGUCACCUCCUCCAGGCUGCAUGGACUCCCAAAAGAAGUCAUGGUUCCAGACCUGCAGUGGCAGGUUAAAACCAAAGAUUUCACAUUAGUGUUACCACUUCAAAUGGACAUUAAAAUUAUUUAAACAGGGUGAAAUGUAAACAAGUUCAUCCUUAAGAACUCUAGAAACAUACAAAGGAUAAAGCACUCCAAGACACCGACUAGGUUAACUGUUGUUGCCUGUAAGAAUUUCCCAUUCCAUAAAGGUUUGUUUACUUCUGAAGCUCUAUCUACAAUAUGGAAAACCAGUAACAUGCAUCAACCAAGGUCAAUAUUGUAAAGUACUAUAAAAUGGCAUAGAGAAGCUCUUUGGCUUCUUGAUCAAAAAAUUGGGUGGGUUUCAACUGAUCCUAAAUAUGACACUAUUGGACCAUAGAAGACCAAACCCAAAAUUUGGAAAAUAAGCCAAAUCUUAGAUAUAAGGCUUUUCUGUUUUUAAUUAUAUAAUGCAUAAAUGUAAACCAAGCCCCUUUCAUUCCUAAGUCCUAACGUGAAUGGAUUCAAAAACAGUAUUGAACUCUGAACUAAAUUCUUCCUCUUCUUUUCAAUAAUUAAAACUUCAAAUUUCAUUGAUAAUAACAAUCAACGAUUUCACUAAUCAUACAAUAAAGCAAGAGAAUGUGGUAUAACAUCAACAUUCACUUUAUUCUGAAGUUAAACUCCAAGCUUUAACAUUUGCUGAAAAGCUAUUAUAUAUAAACCCAAAAAUUUGUUUUAAAGUCAAACAAAUUAAUCAGACACACCAAUUUAUGAGCCACUUUUAGCAAACUUCACUCAAAACAAUUUUAACAUUAACAAGAAUAGACAUUAUAUCAUGAAGCCACCAAGCAGAGAGUUUCAACCGUACCUGUACAGCAUUGUUGAAUACGGGUAAAGGGUUUCCACUGUUAUAAGAAACUUUAACAAGUUCAUCCAAAGUGUAUCCAUACAACACAUCAUCUUUCGCAAGGUGUUUAUUCAAACCUUCCACAUAGCCACGAUGAAGCUCUCCCCAAUGCACUUCCAGCGUCCGCUUGCUCAUAUAAGGCUCUAAAGCAUCCUAAAAAAUAAAAUAAAAUUCAGCGAAGUAAAAUGUCAAUUUCCAUAGGCUUGUCCAGCCCAUUUACAGAAACAAACCAUUUCACUCACAAGUUUAUAAGGAGGUGUCUUUAAUCCAUAAUAAGCAAUGAUUUUGGAAGCUCUUUGUGACCCAUGAAGCUGUCUUCUCUGCAAAAACAGAUAAGAUAAAACAGAAAUGCUUUUCUGUUCAAAAAUUUGAGUAAACAAAGAAAGGGUUUUAAUUAAAGCAAAUAACGAACCGAAUGACAAAACUUGGGAAUCUUCGAGGGAUUGAGCAGAAGAUGAGUACUAGGUGGAGCCAAGGGAUUACAGGUAACUGAACCCAUUUCAGUUCUCUGUCGAAUUCUUUUUUCUUUUUCUUUUUUUUUCAAGAAAAGAUUAAUCUCUUUGUGUGCAAAGUGGGAACUGUGCCUUUGAAUUUUUAUUUUGCCCUAGAAUGCAAAUCCGUUAAUUUAUCAUCUACUGUAAAAUGUCUAUUAUUAUUUAGUUGUUCUUAGAAACUAUUAUAUUGUGUUCGUAUCGUAUACGCUUGUUUCCUCCAUUUAUUGGUGUUGAGUAAUAAAAAGUAUCAGUCAAGCAUCUCUUAAUUUCUCACCCACGGACAAGUCUCCUCGGCUAAAUAUUAUGAACAAAUUCUUUGGCAGUAUUCCAUUAUGGAGCAUGUACCAAUAAGAAAUGAAUACUGACCAGAGGUUCAUAUCGACCAAGUUCUUGUUAAUCAGAGAGAGGACACGAUCUCACACCCACGCGACAGUUUCGUUAUGACCCAAACUGCUGAAGAGAACACGAUUCUCCACAUUUAUCCACUUUCGGCGGUUGAAGGCCUCUUGAGGCCCUUGAUCACCCACGUUUAACGGGCAUGGGAAGGGCCUAGAAACAUGGAACAACUAUCUAUAAAAGCUAAGAAAAAAGAGAGAGAGGGAUACAAAAAAAUUGGAGAGAAGGGGAAACUCUGUCGAAUUGAUAGCGGACAUUACUACAUAAGAAUCCUAAAUACAUUCUACUUUAAGAACAUUGCAGUUAGUGUGCGUAACUUAAAUCAUAUAGUUUUUUCGUAAAUACCGUAUACUGACUUAAGCAUCGGAGGGUUUAUGCUGAAAAAACUAUCGGCGUCUCUGAUUGGUUUCUGUGAACGCAUGAUUGGAAAGAAGAAGAAGAAUUACUUAAGCCCCAGGAGCUCGGGCAAUUACUAAAGCUAAUGGAGUGCAACCUUUUUCAUCAUUGUCAUCACAAUCGUUGGUAAUCCAAUCAGGUCGGGCCAAGGGCGACCAGAUUUUAGCAUCAACAAUAGGAAAAGAAGUUUGUCUACUUAAAAUAUGCAUAGAAAAAAUACUAAAAAAAGAGAUGUAAACUCAUUAUUUUUUUUAAUAAUAUAUAUAAUAAGAUCCAAGUCCAAUAUUAACAUAUAUGUAUGAUUAAAGUCUCGUAUAAAAAAAAAUCCACAACCACACAGAGGUAUCAAUUAACCAAAGAGAAUGGUUGUUGAAUAAGUACAGAGCUAGAAAAGUUGAAUAAAGAAAGAAAGCUAGAACAUUUGAUUUUAAAUAAAUAAUCUCUUAUAAUAAAAUAACGGUGUGUUUACUUAUCAGUAAUGAGAAUAGAAAUUUUGAAAUCAGAAUUAAUGACAUGUUUACUUGCAAAAUUCAAAGUAGUGUUACCAUAAAUUUGGAAAUCAUUACCCGAUUCCUAAGGGGGUGCUUGGGAAUCAAAACUUCAUUUUCAGAAAUAACUUUUUUACUUCUAACUAAACUUCCCAAUACUCAUUUUAUCUUUGAUUUAAAUAAUAAUUAAAAAUUAAAAAUAAUAAAUUAAUAAAUUAUAACUAUAAAAAUAUUUUAAUAAAUAAUAAUAACUUAUUAUUAUAAUAAUAAUUCACUAGCCAUUGCUUAGAAGGUAUCAUUAAAAGAUCACAAUGCCUAAUGAAAUAGAUAUAAUUGUGGCUUGCUGGAACCCAGGGUCUUUACUUGAUCCAGGACGUGUGAUGUAUAUGCCAUUCCAAAGUGAUCUAUGAACAUAUUAAUAAGUCAUUUAAUGGUAGUUCCAUCUAUCAUUUUAUUGUGAAAGACCAGACUCACCCGUUCUACCAUAAGUACGUCCGUAUUCCGCUGAGUAGGAUUCGCCAAUGGAUUUUAGUCAAUAAGUGGAAAACUUCCUUUUCUCGAUCUUGAUUCGCGUAGAAAGGUCAGCAAUGGUGGUCAUAUUUUAAUUAUAUAAUAUUUUCGUAAAUAAUAAUAUAAUAAAAUAAUGAUAAUGAUAAAUAAGUAAAUUAUAAUAAUAUUUUCAUAAAUAAUGAUAAUAGUAAAAAAAUAAAAUCAAUAAUAAUGUUGAUGACGACGACGACGAUAUUAUUAUUAUUAUUAUUAUUACGACUACUACUACUACUACUACGACCAAUUGACAAUAAUUAAAAAGGGCAUUUUAGUAAAUUAUGAUAAUUUAUUCCGAUUUCAACACAAAGUAGACACAUCAAUGGAAAUGAAUCUCAUUCCGAUUUCGAUUCUUACAGCUCAAGUAAAUAAUUUAUUCUGAUUCUCAUUCCUGAUUCUGGUUCCAGCCCAUUCACAUUCCAGCUUAUUCUGAUUCCAGCCUAUUCGAGCUUAUUCUGAUUCCAGUCCAUUCCGAUUACUGAUUAGUAAACACAUCAUAAAUGCAUGAAUUACUUAAAUUUGUAAAGAGGACGUGAUUAAAACGAAUAAUUUAUUUGCCUACGAUUGGGUUAGCCCUGAUUGAGCCACAACAUCCGGAGAUGCUCUUGGAUAAAACUUAAAAUAAAAUGGUUCAAUUCACUACAAUUCCAAUCCCAAACUCUCUUAUCUAACUUAGUCUGACUUAGUGGAACAAAUUAAGACAAUACUUGGUUUUAGAUUGGAUUUCCCAAGUUGAAUUAAUAUUGAUUUGAAUAGGGUCAUACUUGAUCUAACAUUAGUGAAAAACUAGACAUAUGGAUUCACCUUGUAAGGUAAUUGGAACCUAGAACGCAUAAUGUUAUAUCUAAUGUUAGCAUAACAACUUAUCACUGUUAGGUUGCAUAUAGAUAUAAGAUAUCUAACAAGUGACAGCUAAGGAUGCAUGAGGGAUUUUGUCCAGCGCUGUAGUAAAUGUUGUAGCAACAAGUUCUUAAUUAGAAAAAUAAUCAAAACUAUUAAGUGAGUUUAAUCACUUAACUACUCAUUUCUUAUUGAUUGCAUUUUCGUGUUUGAUUUAAGAUUUCCUUUAUUGCAUUUUUAAUUUAGUUUGUUUAUUAGUUUGUUUAAUUAUUUUAUUUUAAUUUAAUCUAAACUGUAUUGUCAGAAUUACUGUAGCAAAUCCGAUAAUAUCAAUCCCUAUAGAGACGAUCUUGAAUACUCGUCAUUAAAUUACUUGUUGUGUACAUUUGUAUAUUGACACCCAUAGCAUUAGAAUUUACACCACCAAAUUUUUUAUAGUAAGUUUUUCAACAUGAUGAAGCUGCAUGAGAAGUUCCUUUAACAUGUAGCAAUGAGUUUUGUAACCAGCAUGCUUCAUUUUCAACUUGAAACUGAGAUUAGCUCCCUCUAGAGAUGAUAGAUCAUUAAUGAGCUUGAACUUCAUUUUGCCUAUAAACCCUAAUAAGCUCAAUGAAUAAACAUUAAAAGCUGAUAUUUCCAUCACAGUUCCAAUAUCUUCCUUAACAUUAUUGAUAACUCUAUGAAAUGAGAGUUAUAAUGACAAUUUUAGAUUUAAACCAAUAUUAUUUAGAGAGUAAAUUAUGUGUUUUUAUUGCAUUUUUAGUUAUAUUUUGUAUAAGCAUCUGUUUAAGUUUAUUUUUAAUAAAUCGAUGUUGUUUUAGAUCACUUUGUGCUCUGAUUAUGUGCGUGAUUGUAGAUGAUAACAAAUCUCAAGUUUUAAGGAUGGAAUGCUGCAACAGCAGACUUGCAGAGAUGAUAAAGGACUUGUUAGUAGAUGAAUUAAAACAAGACUGACUCAGAGAAGAUGUUAUGGCUAUUGCUGUAAUAAUCCGAGAGCACCAGCAGACAAGAUUACGCGCGUGUUAAUUGACAAAGUAGCAACACGCGGCACAAAAAGAUAUACGAUCCGAGGUUUCCAAAAAAGGAAACAUGUGGCCACAUGCUUUUGGUUGUCGUAAUUCCAAGAUAUAAAACGAGCACAAGUGAAAGAAAAAAAAAAGGGAGCUAUCACUCAUGAAAAAUAACAGAGAAAAAAAGAAUAAGAGAGAGUUGAGAGCUACAACAAGAGAUUUCAAAAGAAAAAGAAGGAGAUAUAACAAACACCUAGCGGAACUCAAUUCUUUAUCUUUAUUUCUUGUUUUCAUCACUCUAUGAGAAUUUAUUUGAUGGCAAAAACAAGUAUUGUUACUGUUUUAUUGCAUAUCAUGAACUAAACUUUGAUAUAAUUGGGUUUUAGACAAGCUUAAUGGUUAAUGACAUUUAUAUGUGUGUCGCUCAGAAUCUGCUAUAGAAUUUUAUCUUGAUUUUACUUAUUACAAAUCCUUACUUCGGUUGACCACCUAUUUAGUGGAUAUUAGCUUAGAAGGAGCCUAAAAAAUGUCUGACUUAAUGGAACAAAUUAAGACAAUACAUGAAUACAUGGUUUUAGAUUGAAUUUCCCAAGUUGAGUUAAUCUCGAUUUGAAUAGAGACAUACUUAAUCUAAAAUUAGUGAAGAACUAGAGAUAAUGAUUCACCUUGUAGGACAAUUGAAACGUAGAACGCAUACUGUUAUAUCUAAUAUUAGCAUAACAAUUGGUUAUUGUCAGGUUGCAUUUAGAUAUAAAAUAUCCAACAUGCGAUAGCUGAGAAUGCAUAAAGAAUUUUGCCCAGUGCUGUAGUAGAUGAUGUAGUAACAGAAUCAUAAUUGAAAAAAUAAUCAACAUCAUUAAGUGAGUUUAAUCACUUAACUUCUCUUUUCCUGUUGAGUUUAUUUUUGUGUUUGCCUUGAGAUUUUUCAUUAGUGCUUUCUAGUUAUUGCAUUUUUUUAUUUUAUUUUGUUAGGUCAUUAAUUUUGUUAACUAUUUUAUUUUAAUUAGAUUGAAAUUGUACUGUAACAAGUCCUAUAACAUCAAUUUUUGUAAAUAUAAUAUGAAUACUUAUCAUUAUAUUACUUGUUGUGUACACUUGUACACUAACACCUAUAACAAUAAACAUCAACAAUUAUCUGCUACAAACUCAAUCAAACUUGAAGAUCAAACAAUAAGCUUGAAAAUACAUUAUAAUGUUUCAACUUCAAGCAUUCAAGACUCGGAAUGCCUAAUAAAAUAGUUUCAAUCACAUCAUUAUACAAAAGCGUAGAAGCAAUGGAUAUAACCUUGAGUAAAGUCCAAGAAACUAAUCCACAACGCUUGGGAAUGUGACAAUUUAUAGUAUCCAAUAUUAUAAAUGACGAAUUGAAAAGAAUAGAUUCAAGCAACUCGUAUUCAUUACUAUUACUUAAUUCCACACCACCAUCAAAAUGUAGAAAGAGCUUUUCUACACUGCGUUCUAAGGCAAAACAGAACUAAUUAUCUACGUCAAAAUGGCAAGAGUACUUGUACUUGAAACUAAUAAUGAGCUUUUCAAAUUCAUAAUUAGGACUAGUACGAUAUUAAAAUAAUUUUUUAUAUAAUUACUUAAUUAGAUCUUUCUUCUCAUUUCAUUCUUAAUUCCUCAAUUCUCAUCAAUUCCUUCAUAUAUUUUCUUUUAACCAUAAAUAAAUAAUUUUAUUAUACGUUGUCAUAAAAUAAGAGGAGCAGAAUGCAUUGACAAAAUUUUACUAGCAAGUUAAUGAAUAUCAAGAAAUGAAUCUUUAUCGAUCACAAAAGUUAGUAAAUAUAACACACACACACACACACACACUAUAUAUAUAUAUAUAUAUAUAUAUAUAUAUAGUUUUCUGGUCAGAGAUUUUAAAGUGCAGGAAAGUCCGGGAAAGCUACGGCUUUAAAGGCUUACAGUUUUAAGCCUUUAAAACUAUACGGUUUUAAAGUUUUCCCGUACUUUUUCGCACUUUAAAAUUUCGAAUUGAAACAUUCUCUCUCUCUCUCUCCAUAUAUAUAUAUAUAAGGCAUAAAAUAGAGAUUAACGAUUUGCUAAAAAAAGGUUAAAAAAUUAUUCCAAAAGAAAAUGAAAUUAAUCAUUAAUUUGUAGAAUGCAAAAGUAGAGAGAGACUAUAUAAUCGUGAGUAGGGAGAGAAAAAUAUUAGUAAAGGGUAAUUUUGAGAUUUUUAAAUUUUAAAUUCUUAGUGAUAAAUUUAUUUUAUUAAAAUGGGCGUAGAGAUGAAUUUAGUAGGUUCAAUAGUCCCACCUAAUGAACAAAGAGGUAUUUAAAUAAUUUUCAAACUAUUAAAGGAUAUUUAAUUAAAACCUCUUUCAAAUGAGUAAAUAUUUGUUGUGUUUGAGAUAGUUUGGUUAUUUAAUUAUAUGUGAGGGCAUAAUUUUACUUUUUUAGUUUCUGUAUUAUAUCUACAUUGAUUUUAACUUUAUAUUAUUAUGUACAAUUCUUUAAAUACUAUACUAGAUUUUAUAUUAUUAUGAAUUAUAAGUAUUAUUUUUAUUUUUUUAAUUGAAAAUUAGUAAAAAUGAAGUAAAAUCAGACAACUCUAUCAAAACAAUCUUCUAAUAACAAAGAUAAUUUGUUAAACAACUCAAAAUAAAUAAAUAAAUAAGCUCGAAAUGAUCUCAAAUCCAAACAUGAUCCAAAUUCAUUUGAAAGGAUUUGAAUUUGUAUAACCUAAAUAUGUCCCAUUUAAUAUGAUUCGAACUCGAUCUAGUCUGAACUCAACCCAAAGUUUUGAUAUGAUCCGAAUAUAAUUUGAAUCAAAUCAAAUUACAAAUUGGGGUUGGUGAAGAUUACUUUUCUACCACCCAAUUAACCCAAAAUUCAAUUGACUUAUCUAAAUCUAAAAUUGGUCACCCAAUAAAAUAUGCACUAAGCAACCAAGUAGCAAUUGUUCUAUUUGAAAAAAAAAAGAGGAAGAACUAAUUGUCAAACCCUUAAACUGUCAUUUCAAUUCUUCAAUUUUCCUCUUUAUUUAAUAAAUAAAGCAAUGCCAGUAUAAUAAGACCAAGUAAAAGCCAUCAAUAGUAAUUACUUAAGUUAAUAGUCCAUGGUACAUUAAGAAUGUAGAUUUUUCUUUUCACCUCAAAUAUUUUUGUUUACCAAAUUAUAAAUUCUUCAUACUCAAAUUUUCGAAUCAAAUUUGUCAUAACUUGCUUGAAUUUUUUAUUUAUUUAUGAAGAAUAAAAAAGUGAUAGUGAUGAACUUUUGUUAAGAUUUUGUACAGAUGAAGCAAUAAUUUUAUGGUUCUAGAUGAAAUAUACGAAUAUUUAAAGAUAUAUCUUUUUGCCUUCUCACUAACUAUUUCUUCUACUAGCUGCUAUCCUCUUUAGUAGCCAUUCUAGGGGCACAUGGCUAUCAGCUCUUGAAAGAGUAGCUUGCAAGCAUAAGGAAUGUGGAUCCAUCAUUAGAAAGUAAACUCAGGAAAUUGACUCAAACAUCGAAACAAGGACUUUGAAGAGAAAUACUAAAAAAAAUCACCCGACUAAAGUCAGUUUAGUUUUUGCAUCCAUUGCAUUGGAAAAAAUUUCUAUAGAGAUUUAUAGUGGCUAUCAAGCCACACUCGUCACAAACAUGGACACUUUACAGAUCACUUACAACAAAUAAUCUUUCCUUGAGAAAGUGAGCAGUGCCAUGUUAUAUGAUGUAAUCAUUAUCUCUCUAACUCUAUGUCCACCAUGAGAAAUUCUAGAAUACAUCAAAUGUAAUACAACCAGCUAAUACAUUGUAUGUCAUAACAUGAUUUGUUUAUUGUGUAGCUGUCAUAGACCUCUGAUGUAUACCAAAAUUUCUCGUCCACCAUCGUGCGAUUUUCUUUAAGUCAGUUGCCUCGUAAGCAUCUCCAUUAGACCCCAUGCACGAGAAUAUAUUUUGUCCUCUACUAGCUAAUAUAAUUUUUGGUAAUAAGUUGGUCCAAUGAAGAUUUUUGUUUCUAAGAGUCGCUUCCCAAUAUGACCACUAUAUAUGGUCUCAAGCCCAUAUGCAUCAACCUACACUUGAGUAACACUUUACUGAUAUUUUCCACCUUAACAUAUCAAAUAAUAUUUAUAAUGAAAAAUUUUGAAUUGAUAAUAAACAAAUUAAAAUCAAAUCGAAGUUGUUUGUGGUCAUAUGUUAUGUAACUAACCAACCAAGCUUUCAAUAGAAGUAUAACUUUUGAAGAUUACUACUUAUUGUAACAUCAUCAAAAGUACUAACGUCUACUUAUUUGUCCAAGUGAACAAAAACCUUUCCCACGUAAUUUGUGGAGAACUUGUCACGAUCAUUAGCCUCAAAUUUGGAGGGGUGGGUACCUAAAAAAUACACCUCGACGCCCAAGUUAGUGUUUAAUUAAGAUUAAAGGAAAAGAAAGAUGGAGAAGAUGUGUUUUUAUCUCUAGUAUGAACAGUGGUUUUAGAGACCAAAUACCUCUUUUUCUCUUAUAGAGGGGUCUCUAUUUAUAGAUGAUGAGUGAUGUAGAUUUAGGGUUUUGCUUUGAAUCCUCAAUAUAAUGACAUGUGUCAUCCAUCGUUUAUGUACAUGCCCCCCCCCGUGUGUUUCCUUACUUGUUUAACAUUUGGGCGUGAAUUCCUUAGACUAAUGGAUUGCAAAACUAAUCCCCCCCUUGCCAUUUUUAUAAGCUCCUAGAGAAUUUUUUCCUUAGGUAUUAUUCCUCCGGAAUAACUUGGGUGUUAUUUACCCCGAAAUAGCUUCUGUUAUUUGAUAUGAUGGACAUGUGGCAUGGUUAGGUGCCUUUGGAAUAUGACACCUACAUAAGUGAAACCAAUCGUGACAAAAAAUAACUGGAAGAAAAAAAAGAAAUAAUAUAUGUGACAUAAUUUUAUUGGAUAAUUUUUUAUCAGAUAGAAAGGUUGAUACGUGCCAAAGUUAUAAUCAAGACUAGAAAUAAUUGUGGAUUACUGUUUGUAGAAGCUUUGCAUAGUUUCACACAGAAUGUAAUACUAAAAUUAAUUAUUAUAAUAAAAAGUUUAAAGUACUAUAACAACAAUAAUGCAGCCAGUGUAACUCAACACGAGAUCUGUGAUCUUUGCAUAUAAUGCAAAUGCAGCCAAUUGAAUUCAAAUACAAAUACAGUUUGCACAUAUAAUAUUUAAUAGAUGCAUGCAAACAAAAUUAUCAUUCAUCACAUGCGAUUAUAAUUUAAAAUGCGCUUAUACAAAUACAUAGCAUGAAUCUUAACUUGAAUACAACAUCAAUGUAAUAGUGUUGUAUAUCUUAUGAUCAUUUAAUAAUAAAGUGAUUUAAGGAAGCUUAUUACAUCAGUUAAAUUAAUUAUCAUAAUGAUUAUAUGCCAACUAAAUCAAUUGUACACUAACAACAGUUCUAAAAAUUCUUGAAAGCAAUCAAACUAUGAUUUGUGGAACUGGAUUUUACAUGAGCAUUGUAACUAACUGGUCUAAUUAGCAUUUAGAAGAAGUGAAUAACCCACCAAUUAUAAUUGUCUACAUAUAAACAACCACUAGAAAAUGACACUUCAAUUAGUUAAAGGAUCAUAUAAUCACAUAUUAUUGACUAGAAAACAGAGCAUAAGCAUGACGUACUACAUAUGGUCAGGAAAUGGAAUGAUCGAGGGGUGAGCACUCAGUAUCAAGGAGGGAUGAAUCUCGCAAUGUGUGGAAGUAUUAAUAUAAGUCUCAUUUUGAUGCCUUGCAUGUGCAAGAUACUGAAAGAAAUUUGCAUCUUUAAGUUCAUUUUAACGCUUUACGUAGGGGUGGGCAAAAUCGGGUUCGGGUCAAUCCGAUCGGGUUUCGGGUUGUUCGGAUUAAACAAGAAUUAAUCCGAAUGUAACCCGAAUUAUGGACCCGACCCGAACUUAGUUCGGGUCGGGUCAAUUGUUAAACUGAAUUGGAAUUCGUAUAUUUAAUCAAAAACUCCAAAUUAGAACCGUUAGAGAACCGAACUGAAAAAACCUGAAAAGAAUGAAUCUGGCUAUAUUUGUGAACCAGAAGCAAGCCAGCGUUAUGCUUACACCAUUUCAUUCUAAGAGGUGGGGUCCAAAAACUUGUUGUGAAAAUUUUAAUAUACUCGCAAGCGCACGAAUCUAGAAAUAGAGUAGUGGUAACGAGGUCGAUCCCACAGGGAUUGUUAUAAAUUGAAAAGUCUAAUUUAAAUCUAAAAUUAAUAUUAAUUCUAACCUAGUUGAGCAAAUUGAGUUUUUAAGAAAAUUAAACCAAUUAAACUAAGGAACCAAUUAAAAUAAAGGAGAAUUCAAUAAGAUAAGAAUUACCAAGGUUUCAGAAUCCACCACUAUUCAACUAGUAAUUAUCUAAUUAUUAAUUAAUCCCCAAUUUUAGAGUGACAACUCGAAAUCAAUCUAUGUCAUCUCAUGGAUAUAACAAUUAAGCCCAAGUAAUUAAAUCUAAUGUAGGUUCUUUUUCUGCUUAAUAAUAUGACAUCUAAGCAUCCUAUGUAAAUAUAUUGAAUAAUAAAGAGUCAAAGUUUUCCUAAGCACUCUAUGUAAACAAUUUAAUGAAAGACAUAAAAUCAAAGAUAAUCAUGUAUAAACUUUAUAAAUCCAAGCAUAGAUUUAAUCGAAUAUAAAUCCUAACAAUCAAUAAUGCAUGACAGAAUUGAUGAAAAGAUUUUAUUAACAUCCAAUUAAUCAUGUGAAAUAAAAACCAUAAUCAUCAAAAUCAAAGAACAUAUAUAGAAUUAAUUAAAUAAAAAGAUAUAAUUAUUUCAUUGAAUAGGGUUUCAUCCUUAACCUCAGUAUAAGAAAAUUAGCUAGACAUACUUGAAUUGGGAGCAACAAAAUAAAUAAAUUCAGCCAUGGGGAAGCCGAAUUGCUGCAGAUUUUCUUCUCUGUCUUGAAUCCUUACGUCUGCAGUUCUCCCUUCUGGUGGCUCUCUCUUCUUCUUUCCGUCCAGCCACUCCCUCCAAAAGCAAAAACUCUCUUUUAUAAUAUCUAAAAUGGACCCCACCUCUUAAAUCCUAAAGCCAAAAGGCUUGGCCUUUUACUUGAUUUGCUCUCACACGUGAUCACUCUUAGAAUUGCUUUAGGAUUCCUUUUGUAAUUAUGAAAGCCAAGUGUGGGUCCCUUUAAAUUGCUUCCAAAUAUUAGAAUGCCAUGCAUUUGCUUCCCACGUGCUGGCCACUUUAGCUUUAAAUUUCUUCUUUGUUUGCACUAGCAUGGAGAAUUCACUUUAUUGGCUUCAGCUUCUUCGGAUUGAAUUUCAUACACAUCUAUUUAAUUGCCUCCACAAAUUGACUUGAUCUUUAAUGCUAUCCAUUUACUAUUCUUUAUGUACUUUUCAUCCAUAAUCUCCAAUCAAUUCUCUAUUCAAUAAAAUAAUUCAAUUAAUUAAAAAUAAUAAAUAAAAUUAACUAGCAAUUAUAUAAUAAAGGGUAAAAUAUGUAUAUAAAUUAUGCUCAUCACCUAUCACCCAUAGACAAAAUGAAUCUGGAUGCAUUAUGGCUUUUCUCCUUAAACCUCAAGAGCAUUUUCGUCCUCUCAGUCAAGCGUGAAACUGCAUGUACGAACUGCUUCGCUUUCACGCACCGGUAGCUACAGCGGCAGACCCAGGCCAAGAUAAUUUAUUUCUUCCAACCACAAACUAUGUUUUGUUCACGAAUUACAAACUGUGCAGCUUGUGAUUUCUGUCGUUCUGCGUAUGUGUGCGCAACAGCGAUAUGUGCUGUGUGCAGUGUUAGGCUAUUAGCUUAGGUUUUUUUUUUUUUUGGAACUCGAUCGGGUAUUCGGAUCGGGUCGGGUUUGACCCGAACCGAUCACAACUCGAUCGAGUUUGUAAAUUUCAAUCUGAUCGGGUUUCAAUCCCGACCCGAUCCGACCCGACCCCGAAAUUUAUCGGGUCAGGUCGGAUCGGAUCGGUAAAAUGUCCAUCCCUAGCUUUACGGCAUCUUUAUGAGCUAAUUCAUCAUUACAUUACGACAUCUUUAUGAGCUAAUCCAUCAUUACAUUUCACUAAAAUGUAUUUCCAAUUAAUUAAUACUAUUUUGCUCACAUUAACUGUCGCACAAAUCAUUGUUGUUUCUUCUUCCUAUGGGUUACUGUAUUAUAUGAAUCCUUAUUCAUUAUCUUCUUUCAUCUUUAACUCUCAUCUAAAAUUCGUGUUUUUUAUAUAUGUUUUUAAUUUCCUCCACUAAUUUAAUAUAAUUGGUAUAUAUUUUUAAAUAAUAUCAAAUAUAGUUUAAGGUGAUAUGUGAUUAUGCUUGUUGAAGAAAGAGAAAAAUUGAAAAUGAAAUCAUUAAAAUAUAUUAUAUGUGUGAAAUUUAUAGGCAUCUUUCAUGCGUCAAACUGUGAAGGAAAUCUCGAAUAUUGUGUUUGAGAUUAUGAAAAUCAAUAACAUGUGCAUGUGAAUAAAUCUAAGAUAUUUAUGAGAAGGGAAAACAGUCCAUACUACUUUUGCUAAUGGAUGUCUACGAUUCAUGAGUGUCAACAAACUCAUGAAUAAUUGGCUUUGUUUCUUAGAGAUUAAUUGGUUUUAAAUUGCAAAUUUAAUUAUUUUUAAAAAUUUAGUUCAUUAAUUUGAUAUCUUAAAAUGACGUUUGAAUAAUGGCGUUUGAAUUCAUAAAGAUUUAAUCUCUCUCUGAAAAAUUUCACUCAAGGUGAAUAAAAUUUUCUCGUCCACCAUCUACGAUUUUCUUUAAGUCAGUUGCCUUGUAAGCAUCUUCAUUAGACCCCAUGCACCACGAGAAUAUAUUUUGUCCUCUACUAGCUAAUAUAGUUUUUGGUAAUAAGUGGGUCCAAUGAGGAUUUUUGUUUUUAAGAGCCGCUUCCCAAUAUGACCACUAUACAUGGUCUCAAGCCCAUAUGUUGAUACCCGCACUUGAUUAACACUUUACCAAUAUUUUUCACAAACAAAUUAAAAUAAAAUCGAAGUUGCUUGUGGUCAUAUGUUAUAACAAAUUAAAAUCAAAUCAAAGUUGCUUGUGGUCAUAUGUUAUGUAACUAACCAAGCUUUCAAUAGAAGUAUAACUUUUGAAUAUUACUACUUAUUGUGACAUCAUCAAAAGUACUAAUGUCUACUUAUUUGUCCAAGUGGACAAAAACAUUUCCCGCGUGAUUCCCUCUAUAGUCUAUUAUAGGUCUUCUUGUGUAUAGGUUAGGUCUCUAACUCCUUUCUAACCAUGCAGAAAGGUGAACAUAUCACCAAUUGUGGCGCCUUCAUUAGUCUAACCCUUACUUUCAUGAAAAUUGCCCUUCCUCAUUAUUUGCCAAUAAGACCUACGCAUGUAAGUAUACAUAAUUAGGCAAAAAGAAUGUAAAGCAUAUGUGAUUAGGCAAAAAGAACGUAAAGUAUACUUGAUUAGGCAAAAAGAAUGUAAAGUAUUUCCAAUAAUUUAAUAUAAUUGCUAUAUAUUUUUAAAUAAUAUCAAAUAUAUUUUAAGGUGAUAUGUGAUUAUGCUUGUUGAAGAAAGAGAAAAAUUGAAAAUGAAAUUAUUAAAAUAUAUUAUAUGUGUGAAAUUUAUAGUCAUCUUUCAUGCGUCAAACUGUGAAGGAAAUCUCUUGAAUAUUGUGUUUGAGAUUAUGAAAAUCAAUAACAUGUGCAUGUGAAUAAAUCUAAGAUAUUUAUGAGAAGGGAAAACAGUCCAUACUACUUUUGCUAAUGGAUGUCUGCGGUUCAUAAGUGUCAACAAACUCAUGAAUAAUUGGCUUUGUUUCUUAGAGAUUAAUUGGUUUUAAACUACAAAUUUAAUUAUUUUUAAAAGUUUAGUUCAUUAAUUUGAUAUCUUAAAAUGACGUUUGAAUAAUGGCGUUUGAGUUCAUAAAGAUUUAAUCUCUCUCUGAAAAAUUUCACUUACGGUGAGUAAAAACACAAAUAAUAAGUUCUAUGAGCUCUGUUGCUUAUUCAGUACGUAGUGAAGCACGUAGCAGAGGUGCUUCUUUCCCACGAAUCAGUAAUCACAAUGGAGUCUGCCAUACAGAGAGUAUGACUCUAUUUAUUAUUUAGAUUGCUCAAUUGUAAUUUAAUAAUUACAGUUCUAAUGAACUUAGUAAGCAUUAGUUAUUGUGAUUGGGAAACUAAGAACUUAUUUAUUAAAUGUCUUAUGACUGAAACUUUAUUAAUUUCGAACCUUUUUUAAAAGUUAUUUGUUUGCUUUUAAAUUUAUAUUUCAUUUUUAAACAUUUACAUCAGAAUAGAAAAAAUAAAUUUUUGAAUAUAUGAAUGAAUGAAAAAGUGAAUAUUAUAUUCCGAAAAUAUCUUUAUACAAAAUUUUUUUUCCUAAAUUAUAAAACUUAAUCCCUUUCUUUGUUUUGAUUUACAAUGAUGUAAAUGUCAAAUAAUCAUUUUAAAAAUAUUUUUUAUUUAUAAAAAUAAACAAAAACGCCACUUAUGUUCAUCUAUUAAAAAAAUAUCAUUUAAAAAUUAGUAUUCAAAUCUAUUUAAACUUUAGAAAAAUUCAAAUACAUUCAAAUUUCAAUUUAAAAUUUAAAUACUACCUAAAUUGAUUUGAUCACACGCUUUAUAUGAAAAAUUUGUAAUAUUUUUAUUAUUUUUGUUAGAAUUAUCAUUUGAAAGUCAUGUUUACUAUACACUAUCAACUUUUAUAAUUCAAAAACUACAAUACCUCAAUAUCUACCAAACAAAACCGAAAUGAUGUUCGGUCAAAGCACCGAGAAGGCCAGAAUCUGUCAAUGUUUAACUUAAGACCCAUUGACUGUGAUAACUAGUUAGCAAGCAUCAUCACUGUUUAUGCUCUCAAAUACCCGCUGUGUCGCAGCAAUAUGCCCCAACUUAGCAUGAAAAUUCAACACAGAAGUAGGAAUAACCCAGAAUAUUCUCAAUUCCAAUUUUCAAGGCAAAGCAAUGAAUAGUCAAACAUAUUUCGCUGGCUCACUUGCUAACACACACUUUCAUAGCACUUCCUACUACAAACUCAUUUGGCAUAAACCCAUUCAUAGUCAUAUCUAAAGAACAUACGUGUCAUUUGCAGUUUCAAUUACUUAAAGUUGGUUGAGUCUUCGUUUAGAAUAGGACUUUAAUCUUCUUUUAUAAUAGAACUCCUUUUUGAGUCAUCCUUCUUUUCCGAUACUUUUUGUUAUUCUUGUUGCAAAAGUUGUAUUAUAUAUUUGUUUUCUAUUUAGUCCACCAACUGGAAUGAGAAUCAUCAUAAUUCGGUCCAACUGCUUUUCUAUUUACUUUAUGGUAUCAGAGCAGCGCAUUCCUCUUCCCCGUUAGUUUUUUUUUCCCUUUCUUCCUCAAACAGUGACUAUGGCCACUACAGACGAAAUUCCAACCACUCCAGUACACUCCAUUGCUCUCAACCCCAACAACUUUCAUCUCAUUACAAUCAAUAUUUCUGCACAGGCUCCUCUCAAACUCACCUCCACCAACUACCUCUCAUGGAAGCUUCAAUUUGAAACUCUCUUCAUCGGCUAUGAUCUCCUUGGAUACAUUGAUGGCUCAAAACCUUGUCCGCCAAAAACACUCACUGCAAACAACUCUACAGUACCAAAUCCAGCCUACAAUGUCUGGGUUCGACAAGAUCAACUAAUCCUUAAUGCCCUCAUCGGUUCUCUGUCUCCUACAAUUAUCUCCUUUAUUGCCAGAGCCACCACAUCUCGUGAAGCAUGGACUAUUCUUUCCAAUACAUAUGCUAAACCUUCUCGAGGCCGCAUCAAGCAAGUAAAAAACCGUCUCAAAAAUCACACCAAAGGUACCAUGAAUAUCACAGAUUUUCUUCACUCUAUUAAAGCCUGUGCAGAUGAACUUGCCACACUGGGAUCCCCAAUGGAUGAGGAAGAUCUUACAGAAAGGAUUUUAGAUGGACUGGAAGAUGACUACAAAGAACUUAUUCAUGCUGUUCAAGCUCGUGACACAUCUAUUACCUUCGAUGAGCUUCAUGAGAAACUUCUAUCUUUUGAAGCAUCUCUUCAAGCAAACAAAAAGACUGAUGUCCAUCUUCCUAUCACUGCCAAUCUAACCAACCGAACAAAUACCACUUGGCGCCCACAAAAGUUCAAUCCCAACUGGCGACCGCAAUCUCAACAUCCUACUGGUAACACAGGCUGGCGCCCGUCGUCUACCAAUCCUGGCCGACCACUCAUGUCUACCCACUCAGGUACUCCACCACACAACAACCGUCCUCCAUCUCGUCUAUAUCUAGGCUUUUGUCAGAUCUGUCGCAUCCAAGGGCACUCAGCCAAGCGAUGUCCAUCAUUUCAGCUUGUACCAAUUCAGCAAUCGAACACAGGAUCUUCACUACCAAACACUUCGGCAAUACCCUGGCAGCCACAGGCGCAUUAUGCUGCUAACAAUGCCUUAAACAACUGGAGCGUCACACCAUAUCACAACAGACUUGAGCAACUUAUCCCUUCAUGCACCUUAUACUGGCUCUGACGAUGUUAUGAUUGGCGAUGGCACUGGUCUUUCCAUCACCCACACUGGUUCUGUCUCUCUUCCAACUUCCAUUACUACAUUUACUCUGAAUGAUGUCCUUUGUGUACCAACCAUGAAAAAGAAUUUAAUUUCUAUAUCUCAGUUUUGUUCUACUAAUAAUGCAUCAAUUGAAUUUUAUCCAUGUUUUUUUCAUGUGAAGGACCUUCGCACAGGGGCAAUCCUUCUGAAGGGCAGCACUAAGGAUGGAGUGUAUGAAUGGUCGACUAAUAACUCUAUGUCUUCUCCAAUUCUCGCAUUCUCCAAUGUCAAAACCACUUCUUCAAAUUGGCAUCAUCGAUUAGGUCAUCCUGCUUCUCCCAUUUUGAAACACAUUCUUUCUAGUUAUCACUUAGAUUUUUCUUCUCCUAUGUCAAAAGAAUUCUCAUGUAAUGCAUGUCUUUGCAAUAAAAGUCAUAAGUUGUCUUUUUCUACUUCAUCUCUUACAUCUACGCGACCUCUUGAAAUUGUUUUCUCUGAUGUAUGGACUUCACCUAUUUUAUCACAAGAUGGUUUCAAAUAUUAUGUCAUUUUUGUUGAUCACUUUACCAAAUACAUAUGGUUUACCCACUCAAGCGAAAAUCUGAAGUUCAUGAAAUUUUUAAGCGUUACAAAGUCAUUGUGGAAAAUUAUUUUCAACUCAAAAUAAUCACCCUAUAUUCAGAUAAUGGGGGAGAAACGGUACAGCAGCCAUGCCUUUGCUACUGCUGUUUAUUUAAUUAAUAGGAUGCCAACCACAACGCUCAAUCUAUCAUCUCUCUAUGAAUUAAUUUUCCACAAAAUGCCAAAUUAUACUAAACUAAAGAUUUUCGGAUGUUUAUGUUAUCCUUGGCUUCGUCCAUAUACAUCUCAUAAACUUGAUCAAAGGUCCAAACCCUGUGUUUUUAUUGGAUACUCAUUCUCUCAAAGUGCCUACUUGUGUUUUGAACCAUCUACUUCCAAAAUAUUUGUUUCUCGUCAUGUUAAGUUUGUAGAGUCAGUUUUCCCAUACACCUCUCUUCAUGAUCAUCUACCUCGCCCCACCUCCACUACUAUAGAUACUUGGCUUCCCCCAAUGCUCCUUGUCUCAUUACCUUCUCCAAUUCAGCCGCCUUCUACUACUCCACCUGAAGAGCGCCCACAAGAAUUGCCUGCUGUUAAAGACACUUCACUUUCCUCUGAGAUACCAACACAUCAAAUAGAAACAGAGCAACACCCACCACCCAUCCAACAAUCACCAAAUCCUACCCAUCAACCCACCGAAACACAAAAUACCACCCAACAUCACAUGUCUACUCGGUCCAAGAAUAAUAUUCGUAAACCAAUUCAAAAACUCAACCUUCACACCCACUUAUCAUCCCCACCUAGUCUUGCACCUACUUCCAUGACUCAUGCCCUCAAAGAUCAUAACUGGCGUCGAGCUAUGUCUGAAGAAUAUGAUGCUCUUGUUCGUAAUGGGACAUGGGAGCUAGUUCCUCCUGAUGGUAUCACUAAUCUUGUUGGUUGUAAAUGGAUCUUUCGCAUUAAAAGACACUCUGAUGGCUCUCUUGACCGGUUUAAAGCUUGUCUUGUGGCCAAAGGAUUUCAUCAACGACCCGGUGUGGAUUACCAUGAGACUUUUAGCCCGGUUGUUAAACCCACUAUAGUGAGACUUGUACUUAGUGUUGCAGUAAGCAAUGGUUGGUUUCUUCGCCAACUCGACAUCAACAACGCCUUUCUUCAAGAUCGGCUCUCAGAACAUGUAUACAUGGCUCAACCACCAGGAUUUGUUGAUUAUGAUCGUCCAACAUAUGUCUGUAAACUUCAUAAGGCUAUCUAUGGUCUCAAACAGGCUCCACGGGCUUGGUAUUAUGAACUACGCCAAUUUCUUGUGCAUUCAGGUUUCACAAAUUCUCACUCUGAUACUUCUCUUUUUGUUCUCAACACUGGCAGACAUGUUUUGUUUUUACUGGUGUACGUUGAUGAUAUCAUUGUUACUGGUAAUAGUGAUGACCUUGUUUCUCAAUUUGUUGGCUGCCUGGCUCAACGCUUCUCCCUGAAAGAUCUCGGCUCUCUUUCUUAUUUUCUUGGCGUUGAGGUUGUUCCACAUCGGCGAGGCAUAUUGCUCUCUCAAAGAAGAUAUAUCCAAGACUUGCUUAAAAGAACUCAUAUGGCAGAUGCUACGCCCGUACUUACCCCAUUACCAACAAAUUCUUCCUCACUCACCAUCACCUCAGGCACUCCUCUUUCAGAUCCUUCUCAAUUUCGUGCUGUAGUUGAGAGCUUGCAAUAUCUCUCUCUCACUCGUCCUGAUAUCUCUUUUGCUGUCAAUAAGAUGGCUCAAUUUAUACAUCAGCCUACUGAUGAGCAUUGGGUACUUGUUAAACGAAUUCUAUGGUAUUUAUAUGGCACAUUGGAUAAAGGUCUUCUUCUCCAUCGUGAGUCUCCUUUAUCUCUUCAUGGGUUCUCUGAUGCUCUUCAUGCGUUCUCGGAUGCUGACUGGGCCGGCAAUAAAGAUGAUUACUCUUCCACUAGUGCAUACCUUGUCUAUCUUGGGCGGAAUCUUAUUUCUUGGAGUUCUAAGAAGCAACAAACUGUUGCUCGUUCUUCUACAGAAGCGGAAUAUCGUUCAGUUGCUGCUACUGCUGCUGAACUUUGGUGGGUAUGUUCACUGCUUGCUGAACUUGGUGUGACUUUGCAAUCUUCUCCAGUUGUUUAUUGUGAUAAUAUUGGUGCUACUCAGUUAAGCUCCAAUCCUGUGUUUCACUCUCGAAUGAAACAUGUAGCAGUAGAUUACCAUUUUAUCCGUGAACAGGUUCAAUCUGGUUUACUUUGUGUGGUUCAUGUUUCUUUUUUUCAAGUAAGUCUUCAUUAAUUUUGUAUAACCAAAUGACUUUGUUAACCAUCUCUUCUACAUUUAUUCUUAAAAUUUUUUAAAGUUUUUACUAUAUUUUUAUAAAGAUCUAAAUAAUUAUCAUAUUCAUAAAUAUUUACAAAUUUUGAAUAUAUAUUUGCAUAUGCAUUUAUAAUUUCUUAUCUCUCCUAAGAAUUAACUAGAUUAUAUGUAUGUAUGUAUAUAAAAUUUAAAUUUAGCAUCUUGAAUUAUAAGAGAUAUUAUAUGUCAUAAAUAUGUUAUGACUCUAAUAAAUUACUAGAAAUAUGUUACAAUGAAUAAAUCAUUAGAACCUCUAAUAAUUUCACAAAAUAUAUAAAUUAAUGAGUUAUCACAUUCUAACUAUAUACAAAGAGGAUUUUCUCAUGAAAGAUUUUAAUCCUUUGAUCCGAUCAAUGAUUCGGAUAUGCAGGAAAAUAAUCAAUUAAAUUGAAUUUCGCUAUAUUUAUUAAAUAAAUUAGGAAACCCAAAUUUAUUUAUAAAUGAUAUAGAAAAAGCAAAUAAAAUAUUAUAAAUUAAUAAUUUUAAUGAAGAAAACAUAAAUCAAAUUAAAAAGUUAGGAGAUCAAAUGAGUAAAAAAUUUAAUAAAGUUAAACAAUUAAUAAAAGACUUCACAUUGAAGAUCAUGAUAUAUUAAAGUAAGAAAUUGUUAAUAUAAUAAAUAAAAACUUAAUAAAUAUAAGAUUAAAUAAGUUAGAGAUUCAAUUAGAUAAAAUAAAAACUUGGUACUGAACUUGCUAUAAAUAUAAAUAAAAAACAUGGUACUGAAUUUUCUAUAAAUAUAAAUAAAAAACUUUAAAAAAAUGAAGUGCUAUUGCAGUGUAGUUUGGGGUUCAAAAUAAAACUUUAAAACUUAUUGACUUUUUCAUAAUUAUUAACUUUUUUAAGGAUUCAAAAAUUUAUAGUUGUGACGUACAGCUGAUCUGUUGAUGUAACAUGAGCUCUGCCCAUUUUUAGCUGCCCACUUGCCAAGAGUUGUAUGGACCUUUUCCAUCGAACUCCAUGUCUAAACUUCAACAUCAAAGAAGAGUUAAAGACUCAGUCAGAUUCAGUUGGGGAGUUUGGUAUAAAAAUAAAUAAAUAAAUAAAAGUAAAGGACAGGAGAGGAAAUGAAAAGAAAGAAGAGGAAUAAAUAAAUUGAGAUUGAUUUUUUUUUUCUUCUCAUUUUCUCCCAUCUAUCUUUUUUAAUUCUCUCCUUUUUGUAUUUCGUCCAACCAAACACGCGCUACAAAUGUGUAUAAAAUGAUAUGCCCUAAUUCAUACAAGAGAAUUAUAGCCAUAACUAAGGUUGGUAAUGGGAUGGGGAUGGGACGAGGUUUAUCGACCUCAGUCCUGUCCCGUAUCUGCUGUACCGUACAUCCGCCCUGGCCGUACAGCAGCAGUUAAGCUCCAAUCCUGUGUUUCACUCUCGAAUGAAACAUGUAGCAGUAGAUUACCAUUUUAUCCGUGAACAGGUUCAAUCUGGUUUACUUUGUGUGGUUCAUGUUUCUUUUGCCGACCAACUUGCUGAUCUCCUCACCAAACCUUUGCCACGUUCUCAGUUCCUACUGCUAAGAGACAAGAUUGGCCUCUUUACCCGUGGCCUAUCUUGAGGGGGCAUAAAGAACAUACGUGUCAUUUGCAGUUUCAAUUACUUAAAGUUGGUUGAGUCUUCGUUUAGAAUAGAACUUUAAUCUUCUUUUAUAAUAGAACUCCUUUUUGAGUCAUCCUUCUUUUCUAAUACUUUUUGUUAUUCUUGUUGCAAAAGUUGUAUUAUAUAUUUGUUUUCUAUUUAGUCCAACAACUGGAAUGAGAAUCAUCAUAAUUCGGUCCAACUACUUUUCUAUUUACUUUAAUAUCAACAUAUAUUUUUAAACCCGUAUCGAACCACCCAUUUUGAAUUGCAGCAGAAACAAUCAAAGUCCAAGAAAGGUUUCUUCGAGCUAUUUCACUGUAACGACCAAAAACACCACAUUUCGAGCACAUUUUGAUCAAAUUAUUUUCCAAGAAAAUGUCAUUAGUGAAUCCCAACUUGACAAUAUGGCCAUGGAAAGGCACGAGAUUUUAAAUUCUCAGAUAGUGAAAGGGCUAGCAAGGAAAAUUUGGUCUUCCCCUAAAAAGGGAUCAGAAUAAAAUGGAUUGUUGCCACAUAGUUGGUGAAUUCGUUUCGUGGUAGCAUCUUGCAUGGAAGUGGCAUAAUGCUUGUUUGCAUAAAUAAAGACACAUUUCAAAAUUCUCAUUAGUCAAGAUUAUGGCCAUACAACACACAUACACACACACACAAGUAGCUUCAACUUUGUCAUUGACCGCAACAACCAUCAUCAACGGUGGAAUGCAGUUGACUUGGACUGAUGGAGGUUAAAUUCUAUAACGCGCGCGGAAGGUCUUUCAUGAAAUGUGAAUACUUGGGGCAGGCGGGCAAAAGAACCGUUGCCUCAAAAAUAUCAAAUUGAAUCCUCAAAAAAAAUCAAACCAUUCAGUUGGAUUUUUUUUUUAAAAAAAAAAUGGUCUGUUUAUAUAAGAAAAAAAUAAAAAUAAAAAUAAAAAAUACAAAAAAAUUACAGUUUAGAAUCAAAAAAUUAAAUUGAAUCAAGAAUUGAACAAUUCAAUUUAGUUCGGUUCGAAUUAUUAUUUCUAAACAAUCCAAUGAUUUAGUUCAAUUUAAAACCGAACCGAACUAUUGCCCAUUCAGUGAACAACUCUACGUUCAUGUUACUGAGGGCCACCUUUUAAAAGCGUUACGCCCUUCUUGGGGCUUUAGUGAGUUCUAGAAGAAAAGCCUUUCUUUAAUUGUUUUUGUAUUGGGUUACUUCAACUAUGCCUCAAGUCCAUUAUUGGCGCGUUUGGGACAACGGUACUACCAUAACGCAGCCGCUUCACCCCCUAUAUUCUAAGAGAAUAAUCAAUUUGCUAUGGAGUAAUGAUACAUCCACAAACUCUUAUAUAAAUUUAUUUUGUACAAACUUACGUGGCAUUAAUUCAUUGGUUGAAUGAAAAUAUAAAUUAAUAAAAACUAAUUAUGUGGGCCAAGUGAUAUUUAAUUCAACCAAUCUUAUCAUGCCACAUCAGUUUGUACAAAAUAAAUUUGUACAAGAGUUUGUGGCUGUAUCAUUACUCUUUGCUAUGACUGACUGGCAGGUUUUCCCAUCACUUAGGGCGUGUCUGACAAAGUUAAAGUGAAUUUUGUGCCCUUUUUUUUUUCUUUCUUUCCCCCUUAGAUUCUGUUCUUUCGUAUUUGGUGAUCAAGAUUUUGCAAUACAAUAUUGAUACAAGAUUGCUUAAAUUAGAGUGCAAUAUCCCGUUUGCUUUUUCUCUUACUUUAUUGGUAGCUUUUAAAAUAAUUAUUAAUUAGUUGUGUUGUAGAAAUAAUCAACUGUGAAGAGAAUUAGAGUUUGGUAAAGUUUAUUUUUAAAAACAUUGUGAAUUUUAAAAGUACUCGUAUGUGUUUGGUCAAUCUUAUUAUUAAAUUGCUAUAAGAAUACAAAUAAUUAAAAUGCACAAUGUUUAAUAAAAUUUAUUUACUCAUUUACAAACAAGUAUAUUUAUAAUAUACAAUAAUUGAUAAAUAAAAUAAAUAUUUUAUUUUAUUAACUUUAUUUUUUAUUUUGUUAUCUCAAUAUAAUUAGUAAUAAUAAUAAUCUCUUUAAAUUUAAUAAUUUUAUUUCCUAAUUAAGGAAAAUUUUAGAUUUUUAGAAUAUAUGUGAGGAUAUAUAUAAAAUUGUAAUAAAUAUAAAAUUAAUUCUCAAAAUCAAAAUUUGAAAAACUACUCAUUUCUUACUUUUUCAAAAUAAAAAUCUGUUUUAUGAUGAGGUGAUUUUAUCAAAGUUGAGUUUUAAAAAAUUUGCUAAACACUAAAAUUAGUUUUUCACUUUUAAAAAUUAAUUUUGAGCCUCUUAAAAGUAAUCCCAAACAAGUACUUAGUUUAGUUUCAAUAAAUUUUUAAUUAUAUAUAUUAGUAGACUUAUAUUAUUAUAAAGAUAUCAGUGUUAAAAAAAACAAUGGAAAAAAGCUAUUUUUAACUUUACAUCAAACACAAAUUAUCAUUAAUUAAUCUCAUGUUAAAUAUUCAACGGUUGUCAAAGUGGUGUUUAAGUAUGUAAUGUACCAUAAAAAUCUAUUGAAGUUAAAAAUGCAUGUUGCGGAUACAUCAGUUACGGUGAAAAAUGAAAAUCUUGAGGAACUGAAUAAUGUAAAUUAUGUAAUAUCAUUGCUAUAAAUCACCAAAAUAAGGUGACAAGAGAUUCGGUAGUGCCGCAUGAAUUAACAGAAAAAAAGAAUUCAUAAUAAGAGACGAAAAGAAAAAAUAAGAAUUAUCCAUCAACUUCUUCCUCGCAUUAAUUUUAUAAUUAUUAGCACAAAUAAGUUGCGAAGAACAUUACAAACUACUUUGUAGCAGGUUUUGUGGCUCUCAGCGGGUAUAUGUUUUUUUAUCGGCUUUAUAUGCACCCUGCCUAAUUUAUUUAUUAAUUCUCAGGUCUCAUCAGCUUAUUUUCUCCAUGCUGGUUAAUGCUGGACCAAAGAAAUUAAAAUUAAUAAGAACCAUAAGGAUUUCAAUAUUUGAGUCACAAUAUCAUUUAUUACUCAUUUAUUAAAUAAUGUAUUUCAUAUCUUAUAAAAUUACUUAAUCAUCAUCUAAUCAAUGCAAUUAAAACUUAAAUAUUGGAAUAUCUAGAAUUGCUCUAAAAUUAAACAGUCAGCAUGAAUUAGUAGUUAUCGUGACAUAUAAGAGUUUUCAAUACACGUAUCUAGUAACAUGCUGUCUAUAAUAUAAUAGAACAACGGAACAAAAUUAGUGUAAAAUAAUUUGGUUUCAUCGUUAUUGGUUUUCUCUGGUUCUGACGACCGCGAUGUUAGGAAAUUGGUGGGUGAAGCAGGACCGCAGCUAAAAUGAAAUUGAAAAUAAAAUAAAGAACAAGCACAAUAGAGGACACAAGAAAUUACGUGGUUCGACUUUUAGCCUACAUCCACGGGCGAAGACGGAAGAAAAUAUUUUACUAGUGAAAAUGAGUUACAAGUAUUGUAGUAUUUUAGCUCACUUCCUAAAACCCGAAUACACCCAAACUCUCUAACUCACUAGACACUCAAGAGUUUAUUAAACUCUUAAAACUCUCAACACUCAAGAAAGCAAUACUUCUCUCUCGAUGGAUUUGAAUGCAAAUGAAUUAGGGAGCUCUUCCUUUUAUAGCUAAAAAAAUGCUAUUAAAUUAAUAUAUAUAUGUAUAUAUUUCAAAUGUAGUUACCAACUUCUUCUUUUUCUCCAUUUGGAUGGCACCAUUUUCUUUGGCCGGCUGCACCAUUUUCUUCUUUCAAAUGUCAAACCCUUCUAGAUGCAGACAUUGGCUGUAACAAACAACCAGUAUAUUUGGGUGGUUGGAUUUUGAUAUUUUUUAAUCCAAUGGAUGAAAAUAACUUUAACCUAAAACAAGGUAUGGGUGUAAUAGCUUUUUACGAAAUUUUUUAUUUUGAAUCACAUAUUUGCUUUUUUUUUUUUCAAGUAAGUCUUCAUUAAUUUUGUAUAACCAAAUGACUUUGUUAACCAUCUCUUCUACAUUUAUUCUUAAAAUUUUUUAAAGUUUUUACUAUAUUUUUAUAAAGAUCUAAAUAAUUAUCAUAUUCAUAAAUAUUUACAAAUUUUGAAUAUAUAUUUGCAUAUGCAUUUAUAAUUUCUUAUCUCUCCUAAGAAUUAACUAGAUUAUAUGUAUGUAUGUAUAUAAAAUUUAAAUUUAGCAUCUUGAAUUAUAAGAGAUAUUAUAUGUCAUAAAUAUGUUAUGACUCUAAUAAAUUACUAGAAAUAUGUUACAAUGAAUAAAUCAUUAGAACCUCUAAUAAUUUCACAAAAUAUAUAAAUUAAUGAGUUAUCACAUUCUAACUAUAUACAAAGAGGAUUUUCUCAUGAAAGAUUUUAAUCCUUUGAUCCGAUCAAUGAUUCGGAUAUGCAGGAAAAUAAUCAAUUAAAUUGAAUUUCGCUAUAUUUAUUAAAUAAAUUAGGAAACCCAAAUUUAUUUAUAAAUGAUAUAGAAAAAGCAAAUAAAAUAUUAUAAAUUAAUAAUUUUAAUGAAGAAAACAUAAAUCAAAUUAAAAAGUUAGGAGAUCAAAUGAGUAAAAAAUUUAAUAAAGUUAAACAAUUAAUAAAAGACUUCACAUUGAAGAUCAUGAUAUAUUAAAGUAAGAAAUUGUUAAUAUAAUAAAUAAAAACUUAAUAAAUAUAAGAUUAAAUAAGUUAGAGAUUCAAUUAGAUAAAAUAAAAACUUGGUACUGAACUUGCUAUAAAUAUAAAUAAAAAACAUGGUACUGAAUUUUCUAUAAAUAUAAAUAAAAAACUUUAAAAAAAUGAAGUGCUAUUGCAGUGUAGUUUGGGGUUCAAAAUAAAACUUUAAAACUUAUUGACUUUUUCAUAAUUAUUAACUUUUUUAAGGAUUCAAAAAUUUAUAGUUGUGACGUACAGCUGAUCUGUUGAUGUAACAUGAGCUCUGCCCAUUUUUAGCUGCCCACUUGCCAAGAGUUGUAUGGACCUUUUCCAUCGAACUCCAUGUCUAAACUUCAACAUCAAAGAAGAGUUAAAGACUCAGUCAGAUUCAGUUGGGGAGUUUGGUAUAAAAAUAAAUAAAUAAAUAAAAGUAAAGGACAGGAGAGGAAAUGAAAAGAAAGAAGAGGAAUAAAUAAAUUGAGAUUGAUUUUUUUUUUCUUCUCAUUUUCUCCCAUCUAUCUUUUUUAAUUCUCUCCUUUUUGUAUUUCGUCCAACCAAACACGCGCUACAAAUGUGUAUAAAAUGAUAUGCCCUAAUUCAUACAAGAGAAUUAUAGCCAUAACUAAGGUUGGUAAUGGGAUGGGGAUGGGACGAGGUUUAUCGACCUCAGUCCUGUCCCGUAUCUGCUGUACCGUACAUCCGCCCUGGCCGUACAGCAGCAGUUAAGCUCCAAUCCUGUGUUUCACUCUCGAAUGAAACAUGUAGCAGUAGAUUACCAUUUUAUCCGUGAACAGGUUCAAUCUGGUUUACUUUGUGUGGUUCAUGUUUCUUUUGCCGACCAACUUGCUGAUCUCCUCACCAAACCUUUGCCACGUUCUCAGUUCCUACUGCUAAGAGACAAGAUUGGCCUCUUUACCCGUGGCCUAUCUUGAGGGGGCAUAAAGAACAUACGUGUCAUUUGCAGUUUCAAUUACUUAAAGUUGGUUGAGUCUUCGUUUAGAAUAGAACUUUAAUCUUCUUUUAUAAUAGAACUCCUUUUUGAGUCAUCCUUCUUUUCUAAUACUUUUUGUUAUUCUUGUUGCAAAAGUUGUAUUAUAUAUUUGUUUUCUAUUUAGUCCAACAACUGGAAUGAGAAUCAUCAUAAUUCGGUCCAACUACUUUUCUAUUUACUUUAAUAUCAACAUAUAUUUUUAAACCCGUAUCGAACCACCCAUUUUGAAUUGCAGCAGAAACAAUCAAAGUCCAAGAAAGGUUUCUUCGAGCUAUUUCACUGUAACGACCAAAAACACCACAUUUCGAGCACAUUUUGAUCAAAUUAUUUUCCAAGAAAAUGUCAUUAGUGAAUCCCAACUUGACAAUAUGGCCAUGGAAAGGCACGAGAUUUUAAAUUCUCAGAUAGUGAAAGGGCUAGCAAGGAAAAUUUGGUCUUCCCCUAAAAAGGGAUCAGAAUAAAAUGGAUUGUUGCCACAUAGUUGGUGAAUUCGUUUCGUGGUAGCAUCUUGCAUGGAAGUGGCAUAAUGCUUGUUUGCAUAAAUAAAGACACAUUUCAAAAUUCUCAUUAGUCAAGAUUAUGGCCAUACAACACACAUACACACACACACAAGUAGCUUCAACUUUGUCAUUGACCGCAACAACCAUCAUCAACGGUGGAAUGCAGUUGACUUGGACUGAUGGAGGUUAAAUUCUAUAACGCGCGCGGAAGGUCUUUCAUGAAAUGUGAAUACUUGGGGCAGGCGGGCAAAAGAACCGUUGCCUCAAAAAUAUCAAAUUGAAUCCUCAAAAAAAAUCAAACCAUUCAGUUGGAUUUUUUUUUUAAAAAAAAAAUGGUCUGUUUAUAUAAGAAAAAAAUAAAAAUAAAAAUAAAAAAUACAAAAAAAUUACAGUUUAGAAUCAAAAAAUUAAAUUGAAUCAAGAAUUGAACAAUUCAAUUUAGUUCGGUUCGAAUUAUUAUUUCUAAACAAUCCAAUGAUUUAGUUCAAUUUAAAACCGAACCGAACUAUUGCCCAUUCAGUGAACAACUCUACGUUCAUGUUACUGAGGGCCACCUUUUAAAAGCGUUACGCCCUUCUUGGGGCUUUAGUGAGUUCUAGAAGAAAAGCCUUUCUUUAAUUGUUUUUGUAUUGGGUUACUUCAACUAUGCCUCAAGUCCAUUAUUGGCGCGUUUGGGACAACGGUACUACCAUAACGCAGCCGCUUCACCCCCUAUAUUCUAAGAGAAUAAUCAAUUUGCUAUGGAGUAAUGAUACAUCCACAAACUCUUAUAUAAAUUUAUUUUGUACAAACUUACGUGGCAUUAAUUCAUUGGUUGAAUGAAAAUAUAAAUUAAUAAAAACUAAUUAUGUGGGCCAAGUGAUAUUUAAUUCAACCAAUCUUAUCAUGCCACAUCAGUUUGUACAAAAUAAAUUUGUACAAGAGUUUGUGGCUGUAUCAUUACUCUUUGCUAUGACUGACUGGCAGGUUUUCCCAUCACUUAGGGCGUGUCUGACAAAGUUAAAGUGAAUUUUGUGCCCUUUUUUUUUUCUUUCUUUCCCCCUUAGAUUCUGUUCUUUCGUAUUUGGUGAUCAAGAUUUUGCAAUACAAUAUUGAUACAAGAUUGCUUAAAUUAGAGUGCAAUAUCCCGUUUGCUUUUUCUCUUACUUUAUUGGUAGCUUUUAAAAUAAUUAUUAAUUAGUUGUGUUGUAGAAAUAAUCAACUGUGAAGAGAAUUAGAGUUUGGUAAAGUUUAUUUUUAAAAACAUUGUGAAUUUUAAAAGUACUCGUAUGUGUUUGGUCAAUCUUAUUAUUAAAUUGCUAUAAGAAUACAAAUAAUUAAAAUGCACAAUGUUUAAUAAAAUUUAUUUACUCAUUUACAAACAAGUAUAUUUAUAAUAUACAAUAAUUGAUAAAUAAAAUAAAUAUUUUAUUUUAUUAACUUUAUUUUUUAUUUUGUUAUCUCAAUAUAAUUAGUAAUAAUAAUAAUCUCUUUAAAUUUAAUAAUUUUAUUUCCUAAUUAAGGAAAAUUUUAGAUUUUUAGAAUAUAUGUGAGGAUAUAUAUAAAAUUGUAAUAAAUAUAAAAUUAAUUCUCAAAAUCAAAAUUUGAAAAACUACUCAUUUCUUACUUUUUCAAAAUAAAAAUCUGUUUUAUGAUGAGGUGAUUUUAUCAAAGUUGAGUUUUAAAAAAUUUGCUAAACACUAAAAUUAGUUUUUCACUUUUAAAAAUUAAUUUUGAGCCUCUUAAAAGUAAUCCCAAACAAGUACUUAGUUUAGUUUCAAUAAAUUUUUAAUUAUAUAUAUUAGUAGACUUAUAUUAUUAUAAAGAUAUCAGUGUUAAAAAAAACAAUGGAAAAAAGCUAUUUUUAACUUUACAUCAAACACAAAUUAUCAUUAAUUAAUCUCAUGUUAAAUAUUCAACGGUUGUCAAAGUGGUGUUUAAGUAUGUAAUGUACCAUAAAAAUCUAUUGAAGUUAAAAAUGCAUGUUGCGGAUACAUCAGUUACGGUGAAAAAUGAAAAUCUUGAGGAACUGAAUAAUGUAAAUUAUGUAAUAUCAUUGCUAUAAAUCACCAAAAUAAGGUGACAAGAGAUUCGGUAGUGCCGCAUGAAUUAACAGAAAAAAAGAAUUCAUAAUAAGAGACGAAAAGAAAAAAUAAGAAUUAUCCAUCAACUUCUUCCUCGCAUUAAUUUUAUAAUUAUUAGCACAAAUAAGUUGCGAAGAACAUUACAAACUACUUUGUAGCAGGUUUUGUGGCUCUCAGCGGGUAUAUGUUUUUUUAUCGGCUUUAUAUGCACCCUGCCUAAUUUAUUUAUUAAUUCUCAGGUCUCAUCAGCUUAUUUUCUCCAUGCUGGUUAAUGCUGGACCAAAGAAAUUAAAAUUAAUAAGAACCAUAAGGAUUUCAAUAUUUGAGUCACAAUAUCAUUUAUUACUCAUUUAUUAAAUAAUGUAUUUCAUAUCUUAUAAAAUUACUUAAUCAUCAUCUAAUCAAUGCAAUUAAAACUUAAAUAUUGGAAUAUCUAGAAUUGCUCUAAAAUUAAACAGUCAGCAUGAAUUAGUAGUUAUCGUGACAUAUAAGAGUUUUCAAUACACGUAUCUAGUAACAUGCUGUCUAUAAUAUAAUAGAACAACGGAACAAAAUUAGUGUAAAAUAAUUUGGUUUCAUCGUUAUUGGUUUUCUCUGGUUCUGACGACCGCGUACCACUGUUAGGAAAUUGGUGGGUGCAGCAGGACCGCAACUAAAAUAAAAUUGAAAAUAAAAUAAAGAACAAGCACAAUAGAGGACACAAGAAAUUACGUGGUUCGACUUUUAGCCUACAUCCACGGGCGAAGACGGAAGAAAAUAUUUUACUAGUGAAAAUGAGUUACAAGUAUUGUAGUAUUUUAGCUCACUUCCUAAAACCCGAAUACACCCAAACUCUCUAACUCACUAGACACUCAAGAGUUUAUUAAACUCUUAAAACUCUCAACACUCAAGAAAGCAAUACUUCUCUCUCGAUGGAUUUGAAUGCAAAUGAAUUAGGGAGCUCUUCCUUUUAUAGCUAAAAAAAUGCUAUUAAAUUAAUAUAUAUAUGUAUAUAUUUCAAAUGUAGUUACCAACUUCUUCUUUUUCUCCAUUUGGAUGGCACCAUUUUCUUUGGCCGGCUGCACCAUUUUCUUCUUUCAAAUGUCAAACUGUAAUACCCUAGGCGAAUCCCACAUCGGCAAAGCACGGGAGAGAUGCUGGGUUUAUAAGGGGUGAUCCACACCUUAAUUGGCAAGACGCAUUUUGGGGUGUAUGGGCNNNNNNNNNNNNNNNNNNNNNNNNNNNNNNNNNNNNNNNNNNNNNNNNNNNNNNNNNNNNNNNNNNNNNNNNNNNNNNNNNNNNNNNNNNNNNNNNNNNNNNNNNNNNNNNNNNNNNNNNNNNNNNNNNNNNNNNNNNNNNNNNNNNNNNNNNNNNNNNUCUGCUGUACCGUACAUCCGCCUUGGCCGUACAGCAGAUGACACAAACCCUUCUAGAUGCAGCCAUGCCGAACACUUCUAGAUGCAGCCAACUUUGACAUCCUCCCACUUGGAGAUUAAAUUGAAAAACAAUCAAUCUCCACACUAUCCUUUCUGCUUCGCCAUAAUCAUGUUGCCUACGUUUCUGCUAGGCCACAAGAGGAUCUACUCCAGACAAACUUAUCAGUAUUUAUCGGCUUGGUCAAAACAUUUGCUAGGUUCUCUUUGGUAUGGAUUUUCUGCAAAUCCACACUUCCAUCUUCCACUACUUCACGAACGAAGUGAUACUGGACUCCUAUGUGCUUUGUCCUGGAAUGAAAGGCUGGAUUCCUUGCAAUGUGCAAGGCACUCUGACUGUCACAAAAUACAGAAAUUUUCUCUUGUCCGUGCUUCCACUACUUCUCGAACGAAGUGAUACUGAACUCCUAUGUGCUUUGUCCUGGAAUGAAAGGCUGGAUUCCUUGCAAUGUGCAAGGCACUCUGACUGUCACAAAACACAUGAAUUUUCUGUUGUUUGUGCCCGAGCUCCUCCAAUAAACUUUGUAUCCAAAUAGCUUCCUUGCAAGCUUGUGUAGCUGCCAUGUAUUCUGCUUCUGUUGUAGAUAAUGCCAUAACGGUCUGCAAUUUCGAAACCCAGCUUAUAGCUGCUCCCGCAAGUGUAAACACAUAACCAGUAGUGGAUUUCCUUUUAUCAAGGUCUCCUGCAAAAUCUGAAUCCAUAUAGCCCCUGACAGUAAAUUCUGAUCCUCCAUAACAUAAUGCAACAUCUGAGGUUCCUCUGAUGUAUCUCAGAAUCCUCUUCACAGCUAUCCAAUGCUCUCCACUAGGAUUCGCCAUGUAUCGACUGACUGCUCCCACUGCUUGUGCAAUGUCUGGUGUUGUACAUAUUAUAGCGAACAUUAAACUUCCCACUGCUGAUGCAUAUGGUACUCGAGAUAUCUCCCUCCUCUCUGCUUCAUUGCUAGGACACAUACUUAAGGAUAAUUUGAAAUUAACAGGAACUGGGGUAGAAAGCAGCUGUUAUUUCUGUCUCGGUGAAUUUACAUCCCUAGAAUCUUGUUUGCUGGUAUCAAGUCCUUCAUUUUAAACUCCCUAGCCAACUGUGCUUUCAAUUCUUGGAUUCGAUCUUUGUUGGGACCUGCUACCAACAUGUCAUCCACAUACAACAACAAAAUGAUGAAAUCAUUAUCUUAAAACCUCUUGUAAUCUGCACAAUGGUCUGAACUGAGUCUGUUGUAUCCAAGGCUCAUAAUGAAGGAAUCAAAUCUCUUAUACCUACACCUCGGCGCCUGUUUGAGACCGUAUAGAGAUUUGUUCAACUUGCAAACCAAGUUCUCAUUUCCUAUUUCUGCAAAACCUUCUGGUUGGAGCAUAUAAAUUUCUUCUUCAAGUUCUCCAUGAAGAAAUGCAGUUUUAACAUCUAACUGCUCUAAAUGUAGGUCAAAUGUAGCACACAUUGCCAAGACUAUUCUGACUGUUGUGAGUCGAACCACCGGAGAAAAUAUCUCGUUGAAGUCAAUACCUUCUUUCUGAGCAUAUCCUUUCACCACCAAUCUUGCACGAUACCGCUCCACUUGGUCAUUGCCAUCACGUUUGAUCUUGUAGACCCAUUUGUUUCCAAUGGCUUUUCUUCCACGUGGUAGUGGUACAAGUUCCCAUGUCUUGUUCUUGUGUAGAGCUUCAAUUUCUUCCUACAUUGCUGUCAUCCACAAAGCAACAUCUGAGCUGUUUAAAGCUUCAUGGAAAGUUGAAGGCUCUCCAUCCUCUGUUAGAAGACAGUAUGCAACGUUGAUCUCUGUGACAUACUCCGAGUGCCACGCCGGCGGUCGUCUCUCACGAGUUGACCGACGAACUUCUGGAGCCUCGGACUCGACUGGUUCUUGUUCCUCGUGCUCUGGUGCUGCUUCAGAAGCUGCUGUACCGUACAUCCGCCUUGGCCGUACAGCAGCAUAAAUUGCAAUAAUUAAAAUUGAAAUAUAUUCCUUGAAGGUUUCUUCUUAGGAUGUGUGUCUGAAUCCUCAUUCUGUGGUUGAAUCGUUUGAGUAGUUUUGAUGCUAUUCAUUUCACUUUGUUAGUUUUCAGAACUCAAAAAGCACAGAGAAAAUCAUCUGACUCAUAAAGUUUUUACUUUGCUUUUGAAAACAAUGGCUUUGUUAUAAUCGAAUAUUUCUGUUCAUACUAUGGCACCUUUACCAUAUUUCAGCUGCUCUGUGUGCGCACACAUUUCGCUUCUCAGAAGACUGUGUUGCUGACAUUAGAAUUUGGUGUGAUAUAAUCUGAUUGCUUAUCAUCCUUGUGGUUUCGUUUAACUCAUAAUCAAUAGGAAUCUUAAUGUUGCUGAGGACGAUGAUCCAGGUAAGGAUGCAGAUGAGGAUGGAGGGGACAUAAUUUCUGGCCUCCACUGCAAGAUUGUUGUCCAGUUUGAGAAAUACAGGGACUUCUAUAAUACUCUCAAGGUGUUAUGUGGGCGUUCAAUGCAAAAGGUGGGAAGUAGGUUUUUCUGUUUAUAGAAAUAGUUUCUCAUUAUAUGCCUCUAACUUUGAGUCGCAUGCGGGAGUUGUCUGGUUCAUUGUUAUAUUGUUUUUUUGUGAUGAUUGACACAGCUGCUAUUUUGCAGCAAGGUUCACAAUUGAAAGCUGAUUAUGAGGUAACUUGGGACAAGGAUGGCUUUUUCUGGGACUCAAGAAACCAGGCAGAAGAAAAAAGUAACAGGAUGCCACUAAAGACAGCCAGACAAUACAGAAGUGAAACUUCCAGACAUGAAGUUUAUAGUUCACAGUUGGCUGCCGAUCAUACUCGCAGAAAGAGGUUCAAGGUAAAAGACUGAGUAAUAUCUUGGUUAGUGGCUACUAUGUUGAUCUUUUUCUAAUGAAUCAAGUCUAGAAUGCAUUUACUUCUAGCAAUAGAUCUACUGAAUUUUAAUCUAUGCUGCUUACUUGUAACACAAUGCUCGCAAAAUAGUAAACUUAUCGAUUUGAGCCCCGGAAGCAAUUUUCGCUCAGAGAGAAUCUUCAAGCCUUGUUCUGACAUGUGGCCAAGUUUGAGAUGCCACAUCAUCGUUGACUCUUCUCCAUUUGAUGUGACACACGCAUCAGCCUCCUGUAGUGUUUCUCCUUUAAGCAUGAAUAGAUUAGCACCGAUCUUUUCUUCCUUCAUCAAUACAAGCGCUCCUUUAACGAUCUUCAUAAUUCCAUUCUCCCCAUGAGUUUUGCACCCAUGAUUGUCUAUUUGUCCCAAAGACAAUAGAUUUUUCUUCAGGCCGUUGACAUGUCGUACCUCCCCAAUUGUGCGAAUUGUACCAUCAAACAUUUUUAUUUUGAUAGUACCAAUACCAGCGAUCUCCAAGGCAUGAUCGUUACCCAUAUAUACAGAUCCUCCUGAAAUAGGUUCAUAUGUAUGGAACCAUUCUCUCCUAGAGGUCAUGUGCCAGGUAGCUCCUGAGUCUAUAAGCCAGACAUCAGAAAGUCAUUUUUUGCCUUCUGAAAUAGUUGUUGCCUCACUGUAGAGAAUUUCGCCAUCAUCCGAGGUACUUGCUACACACCCCUGAGCAUUUGAUUACUCGGGUUCUUUGCCCUCUCUUCUCUUCUGGUUACUCCAACAUUCUUUCUUGACGUGCCCUUUCUUGCCACAGUUGUAGCAUUUAACAUUCUUCUUACUUCUGGAUUUUGAUCUACCCUGAUUUUGACUCCCACUGGGGCCACGUUCCGUUGAUCUCCCUCUCGUCACCGAUAACGCCUCCGCUUGCUGCGAACUUGCUUGUCUGUUUUCCUUAUUUUUCCGCCUGCUCUCCUCAUUUAAUACGGAGGCUGCAACAUCGUCGAAAACUAGACUCUCCACUGGAUUGUUGUUCGUCAGGUUGAUGAUGAGUUGAUCAUACGAAUCUGGUAGACUUUGAAGUAGAAGCUUUGCACGUUCAUUUUCCUCUAUAUUAUGACCCAACGUUGUGAGUUGUGAAAAUAGAGUCUUCAAUGUGUUGAUGUGGUCGGUCACCAUUGUAGAUUCCACCAUUCGAAGAGUAUAGAGUUUUCUCUUCAAGAAAAUUUUGUUGUGUAGUGACUUGGCCUCAUACAAUUUUGUGAGAGUAUCCCAUAUUUCCUUCGCCGUAUUUUUCUCUGCCACACUGGAUAAUACUCCAUCCACAAGUGCCAAGUGUAGAUCAGAAAUGGCGUUGCCAUCUACCUCGUUCCACUUGUCAUCAGUUAUCUCCAUGAGCCUUUCUCCAAUUGCUGUCAAGCAAUUAUUUUUCCUCAAUACAGCUUUCAUCUUCAUUUUCCACAACGAAAAAUUAUUUCCGUUAAAUUUCUCAAUUUCAUACUUUGCCGCCAUUUUGUUGAUAAAUACUGCACACAAGCUAGUAUACCACCUUGAAUCAGGCUUUACUCACACCACUAUUCCUUGCUUUGCACCGCAAAAUUCUUGGAUCGCUUCCACCGUUUCACGUGAAUAGUACCGUAUACAUGAAUAAUAUCGUAUACGUGAAUAGUACCGUAUGCCGUAUACGUGAAUAGUGUCGUAUGCCGUAUACGUGAAUAGUGUCAUAUGCCGUAUACGUGUACAGUGCCCCCUUACGUGAACAGUUCCUGACUCUAAAAAUACAACCAAUAGCUCUGAUACCACUGUUAGGAAAUUGGUGGGUGAAGCAGGACCGCAGCUAAAAUGAAAUUGGAAAUAAAAUAAAGAACAAGCACAAUAGAGGACACCAGAAAUUACGUGGUUCGGCUUUUAGCCUAUAUCCACGGGCGAAGACAGAAGGAAAUAUUUUACUAGUGAAAAGGAGUUACAAGUAUUGUAGUAUUUUAGCUCACUUCCCAAAACCCCAAUACACCCAAACUCUCAAAUCACUAUAACUCUUAAAAAUCCUCUCUAAAUAAAGAAAAGAACUGAAGAACUCGAUGAUUUACAAAUGAAGGGAGCCAGCGUUUUUAUAGCCAAAAAUUGGCUACUGUUCAUUUAAUAUUUAAUUAUUAUUUUUAUUUUAUUAAUUUUUCUUUUCUUUUCCUUCUUUGGCCCGGCAUCUCUUUUUCUAACUUCAUAUUUCUUCUUCAAACAUUUACAGCUUCUAGAUUACGACUCCUCAUCCUCCAUUCUUCUUUUGUUUUCUUUGUUUCAAAGAAUGCAGCAACAGCCGCAUUCAAAACAGGGAAAAGUGGUGCCACCUUCUAGAAAAGGUGGUGCUAUUUUCCACAUUCUCCCACUUGGAGAUUAGAGUGAAAAGCAAUCAAUCUCCACACUAUCCUUUCUGCUUCGCCAUAAUCAUGUUGCCUACGUUUCUGCUAGGCCACAAGAGGAUCUACUCCAGACAAACUUAUCAGUAUUUAUCGGUUUGGUCAAAACAUCUGCUAGGUUCUCUUUGGUAUGGAUUUUCUGCAAAUCCACACUUCCAUCUUCCACUACUUCACGAACGAAGUGAUACUGGACUCCUAUGUGCUUUGUCCUGGAAUGAAAGGCUGGAUUCCUUGCAAUGUGCAAGGCACUCUGACUGUCACAAUACACAGAAAUUUUCUGUUGUUUGUGCCCGAGCUCCUCCAAUAAUCUUUGUAUCCAAAUAGCUUCCUUGCAAGCUUGUGUAGCUGCCAUGUACUCUGCUUCUGUUGUAGAUAAAGCCACAACGGUCUGCAGUUUCGAAACCCAGCUUACAGCUGCUCCCGCAAGUGUAAACACAUAACCAGUAGUGGAUUUCCUUUUAUCAAGGUCUCCUGCAAAAUCUGAAUCCACAUAGCCCCUGACAGUAAANNNNNNNNNNNNNNNNNNNNNNNNNNNNNNNNNNNNNNNNNNNNNNNNNNNNNNNNNNNNNNNNNNNNNNNNNNNNNNNNNNNNNNNNNNNNNNNNNNNNNNNNNNNNNNNNNNNNNNNNNNNNNNNNNNNNNNNNNNNNNNNNNNNNNNNNNNNNNNNNNNNNNNNNNNNNNNNNNNNNNNNNNNNNNNNNNNNNNNNNNNNNNNNNNNNNNNNNNNNNNNNNNNNNNNNNNNNNNNNNNNNNNNNNNNNNNNNNNNNNNNNNNNNNNNNNNNNNNNNNNNNNNNNNNNNNNNUAUUAAAUAAUGUAUUUCAUAUCUUAUAAAAUUACUUAAUCAUCAUCUAAUCAAUGCAAUUAAAACUUAAAUAUUGGAAUAUCUAGAAUUGCUCUAAAAUUAAACAGUCAGCAUGAAUUAGUAGUUAUCGUGACAUAUAAGAGUUUUCAAUACACGUAUCUAGUAACAUGCUGUCUAUAAUAUAAUAGAACAACGGAACAAAAUUAGUGUAAAAUAAUUUGGUUUCAUCGUUAUUGGUUUUCUCUGGUUCUGACGACCGCGAUGUUAGGAAAUUGGUGGGUGAAGCAGGACCGCAGCUAAAAUGAAAUUGAAAAUAAAAUAAAGAACAAGCACAAUAGAGGACACAAGAAAUUACGUGGUUCGACUUUUAGCCUACAUCCACGGGCGAAGACGGAAGAAAAUAUUUUACUAGUGAAAAUGAGUUACAAGUAUUGUAGUAUUUUAGCUCACUUCCUAAAACCCGAAUACACCCAAACUCUCUAACUCACUAGACACUCAAGAGUUUAUUAAACUCUUAAAACUCUCAACACUCAAGAAAGCAAUACUUCUCUCUCGAUGGAUUUGAAUGCAAAUGAAUUAGGGAGCUCUUCCUUUUAUAGCUAAAAAAUGGCUAUUAAAUUAAUAUAUAUAUGUAUAUAUUUCAAAUGUAGUUACCAACUUCUUCUUUUUCUCCAUUUGGAUGGCACCAUUUUCUUUGGCCGGCUGCACCAUUUUCUUCUUUCAAAUGUCAAACCCUUCUAGAUGCAGCCAUGCCGAACACUUCUAGAUGCAGCCAACUUUGACACGCGAGGAUGAACUUUGAUUCCAUCGUCAAUAUUGCAGAGCCGUAGCUACUCUCCUCUGGUGCUUUGCCUUUAUUGUGCGUGAAUUAGGGCGGUCUGCACAUUAUAGCAUUCGGGAAACAAAUACGAGCAGGGAGUGAUAUCGUAUUAGAAUUCCAAUUUAAUUUCUAAUUUACGAUCAACAGUCUACAUUGUAAGCAGAAAUUACAAAUCUGACUCAGAAAAAAACGAGAUUAACACAAACCCCCCUAAAAAUAAAAUUUGAAACGGAGAGUCGGAGAGGCUGACCUUGAUCCCAUCGUUGAUAUUGUAGACCCCUUCAUGAUCCAAGAGAUUUCCUUCGCUUUGCCUUUUCCGCUUCGGGAAAGGUCUUCAAUUUGGUUUAGGAUUAGUGUUCCAAGUAAACUGAAGUUUAGUUUCCGCCUUUUAAGGUUGCCAAUUGUCGAAUAAAUACAAACAUCCAAAACUAAAACAAAUAACAAAAACAUAAGAGUAAUAAUAAUAAUAAUAAUAAUAGUAGUAGUAAAUCAAAUACGGGGAGAGAAACAGAUACAGAAGCACACAAAAACAGGUAACCAACAAACUAUCACAUAGAAUACCUUUAAUGCCAAAGGUUGCAAGAAAAUGGCAUUGGAAAACCAAUCAUUGUGUCCAAGCGUCUCUUCUUUCACAUUCAAAGCAUAACUAGGCUUCACAUGACAAAACUGAAACCUUCCCCUCUAAACAAUUGCACUAAAUCAUUAUCAAAGAGCGAACAGCCAACAAAUGCAACAUCCUUUAUGGCCAAACAGAUACUAACCUUGGACAAUGAGUACCUGACAAUGAGUACCUUAAGAACUCCAUGUCUCAAUCCAGCUAUAACCAGGGUCUUUCAAAACUUGUUUUUCUGUCAUUCCCCUCCUCACUAUAGCAGCACUUUCCCAACAGCCGUCCUCAGAAUACACCUUUGACAACAAGACAUGAGCAGCAUCAUUCUUAGGAAGCAAUAGGAGUAGCUUCUCAGAAGCCCAUUCUCCUAAUUCUUUAUUACCAUGUAUCCGACAACCACUAAGCAAGGAUCUAUAAACGGUAGGCGAAGGCUGAAAAGGCAUGAUUUCAAUUACAUGUUUGGCAUCUUCAAGGUAUCCAUUUCGUGAUAACAUAUCAACUAAGCAACCAUAACAAUCCGGAGAUGGUUGCAUUCCAUACUGUGAGUCCAUUGAUUUGAACAGUAGACAGCCUUUGUCAACAAGACCCUUAUGACUGCAGGCUGACAUUACAGAAACAAAUGUUGCUUGGCUAGGCUGUAGAUUAGCCAACUUCAUUUUGUCAAAUAUUUCCAUUGCUUCAGAAACAAGACCGUGAUGGGCAUAUGCCAUAAUGAAGGUAUUAUAUACAAUCACAUCAUUGGAAUUAAAAGACUGAUCAAAAGCCAUUCCUGCACCUUUAAUGUCCCCGCAUUUUGCAUAAGCAUCUAUAACUGCACUAGCAACGUAAACCUCUGUAUCAAAUCCCAAUUUAAUAACAAAUGGAUGUAUAGAUUUAGUUCGUUGAUAAGCUCCAAUAGCAGCACAACUGUUUAGAAUUGUGCCCAAAAUAUACUCAUCAGGCUUCUCACCAGCUUCUACCAGAGAGUAGAAAAUUGUGACAGCUUCAUGAUUAUGGCCUUGAUGCACCAAUGCAGACAUCAUAGCACCCCAAGAUGCCAUAUCUAAUCUCUCUGCUCCAUUAAAAAACUCAAAAGAAUUAUCUAAUUGUCCAAAGUUAACAUAACUUUUAAUCAAAGUACUACAAAUAUAUCCACAAGAAGAAAAACCAGUCUUAAUAAUAGCACCAUGUAUCUGCACAACCAUUUGCUGGUUUUCAGACCUACAACAAGUCUCUACAACAUAGAAGAAAGUACAUCCAUUUACCUCAACACCUGAUUCCCAUAUAUUACAAAAUGUCUUUAGAACAUCUGCGUCACAACAAUUAAAACAAUACCCUGAAAGUAGCUCAUUCCACGUGGUUAUGUUUUUGUAACUAACGUUGUCAAACACUGAAUGUGCCAUCUCCACUGCCCCACACCUACAGAACAUAUAGAUUAAUGAGCUUGUAACAUUUUCCCCAUCAAGAAAUCCACAAUGCAAUGCAAGGCACUGUAACUGAAGCCCAAGAUCCAGAUCAAGUAGUUUUCCACAUUGUCUAAGUAAUAUUGAGAAAGUUACAUGGUUAGGCCUACUGCCUGAUAGGAUAAACUUAUGGAACAAGCUUGCAGUUUGUCCUGGAUUCUUAUUUUCAGAGAAACCUCCGAAGAGAGUAUUCCACGAUAUAACAUCUUUAUCAGCCAUCCUUUCAAAAACCUUGAAAGCAUAGUCCAUUCCACUACUUUUAAUGUACAUAUCUAUAAGAGCAUUCACUAUUGAGAUACUACAUUCAACCUCACUCCGAAUGAUCAGUCCAUGAAUCUGUCUCCCAAUAUCAAAAUCAGCCACAAGGGAGCACCCCUGGAGGGCAUUUAUUAAGGUGUAUUUGUCCAUGGUUAUUCCUUCAAAUAGCAUUGAAGAUACAACAUUCAGUGCUUCAAAGCCAUACCCACAAUGUGCAUACCCUCCAAUCAUAGCAUUCCAACAGCCAACAUCAUCACUGCUUAAGCUAUAAAAGACCCGCUCUGCAGCUGCAACAUCCCCCAACUUAGCAUAAAAAUUCAACACAGAACAACCUACAAAAGGAUUCUUCUCAAUUCCAAUUUUCAAGGCAAAACAAUGAAUAGAAUAACCGAAUUCACUGGCUCCCAUACUAACACACGCUUUCAUAACACUUCCUACAGCAAACUCAUUUGGCAUAAACCCAUUGGUUGUCAUGUCCACAUACAUUUUUAAACCCAUAUCGAGCUCUCCAUUUUGAAUUGCAGCGGAAACAAUCAAAGUCCAAGAAACAAGAUUUCUCUCAGCCAUUUCAUCAAACACCCUAAGUCCACAGCCAAAAAAUCCACGUUUCGAGUACGCUGUGAUCAGAUUAUUUUGCAAGAAAAUGUCAUUGGUGAAUCCCAACUUGACAAUAUGGCCAUGGACUUGAGUUCCAAGGACACGAGAUUUUAAAUUCUCAGACAGUGAAAGGGAUUUAGCCAGGAAAGUUGGGUCUUUCCUCAAAAAGGAGUCAGAGCAAAAUUGAUUGUUACCACAGAGUCUAUGAAUUCGUUUCCUGGUUGCGUGGAAGUGGCAUGAAGGCUUGUCUGCAAAAAGAAAGGCACGUUUUAAGAUUCUCAUUUGCCAAGAUUACGGCCAUACAACACGCAACUUGCUUCAACUUUGUCAUUGACCAUAACCACCAUCAUCAACGGUGGAAUGCAAUUGACUCCAGUUGACGGGAGGAAAAAUUUUGAUAACGCGCGCACAAACCCUUUCGUGAAAUGUGAAUACGAGUCUUUGUUUACUAUUGCAGAGGGCCUUCUUUCAAAAGUUUACAUUACGCCCGCCCUCCGGCUUUCUCGGGUCUUACAAGUAAAAAGCAUCUUUUAGCGUUUAUUAUAGAUUGGUUAACUAAACAAAUAAAGUGUUGGCUCCACUGGCAAUAGAGUCCCUUUAAGUGGCUUGAUUGAGCUUGUUUUUUAGUUUGAGUCGCAAAAAAGUUAUCUUUGUUAGGAGAAUCUGUGCCUCUCGGUUCAAGCAGGAACUUCUAGUCUGAGUUGUGUUACGAGCUUAAAAGUGUCUCCCACAGUUAGGGCCUUCUCCAAAAUACCUCGUGGUCAAAAUAAAAAAAAAAUAAUAAUAAAUUAGUUAACUGAAACUUUGCCUCAGAGGAAGCGUGUUCGAGUCCUGGGAGUUGCAAUCAAUAUUUUUAUUUCCUUUCAUAAUUACGAGUAUUUAUUCUCUCUCAUAAUUACGAUUUAGUAUAAAAAUAGUCAGGCCUUCUUGAUAUCGUGGGGGAUAGAAUGUGAGUUAUGCAAUAAUAGAAUUGAUUUUAAAUUAGUCCCAAUAUAUUUAUAACUUUUUUAUUGUCUGUAUCAUUAAACUUAUUGUUGUAAGGAUCAUAGUAAUGGGUAAAGCUAUUUUAACCCAAAAAAAAAAAAAAUUAUGGAUAUACCGAUUCAUGGUGCAAAGUCUGAGGAAUUGAAUGAAUGUAUUCUCAUUGUUAUAGAUGACGAAGAUGACGGUGAUAAUGAGAAUAAUAAGAGACGCAACAUGAAUAAGAAUCAUCCAUCAACUUCUUCAUUGCAUUAAUUUUAUUAUCACAAAUAACUUGCUAAAAAACAUUACAAGCUAUGUAUGUCAGCAGGGGUCUGGCUCUCAAUGACGGCUACGCAUAUGGUUUUUUCUCGGCUUUAUACCUGCCUUUAUUUAUUCUCUAGUCUUGGUUUAUCUCCGUCUUAGUUUAUGCUGGAUCAAGAAAAUAGAUUAAACAGUUAGCACUUAGCAUGAGUUAAUAAUCAUUGUCUAUAAGAAUUUACAAUGACGAACUGUGACACAAAUGUAGUAAAACUAUUAUAUAAUACAGCAAGAAACAAAUCGGAGUAAAACUCACUUGGCACAAUUAGUGGUUUUGGAGAUGGGAAUGUCAAUUUGAACACCACACUUGGAAGGAAGUGAAGAGGCUGCAUUUUCUUUGAUGUUGGGGUUGCGAGCAGCAGCUGCCUUAACACAGUCGCACGCUGCACGUCUGUCAGCAGUGGUGGGAGUUAUGGCCUUGAGAUUCUUCAACCCAUCACAGCAGGCAGCCGCUGGAUUUCCCCCGCCCAUCAAGUAAGGAAUGCAAGACGCCAAUGAUGAGUCUUCUUGCCCACAAGUAAUAGCAGCCUCUCCUGGCUUCGCAGCCAAUAAUUGAACCAUGGCGAACACCACCAGCAUUGAGAUAACAGCACCACCCUUCUUCAUUUUCGCUGCUGCUUUUGAUUUUAUGUGAUUAAUUUCCGAGUGUGUACUCAAGUAGAUGGAUUGAAUGGCAAGCUGAAAUCGGUCGGUAUUUAUAGAGUAGUGGAACUAAAUAAAGUUGGAAGUUGUGUCAUGGCAUAACUGAAGCAGUUGCAUUAUUUUAUCUUGUUCUUUCAAAAGGGUAAUGAGGAAAGGCACCUCUGAUGGGCGAUAUAUGGCAUGUUAUAAGCAUAACCAACUCCAUCUCUUGUAUCCUUCGGGCAAUUCUUGACCUUUUUUUUAUUACUUACAAUUAGAUACCCAUUUAUACCUACAAUCGGAAAUCUAUCGUGACUUUCUUAUCUUUGUUGCGCUUUUAAGAUAACCCGAACAUUGUAUCCUUACUGAUAGAGGAAUCUUGACUUCUAGGGUUAGGAAUACCAACUCUAUUAUGGGCUUGAUAAAUUUUGUUGAAUACGUUAGAAAACACUACAAAAGUUUUAAUGCGACGCUCGUUUAAUAAUGAUCUAUCAAAUGACAGAUGGCAGAUUUAAUAAGUCUUAUAACGAGUUCUAUAAUCUUUUUAUUUUAAAUUUUUUAACUCUCAUUAAUAUUAGCUUCAUUGUUCGCAAUCGCACACUCAUCAAAUUUGACAAUCAAUAUAAUUAAAUGGAUGCACUACCUCUCUUGUCCUACAAAAAUUUUCUCGCACAACACCAAUUUAGCUCUAGCCAAUUGUCCGUAUUCUUCUCUUCUAAGACAUUAUCAAAGACAUGAUGCACCCGUGCAAUUACGACUGCGUAUGCUUUGAACUUUGCUUUAGCUCAAACAUUAGCACAUCUCUUUCAUUUUUAGGGCAAAGCUUAUGUUACAUUGGCUGUAACAAACAACCAGUAUAUUUGGGUGGUUGGAUUUUGAUAUUUUUUAAUCCAAUGGAUGAAAAUAACUUUAACCUAAAACAAGGUAUGGGUGUAAUAGCUUUUUACGAAAUUUUUUAUUUUGAAUCACAUAUUUGCUUUUUUUUUUUUCAAGUAAGUCUUCAUUAAUUUUGUAUAACCAAAUGACUUUGUUAACCAUCUCUUCUACAUUUAUUCUUAAAAUUUUUUAAAGUUUUUACUAUAUUUUUAUAAAGAUCUAAAUAAUUAUCAUAUUCAUAAAUAUUUACAAAUUUUGAAUAUAUAUUUGUAUCUGCAUUUAUAAUUUCUUAUCUCUCCUAAGAAUAAACUAGAUUAUAUGUAUGUAUGUAUAUAAAAUUUAAAUUUAGCAUCUUGAAUUAUAAGAGAUAUUAUAUGUCAUAAAUAUGUUAUGACUCUAAUAAAUUACUAGAAAUAUGUUACAAUGAAUAAAUCAUUAGAACCUCUAAUAAUUUCACAAAAUAUAUAAAUUAAUGAGUUAUCACAUUCUAACUAUAUACAAAGAGGAUUUUCUCAUGAAAGAUUUUAAUCCUUUGAUCCGAUCAAUGAUUCGGAUAUGCAGGAAAAUAAUCAAUUAAAUUGAAUUUCACUAUAUUUAUUAAAUAAAUUAGGAAACUCAAAUUUAUUUAUAAAUGAUAUAGAAAAAGUAAACGAUACCACAUUCUAGCUAUAUACAAAGUGGAUUAAUGAAGAAAACAUAAAUCAAAUUAAAAAGUUAGGAGAUCAAAUGAGUAAAAAAUUUAAUAAAGUUAAACAAUUAAUAAAAGACUUCACAUUGAAGAUCAUGAUAUAUUAAAGUAAGAAAUUGUUAAUAUAAUAAAUAAAAACUUAAUAAAUAUAAGAUUAAAUAAGUUAGAGAUUCAAUUAGAUAAAAUAAAAACUUGGUACUGAACUUGCUAUAAAUAUAAAUAAAAAACAUGGUACUGAAUUUUCUAUAAAUAUAAAUAAAAAACUUUAAAAAAAUGAAGUGCUAUUGCAGUGUAGUUUGGGGUUCAAAAUAAAACUUUAAAACUUAUUGACUUUUUCAUAAUUAUUAACUUUUUUAAGGAUUCAAAAAUUUAUAGUUGUGACGUACAGCUGAUCUGUUGAUGUAACAUGAGCUCUGCCCAUUUUUAGCUGCCCACUUGCCAAGAGUUGUAUGGACCUUUUCCAUCGAACUCCAUGUCUAAACUUCAACAUCAAAGAAGAGUUAAAGACUCAGUCAGAUUCAGUUGGGGAGUUUGGUAUAAAAAUAAAUAAAUAAAUAAAAGUAAAGGACAGGAGAGGAAAUGAAAAGAAAGAAGAGGAAUAAAUAAAUUGAGAUUGAUUUUUUUUUUCUUCUCAUUUUCUCCCAUCUAUCUUUUUUAAUUCUCUCCUUUUUGUAUUUCGUCCAACCAAACACGCGCUACAAAUGUGUAUAAAAUGAUAUGCCCUAAUUCAUACAAGAGAAUUAUAGCCAUAACUAAGGUUGGUAAUGGGAUGGGGAUGGGACGAGGUUUAUCGACCUCAGUCCUGUCCCGUAUAUGCAAGUAUGAUAAAAAAAAAAAAAUCACAUUCUCAUCCCUUUAUUUUUUUGGGAUAAAAAUUUGUCUUAAUUCUAUCUUAUUAAAUAUUAUAUUUCAUCCCAUUAUCUUGAACAAUUCCAAAUGUAAAUAAAUAAAUUUUGACUUUUUUUUAAGAAUCAUCAUAAUUCAAUUCAAUAUAGCAUAAAUCUUAAAUAAAUACAAAGUAUAAUAAUCAAAUAAUCAUUUUAUUUUGAGUACAUACAUGUUCGAAUACAAUUUUAUACUGAUAUUUUUUAUUUUUCUGUUUGCUUCCAUUCACAUUAAUAUUAAGACUUACUUUUGAAAACUAUAGUUUGGACAGUAACCAACUUUAGCCAUGUUAAAAUAUCCAAUAAUUCAAUAAUAUAAUAAUAAAUCAAAAUAACAAUGGGAUGAGACAUGAUUUGUCAAUUCCGGUACAGUCACAUAUAUGUAAAUAGGAUAAAAAAAAUCUCAAUCUUGUUCCUUUAUUUUUUUAAGAUAAAAAUAUGUCUAAUCCCAUUUUAAACGAGACGGGAUCCUGCGAUGAGAAAAUUAACAUCCCUAACCAUCGCAUUAAUUAAUUUAUUUUUUUACCAUACUUACAAUUUUCUCACACCUCUUAAGCUAACCUAAAAAUUUCAGCGUGCUAUAAAAAUUUUGAGAAUUUAAUAUAAUGUUAAAGACCAGUAAUGAAAUGAAAAUUUUGGUGAGACGUAACGCUGGAUUUGAUGUAGCAUAAACUAGAAUGAUUUUAAAGACCCAUUGAACAUAUCUCAAGGAUUGAAGCAACCCCUCGUGUUUAGAGGGUAAGAAACAUUAGUUUGACCUCGACACAUAAGUGAUUUUAUUAAAAUUUAUCCACUGAUCUUCACUUAAUGAGUUUGUACAUAUUUAUACUAAGCUUUAAAUUUAUUUAUUUAUUAUUUUUAAAUAGAGAGAUGAAUAAAGUUUAAAUCAUAUCUUAUUCUCAACCUCCUCUAAAAUUUAAACUCAAGUGGUGAGUUAAAUAAAAUAAAACAAUAAUCAGGCAGCGGCCAUAAUAUGCUUCGAUAGAAAGAGACGACUUUUAUUGUUAUUUUUUUUAAUUUCUUAGCAUGCGAAACCUAAAAGAAAGUGAGAAAUGAGGAAUUUAUAAAAAAAUUUCUUGAAUUAAACAGGCAAUAAAUGUUUUUGUUAGGUGGUAAGCAAGCAACUGGGGAAUGUAGUACCCAAUUUAAUUUUACAAUUCAAGCUUUAAAGCUAAGCUAAGCAAUGUCUAAUUAUAAAAUCUAAAAAUAAUACGAAGGCAAAAGCGGAGCCCCCCAAAAACCUCGCUGCCUAUUCAACUCUCUGCUAAAACCUCUCUUCACCUCACCUCGGCUGUACGGUACAGCAGGUUUAUUUUUAAAAACAUUGUGAAUUUUAAAAGUANNNNNNNNNNNNNNNNNNNNNNNNNNNNNNNNNNNNNNNNNNNNNNNNNNNNNNNNNNNNNNNNNNNNNNNNNNNNNNNNNNNNNNNNNNNNNNNNNNNNNNNNNNNNNNNNNNUUCAUUAAAAAAAAAAAAAAAAAAAAGAACCUUUAAGAGAUUUUUAACAUUCAAUUCAAUUUCAAUUAAUGGCAGCUUGGAAAAUUUUGAGAGAUUUUUCAUACAGAAGAGUAAUUUCAUCGACACUCGGACGCUCCAGGCAUUGCUUCUCCUCCUCCUCCUCCUCCUCUUCUGCUGCGUACGCCACCCCGAAAAUCCCUCACUUUUCCAAACGAGUAAGGGUUUCUAUUUAUUGUUAAUUUUUAUUUUUUAAGAUUACAAAUGCAUGAUUGUAUUCUGAAGUGGAGUGUAAUAUAUGCUUAUUUAUUUAUUUAUCUGUUAUUAAUUUUUUUGGGCAUUGUAGGGGAGAUUAUUGACGGGAGCCACCACCUUAGGUCUGGUUAUAGCUACUGGAGCUUAUGUGAGUACCGUGGACGAAGCAACUUUCUGGUAAUUCUUUCGCACAUUAUUACAUACAUUCUAUUUUUUUGCUUCAAUGAUACACUUAAUACUUGUGAUAAUUAUAUUAGGUUUCUUAUGUAAAGUCCAGUGCUUGUUGGAGGAUUGUAUUGGUCCUUGAAAAUGAUUGUCACUGUUAGAGUCCUAUAGGGUUUUCUAGCGUAGCAUUGGAAAUGGGAAUUCAUAAGUAUUUAUUUAAAUGUGAUACCCAAUUAUGGGAAUCGAUAAUUAGAUAUGGUUUCUUUGCCAAAAAUUGAAAAGCUAGUAUCUUGCUUUUAUGAAUAAAUAAUGCGAAUCGAGUCCAUUCCUGGGUAACCAAGUUUGAUUUAGCUGUGUUGACUUACUCAAGUUUUGUGAUCCUAGACGGUGAACUUGUUAGUGCUUCAUUUUUCACAGUGGCUGGCUAUUCUCGGCUACAAAACUUGUCAACCCAUUCUUUGCUCUUCUAGAUGCUGAAGUUGCUCACACACUAGCUGUCUCAGCCGCUGCUCGCGGAUGGGUUCCAAGGGAGAAAAGGCCUGACCCGGCGAUUUUAGGGCUGGAAGUUUGGGGAAGGAAGUUCUCCAACCCUUUAGGUCUUGCUGCUGGUUUUGAUAAAAAUGCUGAAGCUGUUGAAGGUCUACUUGGGUUGGGUUUUGGCUUCGUAGAGGUUGGUUCUGUAACCCCUGUUCCACAAGAGGGUAAUCCAAAGCCACGUAUCUUCAGAUUGCGUCAGGAAGGGUGAGUAGCCAUAUCUAACUCACUUCUUCUCUAUCUGAACUGCAGGAAGUUUCUUUUUUGUUCAAAAUACAGUUAAAAUAUAUUGUGUGGUUGAGAGAAAGUUAGGUGGACGCACAAAAACACAACUGUUGAAUCUUCAUGAAAUGCAAAUUAUUUUGGACUUUGGUCUCUGUCUGUGCGGACUUGAACCUAUGAUCUGAGCCUUAAUAACAAGUUUUAGGGCUUGGAAUUGAUUUUUCUUUUUCCCCUUUCAUCCCUCUCCUUUUUCUCAUUCUUGUACUUAUGUGACUUCAUUUUUUGUGGCCAGUGCUAUAAUCAAUCGAUGUGGCUUUAAUAGUGAAGGCAUUGUUGCUGUUGCGAAGCGUUUGGGUGCCCAGCAUGGUAAGAGGAAGUUGGAUGAAACUUCACGCACUUCAUCGUCCCCCAAUGAUGAAGUUAAAGCUGGGGGUAAAGCUGGCCCUGGCAUUCUUGGAGUCAAUAUUGGAAAAAAUAAGACUAGUGAAGACGCUGCUGCAGAUUAUGUACAAGGGGUUCAUACAUUAUCCCAGUAUGCUGAUUACUUGGUAGACAUACCGUUCAUCCUUACUGGAGUUCCUAUUCCUCUUGCAUAUGCUAUCAUCAUAAUUUUCUGAUUCAAAAGAGAUUUUGGGUAUCUAUAUGCUGGCCCUUGCGAAUUUGUUAAAUAUGCUGAUUUUCAGAGUUGCAGUAAGCUGCGAUGUAAAUAUCUUGUUUUCUUAGCUUGAAGUGCAGAUUAGGAAGAUUGAUUCUGGAUAGCUUCAAUAUUCUUUCCGUUAACACAUUGAUAGAUAUUGUGAUCUAACUUAUCUAUUGUCUCCAGUUAAGUGAACUUUUUUAAUUGAGUAUUGAUGUGAGAAUCAGCGCUGACAGAAAAAGUUCUCCCAUCAGGCCCCGCCCUCCUCUUUCCCUCCAGCAACCCAAACCAAAGGCCACAUAAAAAAAAAAAAAAAAAUGCAAGCAGCUCCUAUUACUUUACUUUUGGCACCAAUAGCCACAACCUUCCAUCAUGUCGUCGUGUUACUCACUUGGAAAAAUUUUCCCAUUAUGUGCUUCCUUUCAGCACCAUGAUGUGAAUUAAUUUCUGAACUAAAUAGGUGAUACAUCUAUUUAUUUAUUUAUUUAUUUUCAUGUUUGUUCCUUUGUAGGUCAUUAAUGUUUCAUCUCCAAAUACGCCAGGAUUGCGUAUGCUUCAGGGAAGAAAACAAUUAAAAGACCUUGUAAAGAAGGUUUAGCUCUUUGUCAUGAACUUACUGUUUUCUUCAUCUGAUUUACCUUAUUUCUGAUGCAAAGUUGAGUUUCUUAAACUUUCUAUUUUAAAACAAGGUUCAAGCUGCUCGUGAUGAAAUGCAAUGGGGUGAGGAGGGUCCGCCACCACUGCUUGUGAAAAUUGCUCCAGACUUGUCCAAGGAAGACCUUGAGGAUAUUGCUGCAGUAUGUACAUGCUCGUAUUAAUUAUGUUUUUUUCCACUCCUCACAUUCUUACAGUUGUUCUCUGUCUCAAUAGGUUGCUGUUGCACUCCGCUUAGAUGGAUUGGUAAGUUUCUUCCAUUACAUAUUAUCUUUGCUCCUUUACUCGAAAUGUUAAUACUUCUGUUUUUAAAACUCUUGAUGUCUUCAAUUACAUGUUGUUUAUUUUAUGCUCUGUAUUUUGUAAUAUAUUUAUAUCCUUCACCAGUAGUUACACAUAAUUUAACCCAUAAUUUACUGAAUUUAAAUUGUCCAUAGUUUAGUGGUUUCAGAGGGUGAAAUUUUUGUUGCGCCUUAUUUUUGUUGCCUUCGCUAGUAAUGUCCAAGAUGUUUGCCGAAUUAGAGGUCUAUCUCUCAAAGCAUGCACCAUAAGAAAGUGGAAUGUGGUUAUUCAUUUGUAUGUUUUUCUUUCAUUCAUUUUAUUUGGAUUAUUUUGCAUGGUAAGAGGAGACAUCUUUAACUGCAUAUCUAGGUGGUUAUCUUUAUCUAUUUGAUCAUGCUGAGAAUACUAGCAUUAAUGUUUGGCUAAUAGAUUUACUAGGCUGUAUUUUAUAAUAGUCUCAGGCCUCACUAAUGAGGUAUUACAAACUGAGAGAUGUUUAUUGGCUCCAUAUACAAAACUGAUCUAUGCAUAAGAGUUUUUUGGAAAAUAGAUGAAGCGACACAUUAUUAAAAGUUAAAAAUUUCCUCAAUCGGUUGGAUCAUUUUUAAGACUAUUUCUGUGACCUUUUUAAAAUGGAGAGUGGUUAUUUGCCUAGUUUCUUGUGGAUUGUCUGAUACACAGUUAAUGGUUAUUUGGUUAUGAGUGGUUUAUUUUAUACUUAUUGGUUUCUAAUCUUAAUUAAUUGGUAGGAAGUCUUGUUGAAGUAUUAUCUUCUUUAUCAAUAAUGAAUUAGCUUUUGUUCCCUCUACUCGCCUUCUAUAAAGAAUUCAUAGAGGUUAGAGUGGGAAAAAUUCACGCGCUUCUUUUAAUGAUGAGCUUCCAUUAAAUUUCUCUAUCCCAAGCUGCUAGGAAGCCUCGGUGAAACUUUCUUUUUCAUAAAAACCAUUUCUAACUUUUUAUCAUCAUAUAUAUCUGUUUAAUUCUCUGUAGCUUAGCUGAUACAACCUUUUUAUAUAUUAAACUUCCAUUUUAGUCAUUCUUCACGAGUGUUUUUUACUGCAUUAUUCAUACGUACUGUCGAAGAUGUUGUUUUCACUACCAUGACAGCCAGAACUGCUCCUGUUUAACAGCCUGUUGAAUUUUAUAUCCCAACACUUGGAUUGUAGAAUAACCAUCCUAUCAAACAAUGGUUUCCUACAUUUAUGCAUCUUUGUUUUGCUCUGUGUGAAAUAAAUUUGCUUUAUGUUUCUCUAUAAAGGGUUACCAUAAGUUAAUUAUGUUGUUUUUAGUUUUCUGUCCGUGAUGUCAGAAAUUAUGAUCAAGAGUUAUAACGGUGGUGAAAUUAAACUUAAGUUGUGCUCUCUUGAGACAAGAUUUGCUUUGUGAAAUUAACACUUUAAUUGAUAUUUUAGAAUAGAAAAUGAGAUCUAUUUAUGAUCUUCUUUAGGGUCUUUGUUCUUUCGCUUAAAUUUUAGAGAACUCACAAUAAUUUGAUUCUUCUAGAUGCAUAUUUGUAUGUCAUAAAUCAUUAACUAAAUGCCCCUCAUAUAGUUAAUUCUCUUUUAAUUUGUGUUAAAAGUUGACAUUCGUAUUAUGUUUAAUAUGUAAUUGGUAAUGCAUUUUUGGUUGAUUGACUCGUGAUGUUAAAGUUGUGCGAUUUUCUGAACUUUCAUUUUGAGAAAGCAUUUCAAUUUUUGUGUAGAUCAUAUCAAAUACAACUAUUUCAAGACCAGAUCCUGUCAGUAACAACCCAGUGGCUAAGGAAACUGGUGGUUUAAGCGGGAAACCUCUGUUGAGUUUGUCAAACAAUAUCUUAAAGGAGAUGUAUCUCUUGACAAGGGUAUACUGGCUAUUCUUAUGGUAUCUUUACUUUAUUACCCAUAAGCUGCCUUUUGUUGGAAAAUAUAGCGAAGAUUAUUUCAUGUUCAAAACCAUCCUUUUUGUAUAAAUCCAUCUGGUUGCUCUGCUGUACCGUACAUCCGCCUUGGCCGUACAGCAGCCCCAAACUAAAUAGUGGGAAAAAAAAAUUUAGAGCAAAAAGGGAUUAGAAAAAAGAAUUGAUUUUUCAGUUGUUUGUCGGCACUUAACAACUGUAGGAUGUAAGUAUUUUUGUGCCUUCUUCAUUGCAAAUUCAAAUGCCUCAAAGAAACAAUGGAAUAUGAAAAAGAAAGAUGAGGCAUCCUUCUUGUAGACAAAAAUGAACAAUAAAAGAAGUAAUCAAAACCAACAAAAGAUAACAACCUAAAUUAGAUGGGAAAGAAAAUCAUCUUCCAGAAAAGGUAUGAGUUGCUUCACCAACCGUCUAUACCUUGUAGUUUUCUUUCCUUAAGGGACUUGCCCAUUAUUGAUUAUUUCAUACUUACAAUUUCCAUAGUUUUUCUGAUAUUUUUUAUUUCAUGCUAUGAAUUUGACAGUGUCUAUUUAUCUUUGACAGGGAAAGAUUCCUCUAAUUGGCUGCGGGGGUAUUAGCAGGUAAAAUCAACAAAAACCUCGUUGUAGUAUCUGCUCUCUGAAAAUCUCUCAUUCUCUAAUCUUGGUUUGUUUAUGUUUGAUUCAGUGGAGAGGAUGCUUACAGAAAGAUACGAGCUGGAGCAACUCUUGUUCAGCUUUACACAGCAUUUGCCUAUGGGGGACCAGCUCUUAUUCCUCAAAUAAAGGUACUGCUCUACUGAGUUUCAAAAGUUGGGAGUAUGGAUCAAAAUAACAUUAUACAAUUGCUGUUAGUGUGUAGCAGAGAAUGCAUUAAACAGCUUUUUAACAAUGUUUCGAAACCUGGACCAUUGACUAAUCUCUAUAAGUCAUUAAUAGGUACUAUUAUUUUAAUGGGGUGGAGUUUAGACGUCAUGCAUAUAUUUUACAUAUUAACUAGUCAAUGCUUGAAAAAUGUGAGAAUUCAUUCAGAAAAACUGUAACAAGACGGCAGAAUUAUUUUUAUUAUUGUCUUUUUUUUUUUAACCAAAUACUUUUAACAUUGAAUUGUAACAAAACUUCUGUAAUUGCUCUCAUGUUGCACGUAUUAGACAUAGUGUAGUAAGUUCUUCUGUGUGCUCGGAAGUGCCUGAAUUAUCCUUGAUAUUUAUUAAUGUUUAUCGUCCGUUUAUUUAAUUCCUGAAAUGUGUUCUCCUUUAGGCUGAACUGGCUGAGUGCCUAGAAAGAGAUGGUUUUAAGUCUAUCAUUGAGGCAGUAGGUGCAGAUUACAGAUAAUUGCGGCGUGCGUGUUAGCUCCACAGAAUGAAUAUUGAGCCCGCCUUUUUGAUGUGCAAGAAGGACCACACAUGAACAGAUUCUGUAUCUAAUUGAUUUGCUAAGCAAUUUUUUACACAUUUAGAGUUUUACUGUAGUUUUAGUUUCCACCUGUUUCUUUUUUAUCUUCUCCCCCCUCCCCCCUCCCCCCUUUUUCUGAGGUUGAGUUGAAAUGUUAACCUGUAAAAUAUGAGAAAUUUAGAAAUGAUUUGUCAGGACUUUAAUCUCUUUUCUGGUGCUCCCGGCUAUUCAUUCAAAGUUGGAACAGAGUUUUCAUGGCAGGCAGUAGUUUUUGGAAACUAUAUACGAGGCUUUCCAUGUACUGUAUGUUAUGAUGAAUGUGGGCUUUCCAUGUGUAGUGCACCUGAGUGGUGCCAUUGUGGUUUAUUUUAUUUCUUUUAAAUUCCUUCAAAAUGAUUUUCUGUUUGUGCCAAUUUUCCAAUAGAAAUACUGGGGAUAUAAAUUUUUACACAAGUCGUUGUGACAGUGCCAAAACUAUUGUCUCAUAUCCCACAUUUUUGCAGGAAUUAUUAAAAAAAAAAGAUGGGAUAUGAGGCAAUAUUGUCACGGCAUUAAUUUUUGUAGAAAGACAGAGUUUGCUUUUGUAGCAUAAUUGAUUUACACUAAAGAUAAUGAUUAAUCUUUGUUUUCUUGAAUUUUUCGUGUGUCCAAUGACACAUGUAUGGACAAUAAAAAAUAAUAAAACAACAAUGCCACAAUGGUAAUGAUAUCCUUUAAAUAUUGGAAAUUAAUAUUUAAUCUCUUUAAUUGUAAAUAUAUGAAUAUAUUUAGGGCCCGCCUCAGUUACGUGUAACUUGCGGCUUGGCUGUAAAAUGUUGUUCAGCCCCCUAUACUCUAUGUUAUUUAUACUUUGUUCAUGAAUAUUAUAAAAUUUUUAAUUGUAAAAUUUUUAAUUGUAAAAUUUCGUCAAAUCCUUUAAACUCAAUUUUAUUUUGAGUAAUGAUACAGCCACAAACUCUUGUACAAAUUUAUUUUGUACAAACUGACGUGACAUUAAUUCAUUGGUUGAAUAAAAAUAUAAAUUAAUAAAAACAAAUCAUGUGGGCCAAGUGAUAUUUAAUUCAAUCAAUCUUAUCAUGCCACAUCAGUUUGUACAAAAUAAGUUUGUACAAGAGUUUGUGGCUGUAUCAUUACUCUUUUAUUUUAUUGAAAUCUUAGAAUACGAAUUUGUCCUCUUAUAAUUUUAAAUUCCCAAAAUAAUCUCCAUUUAAUUAAAAAUAUAAUAAUUAUUAAAUGAAUUAUAAUUAUAAUUAUUAUUUUAUUAUAAUCAUAAAUAUUAUUAUAUCUNNNNNNNNNNNNNNNNNNNNNNNNNNNNNNNNNNNNNNNNNNNNNNNNNNNNNNNNNNNNNNNNNNNNNNNNNNNNNNNNNNNNNNNNNNNNNNNNNNNNNNNNNNNNNNNNNNNNNNNNNNNNNNNNNNNNNNNNNNNNNNNNNNNNNNNNNNNNNNNNNNNNNNNNNNNNNNNNNNNNNNNNNNNNNNNNNNNNNNNNNNNNNNNNNNNNNNNNNNNNNNNNNNNNNNNNNNNNNNNNNNNNNNNNNNNNNNNNNNNNNNNNNNNNNNNNNNNNNNNNNNNNNNNNNNNNNNNNNNNNNNNNNNNNNNNNNNNNNNNNNNNNNNNNNNNNNNNNNNNNNNNNNNNNNNNNNNNNNNNNNNNNNNNNNNNNNNNNNNNNNNNNNNNNNNNNNNNNNNNNNNNNNNNNNNNNNNNNNNNNNNNNNNNNNNNNNNNNNNNNNNNNNNNNNNNNNNNNNNNNNNNNNNNNNNNNNNNNNNNNNNNNNNNNNNNNNNNNNNNNNNNNNNNNNNNNNNNNNNNNNNNNNNNNNNNNGCCGUACAGCAGAGGUUAUUUUAGAAAUUUAAAAUUAUGGAAGGUGAAUUCAUAUUUUAAGGUUUCAAUAAAAUAAAAUUAAGUGUAAAGAGUUAAACGAAAUUUUAUAAUCCAAAAAAAAUUAUAAUAUUUAUAAAUAAAUUAUAAAUAAUAUAAAAUAUUGGAGGCCGGAUAAAAUUUUAAGAUCAAACUGUAAGUUACGUUAAAAGUAGCUUUGACGGACCCAUAUAUUUAUUGCUUUAUUGCUGGGAAUUGGAAAUUUGGACCCUCGAUUCCUCGGACUAUGCAAAAUUUCCGCUCUGGUCAGCUUCCUCUGUCUCAUCUAGCCAUUAAAGCCAUUCUCCUGGGCGCAAGUGAUGACGUGGCGAUUCUUGGUUGCGUUUAUAUAAAGCUACAAAACAAAAGUACGAGCUCUUCUUUUCCCUCUUUUUUUUUAAUUAGUUUUUUAUACAGCAUUAAGCUACGAAUGUAGUACGGCAAUAAACGAUUCUUUACCUAUAAUAUUUUUUUAUAAUACCUCCACUGUUACGAGGAUGGAAAGUCCCAGCCAAAUAAAUGGUCGUGCAUCUGUUUUCCUUAAACCAUGAAGUCGGAGAAUUGAAUGUAGUCGCAUCUGCUCAUUCAUGGCUUUUGAGGUGCUUCACUUUCACUGACACCGAGUUCCUUCAAGAACAUAACAAAGUAAAAAAACUGAUCCCAUAGUCCUGCACAACAGCCAGAAGGUAGCCCUUCUUCCACUUGAUCUUCAUUUACUUUGAUGUCAACAUAGUUUAUAAUCUUUGCCUCUGCUUAAUUCGUGCAUGCUUGGUCAUAGCUUCUAGUGUUUAAUAGGGUUCAAUAUACUUUUAACAUUUCAACAACGUGCAGUCUCUUUCUUGUUCAGAUUUAUCACUUCUAAUUGUGUAACAGAGACACAGUUCUCCCAUUCAUUUAGUUUCAGGAUGAUAAUUACUUACUUUGGUGUAACUAAGUUUAUCUAUUGAUUGUUACAAACUUCGACCCUAAGAUUUCUCAUCAAAUGAACUAUAGGGAUUCAGACUAUCACACUCUGCAUCUCUCUCUAAACAUAAAUUGAUUUGCAGUUGAUUCAAUUAAUAUGCCUGAUCCUCUAAUUAUUCCUUGAUUGUUAGUUGUCUAGGCUGUGGAGUUAAUCAGAUUUUAUAGAGCUCUAGUCAGGGCAGCUGAUUAUUAUUAUAUUUUUGAUAAAACCAAAUAGAGGAAAGAUGCAAAAACGGAUGUUCUUUGGUUGCAGAACAGCAUGUCUGUAUUCGCUGAAAUUUUGAGAUGCAUUCUUUGUUGUUCGGAUGAAGAUUUUCAUGAAACUGAAACGGACUACUGGGAGACAAUCUCUCUACUUAGAACAUCGAAUCACAACUCUUCUGUCGGGAAUUAUAGUCAUCACAACUCUUCUCUCAGGAAUUCUAGUGAAACUCAAAGGGACUACUGGGAGACACUAUCAUUUGAUUCUGAACAACAUCAAUUACGUGCUAAGCCACCGGCAUCUCCACCACCCCGUAAAUCCUCGCAAUCUUUAUCUGGUUCUACUUUGACGACGAAAGACGCAGCGCCUAAAGUUUUGAAGAAGCCAUUGUCUCAGAAGGCUCCUUCAUCUUCUCAGCCUACCCUUUCACCAUUCCCUUCUGAUUCAACAAAUCAGCAGAAAAAUGAUAGCUAUUUUUUGGUUGAGAAGGGCGCAUCCAAUUACAAGAUUCCUAAGGAUGUUGAAGAUUUGGUUAAGAAAGACAUUGUGCCUGAUGUUUUGAAGAAGCCAUUGUCUCCGUCGACUUACAAAGACUACUUUGCUGCUCUGCUGUACGCUGAGGAUUUCUACAUUGAGGUGAUUAAUUAACAGUGACCUUUUUGCAUGUUGUUCUCUAUAUUAUCAUUUUGUGUGUGUUUAUUUUCAAGCUAGAACCAACAUAAAACUCAUUUUCAAAAAAAAAAUAUCAACAUAAAACUCAUAAAAUCUGAAUUUAGAUACAUACUCGGAUUAUGUGCGAAAAAUCGACAAAUCAAGGUUGUGCUACUGAAUUCUAGUUAGAGGAUGAUCACAAAGCUGGAAAAUCCCCGCAGAUCACGUUGCAAGAACCCUCUAAGCUUCUCUUGGCUCGAAUUCUCUCAAAUUGCACUCUUUAGCUCAAUGGCUUGUCCCUAGCUUGUCUCUUGUACCUUUCUCCAUGGAUUUACUCUUUAUUUAUAGCAUUCCAAGAGUAGUGAAUCAUCACUAAAUAAGGUUAAACUAUUGUUGGAGUCAUCUUCCACUCAGUGAUCACUUAAUAUCUUAGGAUAUUAUAUCAUUCCACUCAAAAUUGAUCACUUAAUUCUUGGUCUCCUCAUGGGUGACCUCAAAAUGAUAGAACCCUAAUGUACAUGUAUAUCUAUUUACAUACACAUACACAUACACAUACACAUACAUAUACAUAUACAUAUACAUAUAACUUCUUUGCUACCAAUUGUAUAUUGUGUACUGUGGCUGUUCAGUGGAAGAUGCUUUUUUUGUGUUUAGUGCAGUACUAUCCCCUUUGCAAUGUUAGUUUACCUUGUAUCCGAUAAAACAUCAUGUGGGUGAUGUAUUUAGCAAUCAUCAAACAUGUUUUGCUGGAGAUACAUAAUUUUAUAUUUUAUAUCUCUGUCUCAGUUUUUCGUUAGAUUUACCAACUAGGCUUCUCGAGACAAGCCUGUUUAGAUUUAAAAGUGAUUUAUAGGAAUCUUAUAUGUUGUAGAUGAUUGAAUGCAAGGUGCAUCUACGGACCAAAAACAUUACAGUUUCAUCCAAGUUCUUUCUUUCAUACUUCCUAAUUGUGUUUAGAUGUAAUAAUGGCUUUGAUUUGAUCAGAAGUGGAGCGGUUUUCAGUUAUUCAAUGUCACAUUGGAGGUGCAUAAAGCUGCAAUAUAUGAUAAAUCACUCAAGAACAAGAAUCUGAAGGAAAGUGAUGAGAAGAAUGAUAAACUCUUUGUAGCCUUUGAAAUUGAUUCUGUUCCUGAGAGACGACCAUUUCUAUUAUCUAGAGAUUUUGUCCACGCACGACGUUCGGGCAGCAACGCCAAGGAGUUUCAAGUAAGUGUCGUGAGCUUUCAAACUAAUAAUUUGUAGAAUCUCUUUUAGUGAUAAAUAUUCAUAUCUUCUGCCAAAUUGAGAAUCUAUUUUAUGCUUCUUUCUCCCUAUGCUUUCAAAUUUUUGGAAUAUAAUUCUAGUCGCAGCUAUCAAUAUAAUUUAUAAAUUAUGACAUUUGAAAUUCUGCAAACCUACUUAAUUCAAACCUACUUAAUGCAAACUAUUGCUCAGUUUGAACUAUAGAUGAGUGAUGAGCAUAUAAUACAUACAUAUUUUACCAUUAAUUAAAUAAUUGUUAGCUAUAUUUAUUUGUUAUUUUUAAUUAAUUGAAUUAUUUUAUUGAAUAGGGAAUUAAUUGUCCAGACAUUUUGUUUUUCUGGUUGAAUAUCUUCGGAAAAUAUCUCCUUAAUUUUCCGAAUAUUUGUUUUCUCAAAUCCUGUCCAGGGUAUUCUUUACCGGGUGGUGAAGAGCAACGUAGUGUUGGUUGAGUUUGAAGAAGAUUUUUAUUCACUGCAUCAUCCAAAGUACAGAUACGAUAUUAGCUUCUCAUUCAACCGAGUCUGUUUGAAACGAGCUCACCAAGCAAUUGCAGCUGCAUCACGUUCUUUAUUUGAGAACUACCUGUUUCCUGAUUUUACCUCUAGAAAGAACAUCAGUUCCUCAGAAAUUUGUCUUUAUGGUAAUCGUAACCUUGACUCAGAUGGCAACUCUGCAGUUCGUCGGAUCCUAAGCUUACAUGGGAGGCCACCUUAUCUUGUAGAGGGUCCACUCUGUGCAACUAGUGACAAUCUAUCCAAAACUGGAUUGGUUGUUCGAGAAGCAGUACUUGAAAUUUAUAAGAGGUCAUCUAAGUGUCGAAUUCUAGUCUGUGCUCCUAUAAAUAGAACAGGUGAUGUAUUAAUGAGAAGUUUGAAGAAGAAGAUUCCAAAGUCUGAUAUGUUUCGAGCCAACGCUGCAUUCAGAGAGGUAGAUGGGGUACCAGUUGACAUCCUCCCCUUGUGCCUUUAUGAAGGGGGGGAGUGUUUUCAAUUGCCUUCACUUCAGGAAUUGAUGCAAUUCAGGGUAAUAUUCUCAACUUUUACAAGCAGCUUUCGCCUUCACAACGAGGGCAUACCUGCUGGGCAUUUUAGUCACAUUUUUCUUCUUGAUGCCUCAUCUGCUACUGAGCCAGAGACAAUGAUAGCUCUCACAAAUUUGGCUAAUGAGCACACGACCGUGAUACUCACCGGUACUCCUAAUAACCGUACGAGUUGGGUCCGCUCUGAUAUUGCUAGGAAGAAUGGAUUAAGGGUGUCAUAUUUUGAAAGACUUCAUGCCACCAAGACCUAUAGCAAUUUCAAUCCAAUGUUCAUUACUAUGCUGUAAACUUUGAGUACUGCAGUAACAAUAACCUCUGUUAUAACUUAGUUUACUUCCAUGAAUUUGUUACUACUGUGCCUGGUUGUAAAUGUGUGAAUGUAAGAACAUUUCUUUGAUCUGUUGCUUUUGCACUUAUUGCUCUAUCUAAUUCAUGCAGUCCAAUUCCAUGAUGAUUGAUUGUUUUCAUUUUCAUAGAUUAACCAAAAUUCAAGUCUUCAUAGAUUGUAUACAGGUCACAGUACUCCAUCUCUGGAUUAUUAGUCAUCUCCACAAUCCUGCACAACAGCCAGAAGGUAGCCCUUCUUCCAUUUGAUCUUCAUUUACUUUGAUGUCAACAUCGUUUAUAAUGUUUGCCUCCGCUUACAUUCGUGUAUUGCUUGGUCAUAGCUUUUAGUAUUUAAUGGGGUGUAAAAUACUUUUAACAUUUCAACAACAUGCAGUCUCUUCUUCAGAUUUAUUAUUUUUAAUUGUCUAACAAGUACACAGAGUUCUCUCAUUCAUUUAGUUUCAGAAUGAUAAUUACUUACAUUGGUUUAAUUAAGUUUAUCUAUUGAUUGUUCCAAACUUCAACCCCAAGAUUUCUCAUCAAAUGAACUAUAGGGAUUCAAACUAUCACUCUCUGCAUCUCUCUCUAAAAAUAAAUUGAUUUGCUGUUGAUUUAACUAAUAUGCCUGAUCCUCUAAUUAUUCCUUGAUUGUUACUUGCCUAGACUGUGGAGUUAAUUAGAUUUUAUAGAGCUCUACUCAGUGCGGCUGAUUAUUGUUAUAUUUUUGAUAAAACCAAAUAAAGGAAAGAUGCAUAAAUGGAUGUUCUUUGGUUGCAGAACAGCAUGUUCGUUGAAAUUUUGAGAUGCAUUCUUUGCUGUUCCAGUAAAGAUUGUCAUGAAACUGAAAGGGCUCCUGGGAGACAAACUCUCUACUCGGAACAUCGAAUCACAACACUUCUCUCAGGAAUUCUAGUUUUACUAACCACGAUCUACUGCGUCGAGAUGAUCCAAGCAAAUUCUAUUACUACGGAUAUUACCCGCAUGUAUCAAUUAGUAAGUAAACUACACAGCAGCCUAAUGCUAUGUCACAGCAAUCCGAAUAUGGUAACAAGUCGUCACUGAAAGGGAAUAAUGAAGAGUCUCAGUUUGAAGAGCUCAAGACCACCACCACCUUCAUCCUCCUAUUACACAUGUUCAUCAUCACCUAAUAAAUCACAGUCCUUGACACAAUUGUCAUCAUUCCCCGAACCUGCAUCUGCUUUGUCUACGCCAUUUCUAUCACCAAAAGGGCCCCCACUGUCAUCUUCUAGCACUUCAUAACCUGCAUCCUUCAUCCCAAGCAUCUUUGUCGUUGUCUAACCCUGCACUGUCUGCUCUCAGUCAAUCUUUAUCAUCACCUAAACCACCUUCAUUUAAUUCUGAACAACAUCAAUUACGUGCUAAGCCACCAGCAUCUCCAUCUCCCCGUAAAUCCUCUCAAUCUCUAUCUGGUUCUACUUUGACGACGAAAGACGCAGUGCCUAAAGUUUUGAAGAAGCCGUUGUCUCAGAAGGCUCCUUCAUCUUCUCAGCCUACCCUUUCUCCAUUCCCUUCUGAUUCAACAAAUCAGCAGAAAAAUGAUAGCUAUUUAUUGGUUGAGAAGGGCGCAUCCAAUUACAAGAUUCCUAAGGAUAUUGAAGAUUUGGUUAAGAAAGACAUUGUGCCUGACGUUUUGAAGAAGCCAUUGUCUCCCUCUACCUACAAAGAUUACUUUGCUGCACGGCUAGAUGCCGAGGAUUUCUACUAUGAGGUGACUAAUUAAUUAUGCCCUUUCUUCCUGUUUUACUUUAUUGUCUGAUUUCACGCGAUACAACCUCACUUCUACUAUCAUAUGUUGUAUAUAAUUUCUUUUCAUUGAAGACAUAUUUGUUCUGAUUAAUGCCGAACCACUCACUCAUGGUUAUGCUGCAAUUAAGAUGGUUUCUGAUUAAGUAAUCUAUGUACAUCAUAGUUAUGGAAAAGAUUUCAAAAUAGCCAGUACAAUUUACAAUGAAUCAAAGUUGACGCAUGGGAGCAUUAAAAAAUCUAGGGAGCUCUGUUAGAAAGGAUAUGAUUUGGGCUGGUAGCAGGUUGUAUUAAGCCAGAUUUCCGUUAUUCUGGGACCUCUUAAAGAAUCUAUCUAACCCGUCCGUGUAAGAAAUAGAACCAAACAGCAGAGAUUAUUAGAAUGGAUUAUAUUAUUUUACAAAAAAUGGCGCUAUCCACGCCCAACUAGUUUCCUUACAGAACCCCUUGAAAAACCAAUGAGAAAUUAUUACAGUGUAUCAGAUCAUAUUAACAAGAUUGGUGCUAUUUGCUCAUCACUUAUUUUCCUUAAUUAUAUUAAUACAAGUGAACUGAAAUAGUGAAAUGUUUAGAAACAUAAUUUGGAGAGUGUUGGAUUGGGGUUUGCUUCACUCAGGUGGGAAAGCAAAUUACGGGACAUCCAUAAUCCAUAGUUGCUUUAGACUUUCUGUAUACUUUGAUAUUUUACUGCAUUUUAAUUUACAUGAGAUGACAUGAUAAAUACAAAUAAUUACAAAUUUCAGAUAUUGUGACCAGUAUUUUUUUUAAUUCUUAUAUUUUGCCUAGAUGAUUUUGUGGAGAAACAGACUAUUGAUGUGACACCCUAGGCAAAUCUCACAUUGGUAAAGUACGAGAGAGAUGCUGGGUAUAUAAGGGGUGAUCUACACAUUAAUUGGCUUUGGGGUGUAUGGGCACCCCAUGAACAAAACCGUGCGGGCCUUAUUAAGGCCCAAAGCGGACAAUAUUUUACCAAGUUUGGGUUGGGUCAUAACAACUGAAUAUAAAUUCUUUCUCAUAAGAUAUAAAAAUAAGGGUGGGACAGAUGCAUUUUCAUUUUCCCUUCUUAAAUGGGUCCAAUUGUACUUGUAUUUAUGUGUUUUUCCCAUAUCUUUAUUUGUGCUUCUCUAUAGGAACUUUACUUGUAUUUUAUGUCUUUGAUUUGAUCAGAAGUGGAGUGAUUUUCAGCUAUUGAAUGUAACGUUGGAAUUAGGUGAAGCUACUCUAUAUGCUAAGUCACUCAAGAACAAGCAUUUGAAGAAGCAUGAUAAGAAAGAUGUUAGAUUCUUUGUAACCUUCGAAAUUGAUUCUGUUCCUGGGAAACGGCCAUUUCUCUUAUCUAGGGAUUUUGUUUAUGCACAAUGUUCAGGUGGAAUAUCAAGGAAGUUUCAAGCAAGUCUCCUUAUCUCACAAACAUAUAAUUUGUAGAAUCUCUUGCCGUGCUUUAGUGUGGUUGAUUUGCAUAUAAGCCAAAUUGAAAAUUCUAUUUUAUGCCUCUUUCUCCCUAAAUUUUGAAAUUUUUGUAGUAAUAUUAUAGUUACACAUUUCAAAAUAAAAUUUUAACAAUGCCAUUCGAAUUUUGAAAGCCUGCUAAUUUCACACUUGUUGUAAGAAUGGGAGCAUGAGGUAGGACAAUAAGAAAGGAUGGAUUAGUGAUAGAGUAGAAAAAAGAGCCCGUAAGUGGAAAAAGAAAUAGAGAGAAGAAAGGGAGAUACCCAUUUUUCAUUAUUCCAAUAACUAUCAUUUAUAAAACAAAAAUUAAUGCCCUAUUAUUGUGGCCAACAGAUAACUAAUAAUGGCAGACCAUAAUCAACUUCUUAGCAAAAAACGAAAUCUACUAGUAAUACAUGAUGAAAAAAUAAAUCAACCAAGGUAACUCCUUAUUCAGCAUUUCCUAAAUCUAUAUAACUUCAUUCUACAUCAUUGUGUCAUUUUGAUGGAAGCGACUGAACCUGACAGAUUAUAAUUUAAUUGUUGUGUGUGGCAUCCUAACAAAUCAACAUAAACUUCUGCUAGAUUUUUCAUACAAGUGAGUAAGUGCAUAAAUUUUUUACAUGACCACACAUUGAAGUCUGACCUUAUAUGGCCGUUUCAUUAAAAUUUUAUCAAUCCAACCAUUAUUUUUCAGUUUGAACUUCAGUUGAGGAACAAAUGCGCUGUUUAAGAACAUAUUAUAAUUUUUGCACAAGGACAUCCAUUGAGUUUAGUGACGAGCCAAACUAAGCCUGAUUGAUAUUUCCUUGAUAGAAAUUAUUUGAUCUUUUUCCAGUCAUGCAAUUUGGAAACUAAUUUUUCUACGUUUGAGACCCAUUUCCAUCUGGUUAAUCUCGAUUGAAUUUGUACGAAGUGGUAACAUGUAAUGUAGCUUGGACUUAGUCAUUUUGUUUUAUGGUUUCAUACCUCCAUCUUUUCCAGAAUACCUGACCGGGGUAUUCUUUGUCGAGUGGUGAACAGUACUAACGUGUUGGUUGAAUUUGAAAAAGGAAUUUUAUUCUCAGCACCAACAGAACUGCAAAUAUGAUAUUAGCUUCUCAUUCAACAGAGUGUUUGAAACGGGCUCACCAGUCAACUGCAGCUGUGUCAGAUCAGUUAUUCCAGAACUGCCUUUUCCCUGUUUUUGCCUGUCAUAAACAUAUACCUUCGUCAGAACCUCACUUUUACGGCAAUUGUAAACUUGAUUUGGAUGGCAAUUCUGCAGUGCGUCAGACAUUGAGCUUACAGGGCCAGGCGGCCAGCCACCUUAUCUUGUGGAGGAUCCACUCUGUGACUAGAAAGAAAAAAGGAAUUACAAGAUGAAGAUGUAUUUGAGUACGUACUUUCAAAAAACUGGAAAUGUUGUUCGAGAAGCAGUGCUCCAAAUUUGUCAGAGGUUACCAAAUAGUCGAAUUCUCAUAUGUGCUCCUUCAAACAGAACAUGUGAUGUGCUAAUGAAAACUUUGACGAAGGUUAUUCCAGAGUCAGAUAUGUUUCAGGCCAAUGCUGUAACACCCCAAUUCGACUAACAAGAUACUACGGUGAAAUUGAGGUGGAACUGCAUUUUAUCAAUCUAACUUCUAAAACCACCAAAACAACAUCCAAUGAUAAAUGUUCUAAAUAGCAUUUAGAGAAAUGGAUGAGGUAACAGAUGACAUCUUCCAGGUGUUGAAGGGACUUGUCCUCCACUUGAGCAACUGAGACAAUACGCGGUGAUAUCUUCAACUUUUGCGAGUCGCUUUCGCCUUCACAAUAAAGGCAUUACUUUUUUUUUUUGGGUCUUAACCACGAGCAGCAGUCGCAGGGUCUCAACUGUGGGAGACACUUUUAAGUAUGUAACACAAUUUAAAUUAGAAGUCUCGCUCGAAUCGGAAGGCACAUAUUCUCCCAACAAAGGUGACUUCCCAACUAUUCGAACUGAAAAACAAAUUAAAUCAAGCUACUUAAGGGGACUCUAUUGCUAAUGGAGCCAACGCCUUGUUGGUCAAUAAAGGCAUUACUGCUGGAUAUUUUAGUCACAUUUUUCUUGUUGAUGCAUCGCCUACCAUCGAGCCAGAUGCACUGAUAGUUCUCAGUAAUUUGGCAAAUGAGAACACGACUGUAAUAGUCUCUGGUGCUUCUUAUGACCAUCCACGUUGGAUCCGAUCUCAUAUUGCUAAGAAGAAUGGAUUAGAGAUGGUAUAUUUUGAAAGACUUUGUUUUUCCGAGGCAUAUAGGAGUUGCCAUCCAAUGUUUCUAUUCGCGGCUGUCAACUUCCAUAGAAUAAAUCCGAUAGUUGUCUUCCAUUCACCCAUAUCAAUCUGCUAGUGGAGGUAACUAACGGAAACCUCUCCUGUAACUAAUUUGCUGCUGCUCGUGAUGUUGUUACUACUUGCCUCGUGUAUGUAUGUGUGGAUGCGAGAACAUUUUCUCUGUAACGAUAGUUCAAUACUCGUUACUCUUUUAUCUAUUUAAGGUUGUGACAGCUGUUUGCAAUUCUUUAUAUACAAAGAUUAGACCGUUCUUAUCCGUUGGCAAAGAAAAUUAGCCCAUUAAAUUCAAGCCGAUGAAUACACCGCCAAGCAAGAGGCGCAGUGACAAUAUCAACUAAGCGCGUUCUGGUUUUGCUUAUUUUUAUUUUUAAAUAUGAACGGAAUUCACUAAUAUCCGUUAAAAGAAUAAGUCACGUGGGAAGGGGAACCUCGUACGCUCGUACUAAAAGCCCAAAAAUGAAAAAUCUCUCAAAAUAUGAACGCUCGCUUAUUUUUAAUCUUUUUUAUUGUAAAUAUAAUAAUACAUUUAUUGCUUUAUUGGUGGGAAUUGGAAAUUUGGAACCCCGGACUCCGCAAAAUUUCCGCUUUGGUCAGCUUUCACUGUCUCAUCUCAUCUAGUCAUUAAAGCCCUUGCCGCGGGCGCAAGUGAUGACGUGGCGAUACUUGGUUGGGUUUGUAUAAUACUAGAAACGUCCGAGCUCUUCUUUUUCCUGCCUACUCAUUCAUGGCUUUUGAAGUGCUUCACUUUCACUGUCACCGAGUUAUUUGAAGAACAUAAAGUCAGAAAAGCUGAUCCGACAAUCAUCCCCAUAAUCCCACAUCUGCACAACAGCCAGAAGGUAAUCCUUCUUCCAUUUGAUCUUCAUUUACUUUGAUGUCAACAUAGUUUAUUAUCUUUGCCUAUGGUUACAGUCGUGCAUAGAUUAGUCAUAGCUUCUAGUGUUUAAUGGGGUUCAAUUUACUUUUAACAUUUCAACAACAUGCAGUCUCUUUCUUGUUCAGACUUAUCAUUUUUAAUUGUGUAACAAAGACGAAGACUUCUCUCAUUCAUUUAGUUUCAGAAUGAUAAUUACUUUCUUUGGUGUAAUUAAGUUUAUCUAUUCAUUGUUACAAACUUCAACCCUAAGAUUUCUCAUCAAAUGAACUAUAGGGAUUCAAAUUAUCACUCUCUGCAUCUCUCUCUAAACAUAAAUUGAUUUGCAUGUUUGAUUUAAUUUAUAUGCCUGAUCCUCUAAUUAUUCCUUGAUUUUUAGUUGUCUUGGUUAAAAACAGACUGUAGAGUUAAUUAGAUUUCAUAGAGAUGUACUCAGUGCAGCUGAUUAUUAUUAUUGUUUAUUUGUAUUCUUGAUAAAACCAAAUAGAGGAAAGAUGUAUAAAUGCAUGUUCUUUGGUUGCAGAGCAACAUGUCUGUGCUCGUUAAAAUUUUGAGAUGCAUUUUUUGCUGUUACGAUGAAGAUUAUCAUGAUACUGAAAGGGACUAUCGGGCGAGAUUACUUGGAACAUAUAAUCACAACUCUUCUGUCGGGAAUUCUAGUUAUCACAACUCUUCUGUCAGGAAUUCUAGCUUUACUAAUCACGAUCUUCUGCGUCAACAUGAUUCAAACAAAAUCUAUUACUAUGAAUAUUAUCCGAAUGUGUCAAUUAGUGAGCCAACUACAAAGCAGCCUAAUGCUAUGUCACAGCAAACAGAAUAUGGUAACAAAUCGUCACUGAAAGGGAAUAAUGAAGUGUCUCAGAGUUUAAAGAGCUCAAGACCAUCACCACCUUCAUCCUCCUGUUACACAUGUUCAUCAUCACCUAAUAAAUCACAGUCCUUAACACAAUUGUCAUCAUUCCCUAACCCUGCAUCUGCUUCAUCUAAGCCAUUUCUAUCACCAAAAGGACCCGCUCCAUCAUCUUCCAGCAAUUCAUCUUCAUCAUUCCCUAAACCUGCAAUUCCUUCUUCAAAAGCAUCUUCAUCAUUGUCUAGCCCUGCAUCGUCUGCUCUUAGUCAGUCUUUAUCAUCACUCAAACCACAUUCAUUUAAUUCUGAUCAACAUCAAUUAACUGCUAAGCCACCUGAAUCUCUUUCUCCCUUUAAAUCAUCUCAAUCUUCAUCUGGUUCUACUUCGACAAAGAAUGACACUGCACCUAAAGUUUUGAAUAAGCCAUUGUUGCAGAAGGCUCCUCCAUCUUCUCAGCCUACCCUUGCUCCCCUCCCCCCUGAUUCAACAAAUCAGCAGGAAAAGGAUAGCUGUUUAUUGGUCGAGAAGGGCUCAUCCAAUUACAAGAUUCCUAAGGAUAUUGAAGAUUUGAGUAAGAAAGACGUUGUGCCUAACGUUUUGAAGAAGCCGUUGUCUCCAUCUACCUACAAAGAUUACUUUGCUGCACUGCCAUAUGCCGAGGAUUUCUACCAUGUGGUGAUUAAUUACUUAUGUCCUUUCUUCCUGAUUUACUUUAUUGUUUGAUUUCAUGCAAUACAUAUUCAUUUCUACCAUCAUCUGUUGUAUAUUCUUGUUGUUGGAUAUAUGGGUUCAGGAGGGCUCAUCAUCUGUUUACAUGCCUCCCAAGAAUAGUGAAAAUUUGAUGAAGAAAGAAGCUGCCCCUGAAGUUUUGAAGAAGCCAUCUUCUCCAUUGUCCCGGAAGACCCCUUCAUCUUUGAAGCCUGCUCUUUCUCCACUGCCUAAUGAUUGUACUAAUCAACAAACAAAAGGAAACCGUGUAUGGGUUCAGAAGGGCACAUCGCCUGUUUACUUGACUCAUAAGAAUAAUGAAAAUUUGAUGAAGAAAGAAGCUAUGCCUGAAGUUUUGACGAAGCCAUCUUAUCGAUCAUCCCAUAAGUCCCCUUCAUCUUCUAAUCCUACUCCUUCUCCCCUCCCCAGUGAUUCAACAAAUCAACAAACAAAAGGAAAUGACACAUGGGUUCAGAAGGGCACAUUACCUGUUUACAUGACUCCCAAGAAUAAUGAAAAUUUCAUGAAGAAAGAAGUUGUGCAUGAAGUUCUGAAGAAGCCAUCUUCUCCAUUGUUCCAUAAGGCUUCCUCAUCUUCUAAGCCCACGCUUUCUCCACUCCCCACUGAUUCAACAAAUCAGCAGAAAAAGGCUAGCUUUAUAUGGGUUCAGAAAGGCGCAACUAAUUACAAGAUUCCCAAGGAUAUUGAAGAUUUGAUCAAGAAAGACAUUGUGCCAAAAGUUUUGAAGAAGCCAUUGCUUCCAUCUACCUACAAGGAUUACUUUGCUGCGUUGCUAUAUGCUGAGGAUUUCUACGAAGAGGUGAUUAAUAAAUGAUGCCUUUGAUCCCCAUUUUUCUUUAUUGCAUGAUUUCAUGUGAGAUAAUCUCAUUUCUACCAUCAUAUCAUGUAUAUACUUGCUUUUCAUUGAAGACAUAUCUAUUGUGAUUAAUGCAAUACCACUCGCUCAUGGUUAUGCUGCAAUUAAAAUGGUCUCGGAAGAAGUCAUCUAUGUGCAAUUGUACAUCAUGUUAAUGGAAUAGAUUUUCAAAAUAAAUAGUACAUACAAAUACAAUAAAUCAAAGUUGAGUCAUGGGUUAGAUUGUUGAGAAUUCUAAGGAGCUCUGUUGAAAGGGAUAUGUUUUGAACUGGCAACAGGUUGGAUUGAAUCAAAUUUAUGUGUUGUGGGACCUCUUGAAGAAUCUAUCUAACCUGUUCGUAUAAGAAAUUUAGAACCAAACGGCAUAAAUUAUUAAAGAGUUCUUUAGGUUAUAUCAUAGUGAAUGGUGCCAUCCAUACCCAAUUAAUGUUACUUGCAGAACCCCUAGUAAAACCACUGAGAAAUUAUUAGUUUGCAUCAGAUUAUAACAAGAUUGGUGCAAUUUGUACAUCACUAAUUUCCUAAAACUGAAAUGUUUAGGAACACGAUUUUCAGAGUGUUGGCUUGAGGUAUAUUUCAGUCAGGUUCGAAAACAAACUGAAGGAAAUCCAAAAUCUAUUUACCGUCUUUUGCUUAACAUAAGAUAGCAUGAUGAAUAAAAAGAUUGGAAACUCUGAUAUUUUGAAUAGUAAGUUGUUUCUUUAUUGUUAUUUUUUGGUUAGAUUAUUCCCCAUGGGCGCAAAUUAUUGGGACAGAUGCUUUUAUUCAGUGAAUGCAGUUCAGUUGUAUUUGUAUUUAUGUAUUCUGUCAUAUCUUUAUUCUUGUAGGUAUUCUUCCAAGCUUCUCUAUCCAAAGCUUACAUUUUUAUAAUAAGAUGAUUAGAUGUUGCUGUGGACUGAAAACUUUCAUCAAAGAUUUUUCAUGCUUUUCUAACAUUUUAGAUAAUUUUUUUGGCUUUCAUUGUGAUCAGAAGUGGAGCGGUUUUCAGUUAUUCAAUGUCACAUUGGAGUUGCAUAAAGCUGCAAUAUAAACUCUUUGUAGCCUUUGAAAUUGGAGUGAUGAGACGGAUGAUAAACUCUUUGUAGCCUUUGAAAUUGAUUCUGUUCCUGAGAGGCGACCCUUUCUUUUAUCUAGAGAUUUUGUUUAUGCACAACGUUCAGGUGGCAAAUCCAAGAAGUUUCAAGUAAGUAUCCUGAUCUUUCAAACUUUUGAUUUAUAAAAUCUCUCGCCGUGCUUUGGUGACAAAUGUGCAUAUCAGCCAAAUUGAAAAGAAAGAUAGAGAAUGAAAAAAUAAAAAAUGUAGAGAAUAGUGAAAGUGAUGCAGAGCAAGAAAUUGAAGAAAUCCUAAUUAUAUUUAAAUGUAUAAUAUUUAGGAAUAUUUUAAUUAAUUUGUAUUCUAGUUUAAUUUGGUUUCCUAUUUAGAGUCUUAUUGUUUAGGUAUUGCUUAUUUGGGUAAUAUUCCUAAUUUAGGCAUAAGUAUUAUUAAAAUAGGUUUUCUAAUCAUAUUAGGAUAAGUCUUACUUAGUAUAAAUAAGUGUCUUUUGUAGCUUUUACAAGCAGAGAAUUUUGAGUUUAAUAAUAUUUCAAUUUUCAAAUCUCUUUGUGAGUAUUUGAACAGUUAAUUCUCGGUAUUCUGCGGAAUCAACGAGUCUUAAUCCCUAAAUUCGCGGUAUUCUUUUGAAUCAACGUGGGUUUAGUUGUUCUAAUGAUAGAACCCUCUGCUGUACGGCCAAGGCGGAUGUACGGUACAGCAGAACGGAAUAUUUUGAACAUUAAACUUCCGCUGCAUCAGUUUGUUAUGAAGUUGAUUUGGAUCAAUCGCCGAAAUUUGAUGAGUAUCUUGAUAUUGUGGGACGAGAAGAGGUAAUUGUUCAUCCAUCUUUUGAUCUUGUGGAGGAGAGAGAGAUAGUCGUUGAUACAAUCUCUUAUUGUUCUCUUGAUUUGCCGAAAGAAGACAAAAAGAGUUGUGAUAUUUUUCAACAAUUAGUGGAUUAUGAAAAGAAAUUGUUUUUCUUCAACUAUGUUGAAGUUCGACACGAACAAUAUGAGAAGACAUUAUUAGAGAAGUUGUUGAUAGAAGAAUUUAUUUUACGCUAUUGGAGUGAUUGGAUGGACGUUAUUACAAAAGUUGGAAAAUUUAAAGUUCGUUGUCUAUGUCGAAGCUCUAUUUUAAAAAUUAAUCCUUAUGCACAUGAAGAUGUUCUUGAAGACUACAACAUACAAAAUUCGAGGACGAAUUCUCUCAAGCCUGGCGGGAAUGAUGCAGAGCAAGAAAUUGAAGAAAUUCUAAUUAUAUUUAAAUGUAUAAUAUUUAGAAAUAUUUCAAUUAAUUUGUAUUCUAGUUUAAUUUGGUUUCCUAUAUAGAGUCUUAUUGUUUAGGUAUUGCUUAUUUAGAGUCUUAUUAUACUAGGAUUAGUUUCCUUAUUAACUAAAGUUUAAGACUUUUAAAUUCCUUUCUAAUUUAGAAUUUUGUUUCCCUUUCAAUUUAGGAUUUUGUUUUACUUCAUGAAUUAGGAUAAUUACUACUACUAUAAAUAGCUCCCUCUUGUAGCCUUUGAAAGCAGAGAAUUUUGAGUUCAAUAACAUUUCAAUUUUCAAAUCUCUUUGUGAGUAUUUGAACAGUUAAUUCUCGGUAUUCUGCGGAAUCAACGAGCCUUAACCCCUAAAUUCGCGGUAUUCUUUUGAAUCAACGUGAAUUUAGUUGUUCUUUUAUUCCGGUAUUCUCUAGAAUCAACGGAAUAUUUUGAACAUUAAACUUCCGCUGCAUCAGAAAGUGAGUAGAGAGAAAAGUCCAAGUGUGGAAAAAGAGAUGGAUAGAAGUGAGGGAGAUACCCAUUUUUUGUUAUCUCAAUAAAAAUCAUAAUAAAAUACAUAGUUUUAGUCCUAUUUAUUUUAGCCAACAAAGAACCAAAAAUACAACUUCUAACCGAAGAGAGAUCUGCUACUAAUAAGUGAUGAAAACUAAAUCAAUUAGCCAAAAUAAAUAAGGAGAAAUAAAAAUUCAAAAUUAAACUUAUUCCUAACUCAACAACUGGACCUGACAGAUUCAUGUUCUGUAGUCCCUGAUAAGUUAACAAGACUAUCUCUUGAAUUUCAUACAAGUGAUCAAGUGCAUAAACUUUUUACGUAUAAGUGGCAUCUAAUUUGGCCAUUCCUUUCGAUUUUUAUGUAACCAACCAUUUUUUUGGUUUGAACUUCAGAUUAAAGAACAAAUGCUCUGUUUUAAGAUAGAUUAUAAUUUCGCACAAGGACACCCAGUAAGCUUAGCAUUUUGCUGGUCAUGUAACUUUGAAACUAUUUUUUGUACAUAUCUGGAUCAUUUUCCAUCUGGUUAAUCUUGAAAGGAUUGGUACAAAUUGAUAACAUCAAAACUAGCUAGGUCAUCGUCAUUCAAUCAUUUUGUUUGUUGUUUAUUGUUUGUUCAUAUUUCCAUCUUUUCCAGAAUAUUUAUGUUCGCAAAUCCUGACCAGGGUUUCCUUUAUCGAGUGGUUAAGUGGACUACUGUUUUAGUUGAAUUUGAAGAAGAUUUUCAUUCUCAGCAUCAACCCAACCACAAAUAUGAUGUUAGCUUCUCAUUCAACAGAGUCUGUUUGAAACGGGCUCACGAAGCAGUUGCAGAUGCAUCAGAUUCUUUAUUCAGGAACUACCUUUUUCCUGAUUGUGCCUCCAGAAAGAGCAUCCCUUACCCAUCACUUUGUCCUUAUAGCAAUUAUAAACUUGAUUCGGAUAGCAAUUCUGCAGUGCAUCAGAUAUUAAGCUUUGAGGGCCAGUCACCUUAUCUUCUAGAGGGUCCACUCUGUAAUAAUUUUGUACUUUCAAAAACUGGAAAUGUUGUUCGAGAAGCAGUGCUCCAAAUUCGUCGGCGCUCGCCUAAGAGUCGAAUUCUUAUAUGUGCUCCUUGGAACAGAACUUGUGAUAAGCUAAUGGAAUGUUUGAUGAAGGAUAUUCCGGCAUCAGAAAUGUUUCGAGCCAAUGCUGCAUUCAGAGAAGCGGAUGGGGUAUCAGAUGAAAUCUUUCAGGUAUCACUUGUUGAACGGGAGUGUUUUUCUUGUCCUCCACUUGAGGAACUGAGGCAAUAUAAGGUGAUAUCUUCAACUUUUGUGAGUAGCUUUCGCCUUCAUAAUCAAGGAAUAACUGCUGGGCAUUUUAGUCACAUUUUUCUCAUAGACGCGUCGUCUGCCACCGAGCCAGAGACAAUGAUAGUUCUUGGUAAUUUGGCUAACGAGAACACAAGAGUAAUAGUCACUGGUGCUCCCCAUAACAGUCCAAGUAGGGUUCGAUCGGAUAUUGCUAGGAAGAAUGGAUUAAAGAUGUCGUAUUUUGAAAGACUUUGUCUGACCGAGGCAUAUAGGAGUUGCAACUCAAUGUUCUUCUCUCAACUUUUCACAGAAGAAGUCGGAUAGCUUUCUUCCAUUCCCCCAUAUCAGUCUGGUAGCGGAGUAACUAACAGAAACCUCUCCUGUAACUAAUUUGCUGCUCAUGAUGUUGUUACUACUUGCGUUGUGUAUGUGUAGAUGCGAGAACGUUUCCUCUGAGAGUUCAAUACUUGUUAGUGUUUAUAUACAAAGAUUAGACUGUUCUCAUUCAUUGACCGAGAAAAUUAGCCCAUAAAACUCAAGCUGAUUAAUACACCACUAAGCAAGAGGCCCUGUGACAAUAAACUAAGCGCGUUCUGGUUUUACUUAUUUUUAUUUUUUAAUAUGAUCGGAAUUCAUUGAUGAUCCAUUCAAAGAAUAAGUUGCACUUUGUAAUGAAGUCUUUGAAAUGAGAAAAACAAGUCAUGUGGAUCUACAUGAAGAUGUACGCGGCCCCACUUGCACUUUUUGUUAAAAUUACGUGGUCUCGGUCCUCUCUUUGGCUGGGUUUAUUUCACUCAAAGCCAGAAAUAUUAUGCUCGUGUGGGUGUCUAUAAAUAUGGAUGAGGCUAAGUUGCGGCUUCUGCAAGUAACAGCUUUGGCAGGGUAAGCUUGCAUGACCUUGCAUCAGCAGCUUUUUCUCUCUCAUCCAACACGCGUGCAAGCUUUCCAUUUGCUAUAUUACAAACAGAAUCUGUGACAUAGUCCAUACUAUAUGGAUUUAUAUACACACGCACACAAGUUUUUCCUCAUCUUCUCCUGCAGUAAAGUGCUUUGCCUUUGGACUCUUCUUUAGUGCUUUCACAAAAAUUGUCUUUAGUACAAAUAAAAAUAAAAAACGGAUCCUUGACUACUAGCAUUCUUGAUCUGCUCAAGAACCAAAUGGUAAUUAUAUUGCAUUUGAUCUUCAUUAAUUUUUAUUUCAAGAAUUAAAAUCUUUUCAUCUUAUGGAAGAAUAGUUUGAGUUUCAUCUUACUUGAACAUAGAGUCAUGCAUGCUUUAUUUGAUUGCUAGUUCUUCUGUUUUUAGGGGAGCUUAAUCUUCUGUCCACAUACUUUUAACAUUCAAUUAACUUGUACUAAUAUAAUACGAUUUUACAUUUUCUCAUGCACUUUGGUUCAGUAUGAUUGCUUAAAUUUUAUCAAAUGAUGUUUAAAAUUCUCUUACAUUACUAAUCAACAAUUUUUUUAUGGGUUCAUUUAUCCUCUAAUUGGCCCCCCUGAUUUCCACUAUAAGUAAUCUUGGUUACAGAGAAACUUCAGUUUCUGAUUUUCAUCAUUUGGAUAAUGUCAAUUUGAUUAAAUGCAUUACACAGUAACUUCAUUGUUUCUUCUUCCUCACCAAGACGUAUAAAGUUGAUGUUGUCCGGCAGUGUGUGUGCAUUAGGCGAAAUUUUGCUAUACAUUUUCGAGGACCAAGAUCAUGGAACUAGUAAUGAGACUUCAGAGAUAGACCCUUCACUCGGAUCACCUUCCUACAACACUUCUGUUAGGAAUUCUAGUCUUGAGAAUAAUGAAGCAUCUUCAUCGUUCUCUAGACCUGCAGAAUCUUCAUCAUUCUCUAGACCUGUAGCAUCUCCACUUAGUUCUGAUCAACCUCGAUCAUCAGCUUCUUCACCAUUCUCUAGGCCUGCAGCAUCUCCACUUACUUCUGAUCGACCUCGAACAUCGGCAUCUUCAUCAUUCUGUAGACCCGCAGCAUCUCCACUUAGUUCUGAUUAACCUCGAUCCUCAGCGUCUUCACCAUUCUAUAGACCUGCAGCAUCUCGACUUCUGGUCAACCUCGAUCACCAGCAUCUUCACCAUUCUAUAGACCUGUAGCAUCUUCAUCGACUUCUGAUCAACCUUGAUCAUCAGCUAAGUCAACUGCAUCUUUAUGUGGUUUAUCUCAAUCUCCUUCCAUGCCAACUUCAUCAUCCCAAAAAGCUCCUCAGUCCUGUAAGCCCACUCUAUCUUCACUCAGCUUUAAUCUAACAAAUCAAUAGAAGAAAGCUAAAUAUACAUGGAUUCAAAAAGGGACAUCACCUAUUUACAUGAUCCCUAAGGAUAUUGAAAGUCUAAUCAAGAAAGAUAUUGUCCACUUUCUCAUUUCAUACAAAACUUAAUGCAUAUUCAUUCUUGUGCGAAUGAACUCUCGCAUAUACUUUCUGCUGUCCACAUAAUUUAGCUAAACACAUAAUAACACAUCACGUAAAUACAUAGGCAAAAUCAUAUAAAUUCAUAUCCGUACAUAUCAAAUAUAGGUUUUUUAAACUUGUCAAACAUGUACAUAUUGUUUAUUAUGAUUCAUUUAGAAGUUUAGUUUACUUAUGUCUUGGCAUCCACGUAUAAAAAAUGCAUAUUGAUAUAAUCGACCUAAAAAUCAUUAACAAAACUCUGAUUAGAUAUAAUCACAUUAUAAUCAUAAACUCUAAUAGCAUCAAAUUUUACAAGGCAUAUGCUGACAUAUUAGAAAUUCAAUGCUUAAACCUUCAUAGCUUAAUUCCUUCAAAAACUUUUGAAAAUAAUUACGUUUCAAACAUCAUCAAUUUUGUCAAAUAGUUUUCUGUUUCGAACAUAUUUGUUUUAAAAGUACAAAACAAUUUUUUGUUUUAUCAUAAAAUCAUGAAAUUUUCCUAAAUCACUCUAGACAUACAUAAAAAUCACUAGUCCAAAUUUCAUCAUUUUUGAAUAAAUCUAGCUUCGGUAAAAUAGUUUCGUAAUUCAUGUUCUUCACUGAAAUUAGAAAUUUUCAGGUUUUUAGACUUGAGUUAAAAAAAUCGUAAUAAAUUGAAUUCUUAUAUGAUUAGUCGAAACAAACUUCAAAAUAUUCUUGAAGAUGUCUAAUUUAACAUAUCCAAAAUCCAGAAUCAAAAUCAAUAUGUACAAAUUACUAUGAUUUUCGAAAUAACUCAUUGUCAGCAUAUUUUCUGCAAAAUUUUAAAUUUCUAUUUCUACUACAAUUAUCUAAUCAUACUUCUUCAUAAUAAAUUAACAAAAACCAAGAAUUGAAAUUUACCUCUAAUCUUCUCCCAACAUAAUAUCAAAUUCAAAUUACACAACUUUGAUCUCAUGUGUUGCUUAGGGCCAUUUGACGAAGAAGACUUCUUCUCUUUUUCUCUUCUUCUCUCUCUUUGCUCUCUUCUUCUUUCUUUCUUUUUUUUAGCCGAUCUCUUUCUCUCUCUUCAAUGAUAAAGGCAAAGCAUCUUAUUCUUUUUAUACUAAAAUACAAAGACCACUAACAAAUUGAAAAGACUAAAAUACCAUUAAGAGAAUUGAGAUAUUACAGUACAAGUUGGUUCUGCACUGAUAUUGCUCGGAAUAAUUGGUUAAGGAUGUCAUAUUUUGAGAGACUUCGUGUGACCGAGGCCUAUAGCAGUUCUGACCCAAUGUUCAUUACAAUGGUGUAAACUUUGAGAUGAACUCUUUUAUCCUUCUGUUGUCGUAAAUCUUAUCUGCUAUUGCAGCAACAGCAACCUCUAUUAUAACUUAGUUUUCCUCUCGUGAAUUUGGUACAAUGCCUUGUUGUAAUUGUCUGACUGCAAGAUUAAUUGAUUUGUUAUUUUCGUACUAGUUGCUCUAUCUAGUUCAUGCAUUCCAUGAUGAUUGAAUGUUUUCUUUCUCAUGAAUCAACAAAAAUUGAAAUCUUCAUAAAUUGUGUGCAGGUCGUUGCAUUUUCUGUCUCCAUUUUAGUUCUGUUCUGACUAUCAUAAUAGAACUCAUGCGCUUGAGCGGGCUGACUACUUCGAUUUUGCCGGUAGAAGUAUCAUAACCACCAAUAUUGGUUUGGAGGCAUCUUUUGCCAGUAGAUUCAUCUUGUCGAUCAAGAUUGGAUUUGGAUUUUGGAGGCGUCUUUUAAUGGGUGAAACGAUAUGUUGAUGUUAGAAUCUUUUAGUUCGUUUGUUAAGGAAUAAGGAUUAUGAUACAACCCCAAUAUUACAGUUAGACAAGCCCAACUCAGCUAGCUCUAUCAAUAGCGAGGAAAAGGCCCAGGCAAACUCAAGUGAGGCUAUCCAAAACCGACCCCAAGAUAACAUCAAGCCAAGUCGCGUAAGGAAGCCUCCCAAAUGGUUCAAGGAUUACACACACUGAGCAUAUAUGAGCAGAGGAUUCGGUUUCUAACGGCUUUAGCUAUUUAGAGAAUAAUUCUUUGUUAUAGAGAGAGGUUGUUAUUUAGUUUUGACAGCUGUGAGCAUAUUCUUGCUGCUAUAAGUAUUUCCAUGGUUGUAUUUGAUGAUAUAUAUAAAAUUCUGGACUCAGUUUCUUCUUCUUCUCUGAAAUUUUCUCUCUAUUCUCUCUUGCCAUUCACUCGUUUCUUUAAAAUUCUGGGAGCUUGCACUUGCUUGAAAAGUGUGGAAACCUUGCUGUUCGGUGUGCUCACCAGCGGCAUAACAGAUUAAGAACCGCAAGAGGGUUAAUCAGAAUAAGCAUAUUAUGGGAUGAGAGAAUAUCAUGCCACAAAAUUAGCUUUUUGCUUGGACUUAAUUUAAAAGUUGGCAUCUAAUUAAUUAACCCGGAGAAGAAUAAGAGACGUGCGUGGCAGUAUAGAAGUGGAACCUCCUACAGUUAAGAGUCUUGUUCAAUUAAAAAAAAAAACUUUUUCAGCUUACUGACAACUCUCAUCCACUCUAUUUAUAUGCCGCACAUGGGUCCACAUGAUGACGUGGCCUCACUUGGUUGAGUUUUCUAUGCAAGAAACAAUAUGCUUUCAUCUCCCAUGCAAAGCUUUUAACUUCUGGAUUCUUGAGUUGUGUUGGAGUGCCUUUUAUACUGUGUGUAAGUCGUUCUUUGGAAAGGAAGAUUAAACUGAAAAACCACUUGUGUAAUUGUGUUCCAGUAUUCUCAUCUGUAACAAAAGAACCAGGAGGUAAUCAAUCGUGCUUUUGAUCUUCACUUAUUUUGAUUUCAGGAUAGUUUCAUCUUACUAGCACUUACAGAGUCAUGCAUGAGUUUAUUGAUUUCUUUAAUGGUGUUCAAUCUUCUUUAUUUUGCUUUCGCCGCAGGAUGUUUAAGUGGAUGUUCAUAGGCUGCGCAGUGUAUGUGUUAGGUAAAAUUUUGCGAUACAUUUCAAGCGACCAAGAUCAUGGAACUGAAAGUAAGAUUUCGAAGGGAGACCCUUCACACGGAUCAGCUUCACUUAACACUUCUGUUAGGAAUUCUAGUUAUGAGAAUAACGAUCGGCAAGACCAAUCUGAUCGAACCCAAAUCAAGUACUACGAUAAUUACCCGAAUUUACCAACUAGUAGCUCAACUACAAAAAGGAGUGGAGCUGUGUCUAUUGAAUCAGAAUAUGUUAACAAGUUUAUGGAAGGAACUGAUGAAGCGUCCUCGAGAUUGAAAUAUAGAACAUCACAACCUCCAUUUUCCUCUAAGCCAUCACUCCCUAAACCCGCAUCAGUUUCUUCUAAGCCAUCCGUAUCUCCAACUGAACCUCCACCAUCAUCUUCUAGUCCUAAACCUUCAAUUCCUUCUUUUAAAGCAUGCUCCUCGUUCUCUACACCCGUGGCACCUCCCCUUACUUCUGAUCAACCUCGAUCAUCUGCUAAGCAAUCUCCAUCUUCAUGUGGUCCAUCUCAAUCUCCCUCCGUGCCAACUUCAUCAUCCCCGAGCACCCCUGAGUCCUCUAAGCCCACUCAGUGUCCACUCUGCUUUAAUCCAACAAAUGAGCAGAUGAAAUCUAAUAAUACACGGGUUCCGAAGGGCGCAUCAUUCCCAAAAGCCCCUCAGUCCUCUAAGCCCACUCGGUGCCCAUUCUGCUUUAAUCCAACGGAGGACCAGAUGAAAGCUAACUAUCCCAAGGAUAUUGAAAGUCCGAUCGAGAAAGAUAUUGAGCCUGAAGAUUUGAAGAAUCCAUUGUCUCAGAAGGCGCCUUCAUCUUCUCAGCUUACCCUUUCUCCGCUUCCUCCUGAUUCAAAAUAUCAGCAGGAAAAUGAUCGCUAUAUAUUGGUCGAGAAGGGUGCCUCUAAUUACAAGAUUCCUGAGGAUAUUGAAGAUUUGAUCAAGAAAGACAUCGUGCCUGACGUUUUGCAGAAGCCAAUGUCUCCAUCGACUUACAAAGACUACUUUGCUGCUCUGCUGUACGCUGAGGAUUUCUACAUUGAGGUGAUUAAUUAACAGUGACCUUUUUGCAUGUUAUUCUUUCUAGUAUCAUUUCGUGCAAGCAAGAAUGAACAUAAAACUCAUAAAAUUCGAUUUUAGAUACAUACUCAGAUUAUGUGCGGUAAAUCGACAAGCUAAGGUUGUGCUACUGACUUCUAGUUGGAAGAUGAUCACAAAGCCAGAAAAUUCCCUGCGAUCACGUUGCAAGAACCCUCUAAGCUUGAAAUCUUGGCUCAAAUUCUCUCAAAUUGCACUCUUUAGCUCAAUGGCCUGUCUCUAGCUUGUCUCUUCUACCUUUCUCCGUGAUCAUCAUUAAAUAAGGUUAAAUUAUUGUUGGGGUGAUCUUCUACUAAAUGAUCACUUAAUAUCUUAGGAUAUUUAUAUCAUUCCCUUCAAAAUUGAUCCCUUGAUUCUUGGUCAUGCAUACCUCAUGAGUGACCUCAAAAUGAUAGAACCCUAAUAUAUAUGUAUAUCUAUUUAUAUACAUAUACAUAUACAUUAUACAUAACUUCAUUGCUACCAAACGUAUAUUGUGUGCUGUGGCUGUUCGGUGGAAGACACCUUUGUUGUGGUUCGUGCAUUACUACCCCCUUUGGAAUGUUUGAGCUUACCUUGUAUACGAUAAAACAUCAUAUGGGUGCUGUAAUUAGCAACCAUCAAACAUGUUUUACUGGAGAUACAUGAUUUUAUAUUUUAUAUCUGUGUCUCAGUUUGUCGUUAGAUUUACCAAUUAGGCUUCUCGAGACAAGCCUGUUUAGAUUUGCGAGUAAGUGAAAACAUCAAAGCACCAAAUUAGUAACAUUCUGAUGUUAUUGAUAAUCUUGGUGCAUUUUGUGUUGGUAGGCAAUUUAACAGAGAUAGGCAACCCUAGUGGACUGCUUUAGCUGCAACUUACUCUGUACAUACAGCCCAUAUCGACUGUUCAUAGAAGAUAACAAUAUUUGGUACAAAAGUGACUUUUAGGAAUCUUACAUGUUUUAAAUGAUUGAAUGCAAGAUGCGUCUAUGGACCAAAAACAUUACAGUUUCAUCCAAGUGCUUUCUAUCAUACUUCCUAAUUGUGUUUAGAUAUAAUAAUGGCUUUGAUUUGAUCAGAAGUGGAGCGGUUUUCAGUUAUUCAAUGUCACAUUGGAGUUGCAUAAAGCUGCAAUAUAUGAUAAGUCACUCAAGAACAAGAAUCUGGAGGAGAGUGAUGAGAAGGAUGAUAAACUCUUUGUAGCCUUUGAAAUUGAUUCUGUUCCUGAGAGACGACCAUUUCUAUUAUCUAGAGAUUUUGUCCACGCUCGACGUUCAGGCAGCAACGCCAAGGAGUUUCAAGUAAGUCUCAUGAGCUUUCAAACUAAGAAUUUGUAGAAUCUCUUUUAGUGAUAAAUAUUCAUAUCUUCUGCCAAAUUGAGAAUCUAUUUUAUGCUUCUUUCUCCCUAUGCUUUCAAAUUUUUGGAAUAUAUUUUUUUAAAUGAUGUUUGUGGGUAUCAUCACUGAAGCCCUCACGAGACUAUAACUCGUCCACUAGGGCCGCCUAGGGGUUUAAAGGCUUGUUGCAUACGCUAAAUGCAAUCGCGAUUACCUGCGAAAGUGGUUUAGUUAGGAUUUACUUUUUGUUUUGUUAUUUUUAUUUUUGUUUUAAGUUUUAGUUUUGCUCGAGGACUAGCAAAAUCUAAGUUUGGGGGUAUUUGAUGAGCAUAUAAUACAUACAUAUUUUACCAUUAAUUAAAUAAUUGUUAGCUAUAUUUAUUUGUUAUUUUUAAUUAAUUGAAUUAUUUUAUUGAAUAGGGAAUUAAUUGGAGAUUAUGAAUAAAAAGAACAUAAAGGAGUUCAAUUUGUAAGCAUUAAAGAUUAAUUGAUUUUUGGAAGAAAUUAGACGUACAUGCAUGUGGAAAUCAAGCCAAGAAACCGAAUUCAACAAAUUCAUUUACCCGUGCACAUGCGGACAAAGAAGAUAAAUGGAUGGAAAGCAACUUAAAAGGGCCCACACUUGGCUUUUACAAUUGGAAAAAGGAAUCCUAGUGCAAGCCUAAUUGGUGAGCACGUGAGUGAGAGUAAAGAAAAUUAAAAGGCCAAGCCUUUUGGCUUAAGGAAAUAACAAGGUCGGUGGGGCCUAUUUAAAGAGUAAUAUAAAAGCAAGCUUUUGGCUUUUGGAGAGGAGGAGCAGAGGACGGAAAAAAAAGAGGAGAAUUCGGCUUUGAACAAAGAGCAGCGACAGCAGAAAUAUUUCGGUGAAACUUUGACUCUUUGUUAUUCAAUAUGUUUACAUGGGAUACUUAGAUAUCGUAUUAUUAAGCAGAAAAGAACCUACACAAGAUUAAUUACUCGGACUUAAUUGUUAUAUUCAUGAGAUGACAUAGAUUGAUUUCGAGUUGUCACUCUAAAAUUGGGGAUUAAUUUGUUUGUGGGAAAUACAUCGAGGAGACCAUACGAGAUGAGCAAGUGUUUGGUGGCGGAGUUCUGCGAGCAGGAAUAUUCUCCUCGUCCACGAAUAUGCCAUUCGCGAAACCGAAUUCCUGUUAGAGGCAUAAGGUCAUUCCUGCUAAGGGUCGAGGCGAGGAGACCCGGUCAACGGCAGUUGGCAAGACGUGCCUUCCUAUCCGAGAAUCAAGGCACGAGGUCCAUCUCCAUUUGCCCACAAUGACGACGAUGGGGCAUCCACAUCUGAGGGUGGGGAGAAUAAUGGGCGUAAAAUGCGGAAGAUCGGGACUCAGAGGAAGCUUAUAAAAAGGUAGCCAACAAAGGUAAAAGGGUUAGAUUUUUUGCUAUUUUGAACUAAGAAAAGAGAGAACUGGAAGGUCUGAGAUUAAUAAACAGCCAUAAGAUUCGUGGCAAGCGUUCCCAGAACCUUGAUAUCUGACUUGAGCGUCGGAGGGUUUACGCCGGGAAAACAACCGGCGUGCUCUGACUUGUUUCUGUGGACGCAGGGAUACUUAGAGAAGAAAGCAUACGAGGAGAGAUCCUGAUCGAGGUAAGGUUGGUCGAGCAGACAUCCUGGUCGUUGGAAGGCAUAACCAGAAUCUCGCAUCAACAUAAUUAAUAAUUAGAUAAUUACUAGUUGAAUAGUGGUAGAUUCUGAAACCUUGGUAAUUUGUCUAAUUGAUUUCUCAUUUGCUUUAAUUGUUUUCUUAGUUUAAUUAGUUUAAUUUCUCUUAAAACUCAAUUUGCUCAACUAGGUUAGAAUUAAUAUUAAUUUUAGAUUUAAAUUAGACUUUUCAAUUUAUAACAAUCCCUGUGGGAUCGACCUCGUUACCACUAUUCAAUUUCUAGAUUCGUGCGCUUGCGAGUAUAUUAAAAUUUUCACAACAAGUUUUUGGCGCCGUUGCCGGGGAUUGUGCUAGAAAGUCAGUUUAAUCUAGGUUGAUUUGAUUCUUCCACUAGUUAUAAUUUAGGUUGUCUUUUAUUUUUUAAUUAAAAAAAACACAAAAAAAAAUUAUUUGUCUUUAAAUUCAUUGUUUGGUUGUUUGAUUUCUUUUAUUUUUAAAUUUCGUUUAUUCUCAUUUUUGUUGGUUUAUUUUAUUUUAUUUUUCUUUCUUUCCUUGUCUAGUUAGUUUACCUAGUCCUUGGAUAUCCAGACAUUUUGUUUUUCUGGUUGAAUAUCUUCGGAAAAUAUCUUCUUAAUUUUCCGAAUAUUUGUUUUCUCAAAUCCUGUCCAGGGUAUUCUAUACCGGGUGGUGAAGAGCAACGUAGUGUUGGUUGAGUUUGAAGAAGAUUUUUAUUCACUGCAUCAUCCAAAGUACAUUUACGAUAUUAGCUUCUCAUUCAACCGAGUCUGUUUGAAACGAGCUCACCAAGCAAUUGCAGCUGCAUCACGUUCUUUAUUUGAGAACUACCUUUUCCCUGAUUUUACCUCUCGAAAGAACAUCAGUUCCUCAGAAGCUUGUCUUUAUGGUAAUCGUAUCCUUGACUCAGAUGGCAACUCUGCAGUUCGUCGGAUCUUAAGCUUACAGGGGAGGCCACCUUAUCUUGUAGAGGGUCCACCCUGUGUAAUUAGUGACAGUCUAUCCAAAACUGGAUUGGUUGUUCGAGAAGCAGUACUUGAAAUUUAUAAGAGGUCAUCUAAGUGUCGAAUUCUAGUCUGUGCUCCUAUAAAUAGAACAGGUGAUAUACUAAUGAGAAGUUUGAAGAAGCAGAUUCCAAAGUCUGAUAUGUUUCGAGCCAACGCUGCAUUCAGAGAGGUAGAUGGGGUACUAGUUGACAUCCUCCCCUUGUGCCUUUAUGAAGGGGGGGAAUGUUUUCAAUUGCCUUCACUUCAGGAAUUGAUACAAUUCAGGGUAAUAUUCUCAACUUUUACAAGCAGCUUUCGCCUCCACAACGAGGGCAUACCUGCUGGACAUUUUAGUCACAUUUUUCUUCUUGAUGCCUCAUCUGCUACUGAGCCAGAGACAAUGAUAGCUCUCACAAAUUUGGCUAAUGAGAACACGACCGUGAUACUCACCGGUGCUCCCAAUAACCGCACGAGUUGGGUCCGCUCCGAUAUUGCUAGGAAGACGGGAUUAAGGGUGUCGUAUUUUGAAAGACUUCAUGCCACCCAGACCUAUAGCAAUUUCGAUCCGACGUUCAUUACUAUGCUGUAAACUUUUGAGUACUGCGGUAACAAUAGCCUCUAUUAGAACUUAGUUUACUUCUCAUGAGUUUGUUACUACUGUGCCUUGUUGUAAAUGCGUGAAUGUCAGAACAUUUCUUCGAUCCGUUACUUUUGCACUUGUUGCUCUAUCUAAUUCAUGCAGUCCAAUUCCGCGAUGAUUGAUUGCUUUCAUUCCCCUAGAUUAACAAAAAUUAAAAUCUUCAUAAAUUGUAUGCAGGUCACAGUACUCCAUCUCUGGAUUAUUAAUUAUGUUCUUAUGCUACGACAAAGAUUAGUUCUGUUGUAAUUAUCAGAAUAGAACUUGUGUACUUCAAUUUUUGCCAGUAGAAUUAUCUUGACGACUGAGAUUGGAUUUGGAGGCAUGUUUCUGAUGGGUGCAAUGAUGUUUUGAUGUUAGAAUCUUUUAUAUCUUUAAUUACGGAUUAGGGACCCGCAAGAGGGUGAAUCAGAAUAAGAAUCGUGCCCCAAAAUAAGCUUUCCGGUUGGACUUAUCUUAAAAGUCGGCAUCUUAUUCAUUUUUUCUUAAUCCCCGAGAAGGAUAACAUUUGGCAGUAUGGAAGUGGGAGUUAAUAAGAGCCUUGCAGUCUUUCUAUAUUUUCCACAUGUCGUGUCUGCCAUGGCAUCUGGAACCACAUGAUGACGUGGCCUCACUUGUUUGGGUUUACUUCAUUUGCAUGAAUCAAAUAUGCUCUCAUCUCUCAAGCAAAGCUUUAACUUUUGGUUGGAUUAUCGAGAUUGACUUGGGUUCUUUACUUUUACAUAAAACGUUCUUUGGAAAGGGGGGAAAAAUUAAAAAAGAAAAAAUAGCUCUUGUAGUCUUGUUCGGGCAUUCCCAUCUGUAAAAGAACCAGAAGGUAAUCAUUCUUGCUUUUGAUCUUCAUUUAUUGUAAUGUCAAGAUAGUUUCAUCUUGGACUUGACAACAUUAACCCCUCCAGUGCUAAGUCUAUUCAAUCAGAAUAUGUUAACAAGUCUACGGAAGGAACUGAUGAAGCUUCCACAAGAUUGAACUCUACAACAUUAACCCCUUCAGUUUUCUCCAAGCCAUCUCCAUCUUCACCAAAAUCACAUCAAUCUAAGCCACCAUUCCCUAAACCUGCAUUAGCUUCUUCUUAGCUACUUCUAUCUCCAGCUGAAGCUCCCCCAUCAUCUUCUGGUCCCAAAACUUCAAUUCCUUCUUACGAAACAUCCUCAUCACUCUCUACGCCUGCAUCUUCUUCUUUUUGUCAAUCUGUGCCUUCACUUGCAGCACCUCCAUUUUCUUCUCAUCAUCCUCGAUUGUCAGCUAAGCCAUCUCCAUCUUCACGUCGUCCAUCUCAAUCUCCCACCAUGCCAACUUCAUCAUCCUUAAAAGUCUGGUCAAGAAAGAUAUUGAGCCUGAAGUUUUGAAAAAGUAAUUGUUUCUUGAUCUACCUACAAAGAUUACUUUGCUGCUCGACUAUGUGCUGAGGAUUUCUACAUUGAGGUGAUUUAUUAACUUUGAGACGAAAUUUUAUCUCUAUGUUAUUAUCCUAAAUUCUAAUUCGUAUAAUUGUGUGAAUGCAAGAACAUUGCUUCCGAUCUGUUGCUUUUGUACUUGUAUUUGAUUGGUCUCUCCAUCCUUGAGAUUGCUUGAACGACAUGACGCAGCAGCUUAGAGCCGAUGUACCAUGACAUACAAUGUUUCAAAUUUGGAAGCUCUAACCUUCUAAUUUGUUUUACUUAGUCUCCAAAUGAUACUACCAGCAGUUGGCAUGAAUAUAAAUGAUAUAGCAAAGCAAAACAAGGGAUAGAUAAACGAAAUGAUGUAACCAUAUUCAACUUGAAAAACCAGAAGAAACAAGGUGGGGCAAGAGGUAGAAUGUGAAAAACAUGAUUACCGCAACUAAUUUGUAAAGGUAAUAAAAGUAUCGUCCCACUGUGUAUUACAUGUCAGCAUUGAUAUAUCUGAAUGCCUACAUCCAAGUCUGAUUUGAUUUCAGCUGAGAAGACCAUCCCCGAUUCUGAAUGAAACAAAGAACAAAAAAACAAGCACUCGACUUAUGAUGCAGAUAAAAGACCUGAAGUUUCACACUGACAGUUUUACGAAGCAGUUCUUUCCCGAAGCCAUAAAUUGAAUAAUUAAAUAAAAUAUUACAGCAAUCAGGAGGAACUAGCAGGUGCUAACUGCUUCAGUUUUGCCUGCAAGAUUACAGUAGCUUCGUCUGAAAUAGUUUUCUUUUUUGUUGCAACCUGCAUUAUGAAUUUUUAUACUCCUGUUAUUGUCAAAGACGAUAAUACAACAGAGGUGAUAGAAAUGUGAAUUGCUAACAUAAACAUUCAAGUCCUUUAAAAUAAGCAGAAGGAAUUAACUCAAAACUCUUUAAUCUUCAUAGUCACUUAAUAAGCUUUCUCUUAACAAUCCCAAACUAAGUGUGAAUGGGGGAUAUACUAGAAAGAAAGCCCUCAACACCAAGAAAGGGUUGAUUAAGAUUGGAGGCACAUUGUAGUAGGUGAGAUGACGUAUUGUUUUGCAACAUUUUAAAUCCGUUGUAUCUAAUAAAAAUGGACAACAAAUCCUAUAAAAAGUUGCAAGCUUUGAGUUCAGUAUUGAUGAAGUGCUCAUGGAGGAUGGAAAGAGUCAAUACUGGUUUUAAAUGUAGGUUGAAGUGGCAUUGAGAAGAAAAUAAUGGAAAAACUAUUUGAGAUUGAUUGGACUUGAACAAGAUGUACAAGGAAUGGGUUGCUACAAAGUAUUAACCCAGUAUGGAAAGCACCAAAAGAACAUGAAUAAGAACCGAGAAAGGAAAAUUCAAUACUCAAAGAACAUCAUGUUAGAAGAUAAACGAGGAUUCUGCACUGGAGUAUAGUGGAAUGGCACGAAAAGAUUCAUGCAAAUGACCCAUUUGGUCUUAAAGAACUGUGAGAUCUGUCCGGACAAACAGAGAGAGAAUUCUGGUUCAGAUUGCUAGACCAAUCUCCAGAACAUAUAUCAACAGAAGCAAAAACAAAAACCAAAAGAAGACUGCAUUCUUGAGCGUGCUUUUUUUGUUUUGGUUAAAUCUAUUUAUGGCAAAGAAGAAAAAUGCUAGACCAAAGUAAAGUCUAGUAUCUUCUAGAGCUACUCAAAGACAAUUUACAUGCGGAAGGAUCAAUCCAGCAUAUUUAAUUCGAGAAACCAAAAGUAUUAUUAUCAAAGGGAUUUGUUAAUAAUCUCCUAAUCAAGUUACUUACUAGUUAAGCAUGUAUUCAAAACAAUAAAAACAUAAGUAAUAAAGACUCACCAAAUCGAGAAGCUUCCAAAUUAACUAAGAUUUCUAACUCUAUUGAAGAUUUGGAGAAUGUUGCUAUGAGAGAUCUAGAAUUUAGAUUUUGGUGUUGGGAGAGCAGGAAGAUGAUUAAUGAAAGAAGUGGAAUAAUUCUAUGUUUCCUUCUUUCAAGUCCAUAUUUUCGAGAAUUAACAAACACAAAGCAAUAAAGUAAACUUUAAUAAAGUAAUUUUAAUAAAACAACAAUAAAGAUAAAGCAACCUUAAUAAGUAUAAUAAUAAAUUAAAAUAAAUUUUAUUAAAGAAACUACUUUAUUAAAAUAAUAAAUAUAUAGUAAAUCUUUAAUAAGUGUAAUCAUAAAUAUACAAAGUAAACUUUAAUAAAUUAAAGUAAAUUUUAAUAAAGAAGCUUUAACAAAGCAAUAAUAAAUAUGUAAAAAACUUAAAUAAAUGUACUUCCCUCUUUUUUUCCUUUUUAUAUGCUACACAGGCACACAGGCACAGGCCUACAAUGGCACCUGGGUCCACAUGAUGACGUGGCCUCACUUGGUUGAGUUUUCUUUCUAUGUAAGAAACAAUAUGCUUUCAUCUCCCAUGCAAAGCUUUUAACUUUUUUGAUUCUUGAGUUGUGUUGGAGUGCUCUUUACUUCAUGUGUAAUUCGUUCUUUGGAAAGGAAGAUCAAAUUGACAAAAACCACUUGCGUAGUUGUGUUCCAGUGUUCUCAUCUGUAACCAAAAAAGCAGAAGGUAAUCAAUCGUGCUUUUGAUCUUCACUUAUUUUGAUUUCAGGAUAGUUUCAUCUUACUAGCACUUACAGAGUCAUGCAUGAGUUUAUUGAUUUCUUUAAUGGUGUUCAAUCUUCUUUAUUUUGCUUUCGCCGCAGGAUGUUUAAGUGGAUGUUCAUAGGCUGCGCAGUGUAUGUGUUAGGUAAAAUUUUGCGAUACAUUUCAAGCGACCAAGAUCAUGGAACUGAAAGUAAGAUUUCGAAGGGAGACCCUUCACACGGAUCAGCUUCACUUAACACUUCUGUUAGGAAUUCUAGUUAUGAGAAUAACGAUCGGCAAGACCAAUCUGAUCGAACCCAAAUCAAGUACUACGAUAAUUACCCGAAUUUACCAACUAGUAGCUCAACUACAAAAAGGAGUGGAGCUGUGUCUAUUGAAUCAGAAUAUGUUAACAAGUUUAUGGAAGGAACUGAUGAAGCGUCCUCGAGAUUGAAAUAUAGAACAUCACAACCUCCAUUUUCCUCUAAGCCAUCACUCCCUAAACCUGCAUCAGUUUCUUCUAAGCCAUCCGUAUCUCCAACUGAACCUCCACCAUCAUCUUCUAGUCCUAAACCUUCAAUUCCUUCUUUUAAAGCAUGCUCCUCGUUCUCUACACCCGUGGCACCUCCCCUUACUUCUGAUCAACCUCGAUCAUCUGCUAAGCAAUCUCCAUCUUCAUGUGGUCCAUCUCAAUCUCCCUCCGUGCCAACUUCAUCAUCCCCGAGCACCCCUGAGUCCUCUAAGCCCACUCAGUGUCCACUCUGCUUUAAUCCAACAAAUGAGCAGAUGAAAUCUAAUAAUACACGGGUUCCGAAGGGCGCAUCAUUCCCAAAAGCCCCUCAGUCCUCUAAGCCCACUCGGUGCCCAUUCUGCUUUAAUCCAACGGAGGACCAGAUGAAAGCUAACUAUCCCAAGGAUAUUGAAAGUCCGAUCGAGAAAGAUAUUGAGCCUGAAGAUUUGAAGAAUCCAUUGUCUCAGAAGGCGCCUUCAUCUUCUCAGCUUACCCUUUCUCCGCUUCCUCCUGAUUCAAAAUAUCAGCAGGAAAAUGAUCGCUAUAUAUUGGUCGAGAAGGGUGCCUCUAAUUACAAGAUUCCUGAGGAUAUUGAAGAUUUGAUCAAGAAAGACAUCGUGCCUCACGUUUUGGAGAAGCCAUUGUCUCCAUCGACUUACAAAGACUACUUUGCUGCUCUGCUGUACGCUGAGGAUUUCUACAUUGAGGUGAUUGAUUAACAGUGACCUUUUUGCAUGUUAUUCUUUAGAGUAUCAUUUCGUGUGUGUUAUUUGCAAGCGAGAAUACACAUAAAACUCAUAAAAUCCGAAUUUAGAUACAUACUCGGAUUAUGUGCGGUAAAUCGACAAACUAAGGUUGUGCUACUGACUUCUGGUCGGAAGAUGAUCACAAAACCGGACAAUCCCCUCAGAUCACGUUGCAAGAACCCUCUAAGUUUGAAAUUUUGGCUCAAAUUCUCUCAAAUUGCACUCUUUAGCUCAAUGGCUUGUCUCUAGCUUGUCUCUUCUACCUUUCUCCGUGGAUUAGCUCUCAUUUAUAGCAUUACAAGAGUAGUGAAUCAUCACUAAAUAAGGUUAAACUAUUGUUGGAGUGAUUUUCUACUCAAUGACCACUUAAUGUCUUAUGAUAUUAUAUCAUUCCACUCAAAUUUGAUCCCUUGAUUCUUGGUCAUGCAUACCUCAUGAUUGACCUCAAAAUGAUAGAAUCCUAAUAUACAUGUAUAUCUAUUUAUAUGCAUAUACAUAUACAUUAUACAUAACUUCAUUGCUACCAAUCGUAUAUUGUGUACUGUGGCUGUUCGGUGGAAGACACAUUUGUUGUGUUUAGUGCAUUACUACCCCCUUUGGAAUGUUUGAGUUUACCUUGUAUACGAUAAAACAUCAUAUGGGUGCUGUAUUUAGCAACCAUCAAACAUGUUUUACUGGAGAUACAUGAUUUUAUAUUUUAUAUCUGUGUCUCAGUUUGUCGUUAGAUUUACCAAUUAGGCUUCACGAGACAAGCCUGUUUAGAUUUGCGAGUAAGCAAAAACAUCAAAGCACCGAAUUAGUAACAUUCCAAUGUUAUUGAUAAUCUUGGUGCAUUUUGUGUUGGUAGGCAAUUUAACAGAGAUAGGCAGCCCUAGUGGACUGCUUUAGCUGCAACUUACUCUGUAAAUACAGCCCAUAUCGACUCUUCAUAGAAGAUAACAAUAUUUGGUACAAAAGUGAUUUUUAGGAAUCUUACAUGUUUUAGAUGAUUGAAUGCAAGAUGCGUCUACGGACCAAAAACAUUACAGUUUCAUCCAAGUGCUUUCUAUCAUACUUCCUAAUUGUGUUUAGAUAUAAUAAUGGCUUUGAUUUGAUCAGAAGUGGAGCGAUUUUCAGUUAUUCAAUGUCACAUUGGAGUUGCAUAAAGCAGCAAUAUAUGAUAAGUCACUCAAGAACAAGAAUCUGGAGGAGAGUGAUGAGACGGAUGAUAAACUCUUUGUAGCCUUUGAAAUUAAUUCUGUUCCUGAGAGGCGACCCUUUCUUUUAUCUAGAGAUUUUGUUUAUGCACAACGUUCAGGUGGCAAAUCCAAGAAGUUUCAAGUAAGUAUCCUGAUCUUUCAAACUAAUAAUUUGUAGAAUCUCUUUUAGUGAUAAAUAUUCAUAUCUUCUGCCAAAUUGAGAAUCUAUUUUAUGCUUCUUUCUCCUUAUGCUUUCAAUUUUUUGGAAUAUAAUUCUAGUCGCAGCUAUCAAUAUAAUUUAUAAAUUAUGCCAUUUGAAAUUCUGCAAACCUACUUAAUGCAAACUAUUGCUCAGUUUGAACUAUAGAUGAGUGAUGAGCAUAUAAUACAUACAUAUUUUACCAUUAAUUAAAUAAUUGUUAGCUAUAUUUAUUUGUUAUUUUUAAUUAAUUGAAUUAUUUUAUUGAAUAGGGAAUUAAUUGGAGAUUCCAGACAUUUUGUUUUUCUGGUUGAAUAUCUUCGGAAAAUAUCUCCUUAAUUUCCCGAAUAUUUGUUUUCUCAAAUCCUGUCCAGGGUAUUCUAUACCGGGUGGUGAAGAGCAACGUAGUGUUGGUUGAGUUUGAAGAAGAUUUUUAUUCACUGCAUCAUCCAAAGUACAUAUACGAUAUUAGCUUCUCAUUCAACCGAGUCUGUUUGAAACGAGCUCACCAAGCAAUUGCAGCUGCAUCACGUUCUUUAUUUAAGAACUACCUUUUUCCCGAUUUUGUCUCUCGAAAGAACAUCAGUUCCUCAGAAACUUGUCUUUAUGGUAAUCGUAACCUUGACUCAAAUGGCAACUCUGUAGUUCGUCGGAUCCUAAGCUUACAUGGGAGCCCACCUUAUCUUGUAGAGGGUCCACUCUGUGCAACUAGUGACAAUCUAUCCAAAACUGGAUUGGUUGUUCAAGAAGCAGUACUUGAAAUUUAUAAGAGGUCAUCUCAGUGUCGAAUUCUAGUCUGUGCUCCUAUAAAUAGAACAGGUGAUGUACUAAUGAGAAGUUUGAAGAAGAAGAUUCCAAAGUCUGAUAUGUUUCGAGCCAACGCUGCAUUCAGAGAGGUAGAUGGGGUACCAGUUGACAUCCUCCCCUCGUGCCUUUAUGAAGAGGGGAAGGGUUUUCAAUUGCCUUCACUUCAGGAAUUGAUGCAAUUCAGGGUAAUAUUCUCAACUUUUACAAGCAGCUUUCGCCUCCACAACGAGGGCAUACCUGCUGGACAUUUUAGUCACAUUUUUCUUCUUGAUGCCUCAUCUGCUACUGAGCCAGAGACAAUGAUAGCUCUCACAAAUUUGGCUAAUGAGAACACGACCGUGAUACUCACCGGUGCUCCCAAUAACCGCACGAGUUGGGUCCGCUCCGAUAUUGCUAGGAAGACGGGAUUAAGGGUGUCGUAUUUUGAAAGACUUCAUGCCACCCAGACCUAUAGCAAUUUCGAUCCGACGUUCAUUACUAUGCUGUAAACUUUUGAGUACUGCGGUAACAAUAGCCUCUAUUAGAACUUAGUUUACUUCUCAUGAGUUUGUUACUACUGUGCCUUGUUGUAAAUGCGUGAAUGUAAGAACAUUUCUUCGAUCCGUUGCUUUUGCACUUGUUGCUCUAUCAAAUUCAUGCAGUCCAAUUCCGCGAUUAUUGAUUGCUUUCAUUCUCGUAGAUUAACAAAAAUUAAAAUCGCGAUUAUUAAUUAUGUUCUUAUGCUACGAAAAAGAUUAGUUCUGUUCUAAUUAUCCGAAUAGAACUUGUGUACUUCAAUUGUUGCCAGUAGAAUUAUCUUGACGACUAAGAUUGGAUUUGGAGGCAUGUUUCUGAUGGGUGCAAUGAUGUUUUGACGUUAGAAUCUUUUAUAUCUUUAAUUACGGAUUAGAAACCCGCAAAAGCGUGAAAAAAAAAAAAAAUUAGCUCUUGUUCGCUAAACCUACAUUAGCUUCUUCUAGCCGCUUCUAUCUCCAACUGAAACUUCAAUUCCUUCUCACAACACAUCCUCAUCAUUCUCGACGACGGCAUCGUCAAUCUGUAGCUUCACUUGCAGCGCCUCCAUUUACUUCUGAUCAUCCUCGAUUGUCAGCUAAGCCAUCUCCAUCUUCACGUCGUCCAUCUCAAUCUCCCACCAUGCCAACUUCAUCAUCCUUAAGAGGCUGGUCAAGAAAGAUAUUGAGCCUGAAGUUUUGAAAAAGUCAUUGUCUUUGAUCUACCUACAAAGAUUACUUUGCUGCUCUGCUACGUGCUGAGGAUUUCUACAUUGUGGUGAUUUAUUAACUUUGAGAUGAACUUUUAUCUCUAUGUUAUUGUCCUAAAUUCUAAUUCGUGUAAUUGUGUGGAUGCAAGAACAUUCCUUUCGAUCUGUUGCUUUUGUAGUUGUAUUUGAUUGGUCUCUCCAUCCUUGAGAUUGCUUGAACAUGACGCAGCUGCUUAGAGCCGAUAUACCAUGACAUGCAAGUUUCAAAUUUGGAAGUUCCAACCUUCUAAUUUGUUUUAAUUAGGCUCCAAAUGAUACUACCAGCAGUUGGUAUGAAUAUAAAUGAUAUAGCAACGCAAAACAAGGCAUAGAUAAACAAAAUGAUGUAACCAUAUUCAACUUGAAAAACCAGAAGAAACAAGGUGGGGCAAGAGGUAGAAUGUGAAAAACAUGAUUACCGCAACUAACUUGUAAAGGUAAUAAAAGUAUCGUCCCACUGUGUAUUACAUGUCAACAUUGAUAUAUCUGAAUACCUACAUCCAAGUCUGAUUUGAUUUCAGCUGAGAAGACCAUCCCUGGUUCUGAAUGAAACAAAGCACAGAAAAACAAGCACUCGACUUGUUA
rnacentral:lncRNA from 1 species